GAUCAAAGAAAACGAAAUGGGGUUUAAGAUUUUCAAGAAAAGAUUUGAUUUCAUCGUAUAAUUCAUCCAUAGCUGUUGCUAGUAAAGUCUCCAAAGAUCCAGGCACAUCAGCUGUAGUCUCUGCACCAUAUGGAAGGCCAUCAACAUGAGGGAUUGUGAGUUUGUGGAAUGUGAUGAGAUGAGGAUAAAGAUUGAGAUUUUGAAGUCGAAUUCCUGCACGUUUAGGCAACAAGAACGAGAUUUUGUGACCUCUUUUUGCAAGUUCAUUUGACAGAUUGAUAUAUGGAAUCAAGUGGCCAAAUGCAAGCCAUGGAAACAUCACUAUAUGGAGCUUUCUGUCUUGUAUGGAUUCUGCCAUAUUCUCUUUGCUUCUUUGCGUUUGACGUAUUGAAGGAGUAGUUAAAAUAGCUUGACUUAGCAAUGAAAACUGGGAAGUAGACAAGGGUCUUCUCUUUUAGGCACCACUAUUGCUGCUUACUCAUUCCAAUUUAGGUGACUUUUUACUGUAAUACAAUACUUCUAGUUGACUUUUCUUCUCAAUACAGUGUUGAGUAGGACCUAGUAAAAGUAAAGUAAAAAUGUUAUCAUUGUCAAAUAAGGCAAAACAUGGAAGAACAAAAACCAAAUCAGAAUGAGUAGUAGUUGCGGUGUCUUUUUCAUUAAUUUUCUUACUAGAACGUAUGUAGAGUCUUCUAUUUCCACGCAUCUUAACCAGUUUGCGUGUAGUUUAGUUACUCCUUUUGGGCCAGGAGAUACCUAAGAUAUUAAACAAAAGUAGUGUGGUUAUCUUUUGUCCAGAUAGACAAAAGUACGUGCAACACAAAAUAAUAUACUAUUAUUAGUGGCGGAGCCAAAAUUUUCACUAAGGAGGUCCAGAAGUGAACAUACGAAUUAGUUGAAGGGGGUUCAACAUCUACUAUGAAUACAUAAAAAAUAAUUAUAACAAUGCAUAAAUAAUAUAAUUUUCUGUCGAGAGGUUCAUGCGAACCCCCUUAUCCAAAGGUGGCUCCGCCCUUGAGUACUACUAGCUCCGAGACACCAAAAUUGCUCCCUCCAAUAAGCAUGUUGAUGGAAAACUGUGUGCUCACUCCAAAUAUUGAGUGGGUGAUCAAAAUAGGCCGCCUAGUUAAAAAAUAUAUCAAAAUAUGUCACGUAUAUAAACUAGUAUCAAAAUAUAUUUAACUCACACACAUAAAAAGAGUUAUUCCUCUUUUUUUUAAUGGAGAUUUGGAUGACGGCGUUAACUUUAUAAAAAGUGUAUAACUCAUUUUUUUUUUUUGUGAGUUAUGUAUAGAUAACUCAGUGAAAAUGUGAGUUAUAUAUAUAACUCACAAAAAAAAUGAGUUAUAUAUUGAAUGUAGAAACUCUCCUUGUCUCGGAUCCUUUACCUUAUCCAUCCGAUUCAGCUUGAAAAUCCUAAAAAAUUUGAAAAUCAAUUCCCCAUUGGCCUCCCGAUUCAGCUUGAAAAUUCUACAAAAUUCGAAGAUUGCUUCUCCACUGGUCCUCCCACCCAACACAAAUUUUGUUGAUUAAUAAUCGUUGGCCCUACUUUCUAUUUCCCCACUGGUCCCGAUUCGGCUUUCUAUUUUUCUUUAUAAUUUUUAUUUUAUAAAACUCACAUAUCUAUGUUUCUUUUUCAAAAAAAAAAAAUUAUUUUGAAAGUAGGUGUAGCAAGUUUCUCUAUGUGUUUUUUUUUUUUUUUUUCAUUUUAAAAAAAGAUUUUAGUUGUAUAGUAUAUAACAAUUAAUUUGUAUAUACUCCAUCCCGGCGUCUAGUUGUACAAUAUUAAUUUACUUUGCAUAACUCAUAUAUUUUUUUGCACCAUAUUCAUAUUUCACAUCACUUGUCACACCCCUUUUUCGCUCGAAGAGCCGAGGUCGAAGGGUUUUUCUAAUUAAAGUGACGAUAUUGAAUAGAGAUUAGUUUAUUAACAAAGUUAGCACUUAUAAUUGAGUUAUGGUGUUUCAAGUCACCUUAUUGAAUCCCUAAUCAAUAAGAAAUGACUCUUUACUGGUCUGUGAAAACAGAAGAUUGGGUAAGAAAUUCUGUUGAUCGAGGGGAGGGUGUGAGACAUCCCUCGAGUCCCGUGAUUCAAUCACGGUCGCUUUUAUUAACUUAUACUUAGCUUUAACUAUUUUGGAUAAACUAUGUUUGUAGGCAUGAUUCGCUCAUUUUUAACUAUACCAAAAAUGUCCGUCUAUACCUCUUGUAUUAAGUUGGUAAAAAUUAAAUUUUAAGGAGGAUCUUUGUUGAGGUGCAACGUUGCAUCCUCAAAUUAUUUUUAAACAUCUCAUAAAGAUGUGUAUGCCGCAUUCUUAAUAGAAAUAAAUAUAUUAAACGUGCCUAAAGCUUAUCUAGCAUUAAAAGAUAUUUGUUUCAUCUCUUGUAAACUCAAGACAUUUUUUCUUAUCCAUUUUUUAAAUUCUUUUUCACUCUUUAUUUUGCAAUGAGUUUUGAAUUAUUUUGCAAUUAGCCUCACUCCCUUACCAAUAGGUUUUUCCUCUCUUUUCUUUUUUCAAUUAUGAUGGGUCUUACACAAAUUCGCAACCUUCACUUAACUUCGCAUUUGGAAAUAACCUGAACCUUGACUAUCGGGUAAGUCUAUAAAGGUACUACAAUAAAAUAACUUGUUGAAAAUGGUCAAGACGAUCAAACAGAAGAAGCAACUAUAAUAAGUUUAACAUUUGCGUUAAAACUAAUGAUUAUAAAAAUAAGGGAAAAGGUUUAAAUAUGCCACUGAACUAUCAGAAAUGACUCAUUUAUAUCAUCAGUUAAAAGUUGGGCUCAUUCAUGUCAUCGCCGUUAUAAAACCAGUUCAUCCAUGCCAUUACUUUUUAACGGUGCUUUUCUAAAAACUGCUUUGCCACGUGGCCUCUUAUUAGAGGUCCACGUCAUUUUUUAAUUUUAUUUUUAGUUUUGAUCCAUUAAAAAAAAUCCACCUGCACCCAAUCUAUCACCUUAACCCACUUUAAUAUUACUUUUAAUUUUGACCCUAGAUUUGAAAACACCCUACGUAUCUGAUAGCCAAGUCUCAACUUCGUGCGUAGCUUUUGACAUGUGCACAAAGAAUUUUUAACUCAAUUUUAGCUAUGUUUUUUACUCCAAACUAGUCCAGGUCACCUACAAUCUUUUUCAAAUUUUUUACAUACCCUGACGGGUCGUGUUGCUUAAAAAAAAUUAUAUUCAGAGAAAUUGAUUCAAACAAUUUUCAAAUAAUUCUUAGCUUCGUCGUCCUAUUCAGGCAAAUCAUUCUGCUAAGCAAAGUGAUUUCAUUUAAUGUAGACAUCUCAGUUAAUGAUGGCUCAAGAGAUAUAUAGUAAAAGGGAUCAUUAAACAAAACUGUAGUGGAAAUUUCUUAAUAUAGUUAGAUAUGGCCAAGGAAAUCUCGUAAUAAAGUUAGAUAUCAUCAAGUUUAUGACAAAGAAUUUCGGCGCGUGGAGGAAAAGUUGAAGAAAAAUGAUGUUUUAAGUCGCUUCAGAAAUCACGGUGCUUUUAGAACUAAUGCAGAGUGGUGUAUGAUAUAUCGGUCCGAUAGUGAAAUCCACAUACUUUGUGGGGCGGGGGUUGGAGGGGGGGAGGGGUGCGCGCGCAUGCAUGUGUGUGUUCGAUAUAUAAUCAUAAUAAUUAAUACAAAAAGAUUAUUUGAUAAUUAAAAAUUAUAAAAAGGAAACAAUGGAAUUCAAACUUGGUAAGAUGGACCGGUUAGAUUAUGUCUCAUUUUUUAACUCAUUUUGAAACUUAUCUCACUCCAACUAUAUAACUUUUGAGCGAGUUAAUGAUCUAUAUAUUUAUUAACUCAACACAUUUUGAUCUAUUUAAAUUGAUACUCCACAUCAUGUUCAACUCUUAAAUAAAUGAUAUCUGGUGCUCAUGUAUGAUCCUCCCCAGUCCACCUCUUUCCCGCCGUCAUAAAGAGAAAACAACAUUAUGAUCGUUAAUAUGGUCAUGUUCGCCUAAUAUUUGAAGUUUGAACCAUGCAUGCAAAAUGAAGACGUGAAAAAGGGGUUACAGUAAAUUUCUUGCAUGCAUGCACGUAUCCUUAUGUUUUGGGAUUCCAUGUUUCAAUUUGACUUUUUAACAUCCAUAGUUCAAAUCUCAAGCGUUAAAUAGAAAGAAACCACCUUAUGUUUCUGUUCUGCUGAAACAUAAAUCUGAUACCUCAUAUGUCACGACUCAGACUAACGGAUCGUGCGGGCACCUACGCUAUUCUAAGUAGCUAGAAGAAUCCUUAUGACCCAACUAAAAAUAUGCAGAAGACUUCUGGUUUUAAAGGAAUACUAAAGUAAAUAUAAUAAUGUAAUUUAAAUAUUAAUAAAUAAUUUUUUUCAAAAACUUCCUACAAGUGUCCUUUACUAGCCCAAAGUUUGACUAGACAUAUACAAGAGCUAUCUACUACAGUAUAGAUUGAUGAUAAAAUAAAUAAUACGAAGACUCUAACAUCUGUCAGGAUGAAACCCAUCUAGUAACUGCAAACUAACCUGCAUCCGGUCUACACCCCAAGAAGGAAUUUAGAAAAGUAAGGUCAGUACAACCACACGUGUUGAUAGGCAACAUCAGCCAACCGUGUUAGUUCAUAUAAUCAUAAAAUAGAAUUAAGGAAAAUAAAUCAUUACAUCUUGAAUGGAAUAUAAUUCAACCAAGGUUGUAAUAAUAUUAUUACUUUGCCUAUAUAAGUUACAUCAUCCAACUACUCUUCCAACUCCAUCAAUAUUAUAUUCACUACUAACAUACUCUAACCUCAUUAAUUCAUACCAUCAACCGCUAUCCAACACUAAUAUAUCAUUAUUCCUCUUUAUUCACCUUAUCUUUUUCAUUACUCAAAUUCACAAGAACAAACCCUUAAUCAUAGACAACCCACACUAAACUCUCGGGCUAACUGUCAAAUGCUCUCUUAUAAUAUUAAACAAUGAUAACUAGCCAUUCUGGUAAGCUAUGAUUACAACACGUAUAAAUGAAGCAAGUCAACCAACACAUAAGUAAGUACAAAGUUUUACUUUUUCAAAUACAUAUCACACAAUCAAAUCCCAAUGAAUCAACAAUAUAACAAUAACAGAUUAAAUAGUGCUCACAAAAAAACCACAUAACCACCAAGAGUAUCAACCAAGCUGUAAACAUCCACAGACUCAACACAAAUAUGUACACACAUGCUAUGAGACUUAUUUUUGCAAAAAUAGUCAUAACCUACAGGGAACAAUCUAUGUUCAUGUACCGUAUUGCCGUGGUACUCGAUCCACCAUAUACAUAUCUGUAUCGGCGUGGUACCCGAUCGAACAUAUACAUAUCUGUACCGGUGUGGUACCCGAUCCACCAUAUACAUAUCCGUACUGGCGUGGUACCCGAUCUGACAUAUACAUAUCCGUACCGGUGUGGUACUUGAUCUAACAUAUACAUAUCCGUACCAGCGUGGUACCCGAUCUAACAUAUACAUAUCCGUACCUGUGUGUUACCCAAUCCAACAUAUACAUAUCCGUACUGGCGUGGAGCUCGAUUCAAUAUAUACAUAUCCGUACCGGCGUUGUAUCCAAUCCAAUAUAUAUAUAUAUAUAUCCAUACCGGCGUGGUACCCGAUUCAAUAUAUACAUAUCCGUACCGACGUGAUACCCGAUCCAACAUAUACAUAUCCAUACCGAUGUGGUACUCGAUCCACCAUAUACACAUCCGUACCGGCGUGGUACCCGAUCCAACAUAAAUAUGUAAUAUCAAUAUCAAAUUUAUACUACCUCACAGCAUACAAUACGGUGUACCAAGUUUACACAUACACUUAAAGUCAUAAAACAAUUCCAUCAAGUAAAUUUUUAAUAAUCAUUUAUACACGCCUCAACAAUCCAAACAUCAUCAAUUUCAAGCAUGUCCGAAUACCAAUCAAGAAGUAUUCAAUUUAGGAGCAUACACAUAAUUAAAUUGAGUCUAAACUCUAAUUAAAUUGUAACCUAUUAUAUACAUUUUAUUAAAUUCACACUAUCUUUCGGGAUACAAUACAACGUACUAAAUUUAUAAGUGUACUUAAAAUCAUAAAGAAAUUUGAUCAAGUGCUUUCAUUUAUCAAUAUUUUGACCCUCUCACGGGUAUUAUUUCAAUAAUUCAUCACGAUCAUCAACAAGCCAUUGAUAACAUUAAUAAAGGAGUUAUCAUUAUCAAACAAGCCUCUCAUAGGCACAUUUCAAUAAACUUCAUUAUCACCAAUUUAGCCUCUCAUGGGCAUCUAAUAGAUAAAGUGUUUUUAUCAAUACCAAAACAACAAUAUCAUAAAAUAAAUUUUAAUUUAACACUUAAGCAUGCAAGUCACUAUUGGAGUAUUACUUACUCAUUAAUUAUUAAAAUGUCACUACCUUUUUCAUGUAAUACAAUCAUUACACUUAUUCAAGUCAUCUAUCCUUUAGAUAUUACUAUACUCAUCAAUACAUGAUUGUAAUACCCCAAAAUUUCUUUAAGUCAAAUCUAGUCUCUAGAAGAGUUAGUAGUGACUUCCUAAAUGAUUAAUAUUUAAAUCAGAUAGAAUUUUCCCAAUUUUAACUUUUUAUCAUGUGAAAAAUUGAAUUAUCUUUCUAACGAUACCAAUUUCGUCUAAAUCCAAUAUCGGAGUAAAAAGUUAUGGAUGUUUUACGGAGAGCUGUCAGAACCGUCCAGGUACGACGGACAGGUUGACAGACCAUCGCCCAAACCAUCGCAGGCGAGGCAGUAAGUCAAUCUGCUGGAUAAGGUGCGACGGACAGGUUGACAUACCGUCGAACUUGCGACGGACCGUCGCCCAAGCCGUUGCUACUAAGGCAGUGAGUCCCUAUUCUGGUCCAAGUGCGUCGAUCAGAGCGACGGACCGGCGCAUGAGCCACCACAGAUUUUGUUUAGCAAUUUAAAGCCAUUUUUAAUAGGGUAUUUGGGUCUUUUUCACCUGUUUUAACCCCAAAUUAUACCAUACAAUAGCUCAGAACUUCAUUAUUCAUUCACAACAUCCAAUUAGGUUUUCUCUCAAAAAUCAAUCCCCAAGAACAAGAAACCCUAGGUGCUUAAUCCCAAGUCUAGAACUCAAGAUUUCCUCCACCAAUCUUCAAUAAAUCAUCCACCCAGGUAUGUAAAGUGUUCAUUCAUGGAUUCCUUUCAUCUAUGAAGCCGAAGAAUUCAAUUUUAAAUUAUAAAUUCUGAUGUUUAUGUUGUGGAUUGAUUAUGAUCAUGUUGAUGUUGUGUAUGAUACCCAAGUUGGAAUCGUUAAAUGUGUUUUCAUUAAUUUAUGCUAGCAUGUGGAUUGAAAUCUACUAAAUUGUGUUGAUUUAUGCAACCAUGAUGAAUUAAUUUAAUGUCCAUGCCUAAGCUUAUAGUUAUGCAUGCAAGAUGUUUGAUAAAAUGCCUAAGAGAAUAGAAAACAUGCCUUAUGACUCAAUUGUGACCAAAAUGAUGAGCCUAUGUUUAGGGCUGUUCAUGCUUUGGGUUUUAACCAAACUGAACCGCGAUCCAAACCAAAUCGUUAUUUGGUUAGGUCUGGUUUUGAAUUUUAAAAACCUAUAUUAAUUUGGUUUGGUACAAAAUAACCAAACCGAACCGCUAUAUAUAUACAAUAAUUAUUUAUGUAUUAUUCAUAAAUACAAUAUAAAUAUUUGUUACAUUUUAUAUUUUAAUCAUGAUUUAACUUUAGUUGUAACACAUUAAGUAAUUUCUUCAUUUAGUUGAUAGUACCUUAUGAGAUUCUAAGUGAAUUUCGCACUUUGAAUGACAAAUGAUACUAAUUGUGAAAAUAAUAUCUUGUUGUAUAUUGAAAUUCAUAGCUGAGAUUCAAUUGGAUAUAGACAAUCAUUAAUUUUAACUUUCUUUUUGAACCUUAUUGAGCAAGAAGUUUAUGUGUUCACCUUUUGGGGGAUUUAUCAUAUCAUUCUGUUAAAUGUAGUUUUAAAAUAUUUUUUUAGAAACGUUCAUAUGGUAUUGUUCAUAGCUUUGCCGAAGUAUAACACUCAGUUGACAUCUUAGUUUCAAGGUUGAGAUACAACACUUGGUUAACAUCUCAUAUGUUAGAUUGGAUUUGUUUUUUUUUAAUUUUCAAAUUUUAUCAUUAGCUAAAGUUAUAAACCGAAAAAAUUGAACCAAACCGAACUAAACCGACAAGAACCAAACCGACGGUUAUUUUUUUGUUUGGUUUGGUUUGAUUUUAGAAAUUUAAAAACCAAUUAAGUUGGUUUGGUUAUGGUUUUGACCAAUAACCGAUCCAAACCGACCCAUGAACACCCCUACCUAUGUUUCACCCUUAAGUUCAAAUGACUCCCAUGUUAUUGUUAUGCUUUGUGAUAGAUUGACGUAAUGCUCAUGAGAUAGGCUUAUGAAAUUAUGAUAUGUUUACAUGCACUUCUGUUCAUGUGUGAGUUUAUGACAUGCAAAUACUUCAUGAAUAUCCCCAAUGAUUGUACUAUGAAUUGUUGACUAUGGUCAUGUGUCAAGAAGUGUCAAGUCUUGUCAGUUUCAUGUUAUCGAGUCCUGGGGGUACUUGUACCCGAUAAUUUAGCUGUGUGCCCAGAGCCAAUGUUAUGUUUUCCAGAUACUCUCAGUCAAGCCAUGAUUCAUAAACUCAGUCAGUCAUGUGACUCGGGAAAACUCAGUAAACAAGUAAUCUCAGAAAUCUCAAAAAUUCUAUAAUCUCAGUAAGUAUUCCGUCAGUCAACAGAACUCAACAAACUCAGUCUAGUCAGUUCAGUAUAAUUAAUUCAGUGUCUAAUCAGAUGAGAGUAGGAUUCAACACCGAGUGAGCCCAAGGAUGGGAACCCACCUGUGAGUAGAGGGUGUGAUUCUUAGAAGCAAUCUUUACGCUCCAGAGCUACGUAGCCAACGUAGGUUGAGACAUCUAACCUGUUAAAUGGGGGUUGAUGAUAUGGCUUAACUUAUUAGAUGAGGGUCCCACCAUUCUCCUUAGAGUACCUGUUAGAUGAGGGAUUACUCACAACUUGUCCUUAUCGGUGGUGCGGUAUUGACACCCUUCUAAUUGGGGUUAUAUAUUGGACCCCAACUCAGCUAUAUUGCUUUAUUUGGGGCAUGUUAUUUAGAUGACUACUUCCCACAAUUUCAGGAUCAGUCUCAGUAAUAAGUCAAAUAGUUUUGCAGCCUUCAGGACUGUCAGAUACAGUCAACUCAGUAAAGUAUGGAACUCAGCUAGUUCCAUCAGAACCUAGACUGUCAGACACAAUCACUCAGUUAUAUAAGUUAUACGAAACUCAUGUUAUCAGUAUUCAGACUCAGUAGUCAGUAUCAUCACAAAUUCAGUUACAGUUACUUAUUCAUGCAUAUAUUCUCACGUUUAUGUUAUACAGUUGGUUAGCAUAGUUCAUGCAUAUAAAUCCCUUGUAUUCAGUCUACCUUACUUGCAUACUAGUACAUUCAAUCGUACUGAUGCAUUUGCACUAUGGUGUUUUAUACAAUAGGUUUAGAAGCACGAGCUCCAAAGCAUCAGUAGUAUUCUAGUCUUAACAGUCAGAGUUAGCAGUGAGUCCUCAUCCUUCGAGGACAUGAUUAUUUCUUUAUUAUUUCAUUACUUAGUUUAUUUCGGUAGUUGGAGUUAGUUGGGGACAUGUCCCAUCAACUCCUUAUUCAGGUAGUUCAGUCAGUUAGAGGCUUUUCAGACUACAGUAAGUUCAGAUAGUUUAUUCCAGUUCAUGUUUUGGUAUUGAUAUACCGCACUCUCAGAUAUUAUGUUUUUUUAUCCGUUUUGAACCUUAUGGCAUGUUUCAGCCUACUAUUUUCACAUUUUACAUGAUGUUAUGCAGUAUACAGGUACAUAUAUCAAUCAUGGGUUAGCUUGUGGUUCUUCAGGGUCAUGAACACCGUGUAGCAUUCCGAGUACCAGAUUCGGGGCGUUACAUUGAUCUUAUCAUGACUCUUCUCAUCAUAUUAUUGUCCAAGACAUGCAACUUAAUAUCAUUAUAACUCAACUAGGUUCACCACUAGAACAACUAAGAACUAUCAUGUCCACAUACUUCAUUUACAACAAUCUCCUUGCGGGGACAUAGCACAUAAUAUCACAAGUAUCACAAAAUUAAUCAAUAAUAUAGUUUUUGAGAUUAAAUUUAAGUUCUCGUGUCUUUAUCCACCUCAACUCUGUGCCCGCAGACCUAGACAUGCUUUCUCCCAUCAGUUUUAAAUUAUGAAAAUAUAAAAUAACACAAUUUUCUAAUCAUUAAGCCUAGCCUACUUGGACGCCAAGCUUUUGGAAGAAACAAACUGCAACAAAGAUACUCUUUCCUUUCCUUCAUGCCUUGGAAUAAUCAAUCAUCUAAAAAUCAAGCAAUUAUAAGAGUAAGUUAAUAAUUACUCUUCAAACAAAUAUCUUAGGGAUCCAAACCCACUAAAUUCUACCCUUAAUUCACGAUACAAUAAUUACAAGGACAACACAAAACAUACUUCAAAAUUAGUCCAGAAGAUCAAAGAUCCGAGGACCCUUUUGAAGACCACACUCGGAUUCAACAAACAAUAACAAGAACAUAAUGUAUUGAUGUGUUUAUCACCUAAAAACAACUAACAACAAACUAUGUUAACAACAACAAGAUGAAGAACAAGAAGAAUAGAACAAGAACAAUAAGUCACGGAUUUGAAUUACAAGAACACAAACAAACGAUUACAACAUAAACAAAAUGGAUAGAUAGUUAGACCUUGGUUGGUAUAAUAUUAAGAAUCUAAGAAUAUGGUAAUCUUGGAACCUUAACACUACACACAAUGGUUAACCUAACUCCUACAUUGACACAAGAGGAACUUUACCUCCUCUAACACCAAAGUAUCAAGCCAACAUUGCAAUACAAGUGAUAUCCACAUUUGUUGCCCUCAUUUUGGUGUGGUGGCUAUUCCAAGCCCUAAAACUAAAGGUGUUUCAUAUUUUCAAUUCUUACAUCAAUAAACAACUAAUGAGAAAAAUACCUAAAAUGUUCUAUUUAUAUUCUAUUAUAGGACAAGGCAAAAUAACAACAAUGCCCUUAAAGGGAGGGGUGGCCAUAGAGUGCAUUUGGACCCAAUGAAGUGACCAAACUGCCCUUAAUAAAGAUGACCAAAUCAUGACCCAUUAAGUGUUGUCCUAAACCGUGAGUCCUCAAGUCUUCGAUGUUCCAAGCAAUCUUCCACACACGACCUUGCUUGUGCUGAAAACGGGUCUUCCUUGCAUAUUCUUGUGCCCUCGGGGUGACCAAGUUUUGAGCCUUUAAAUUAUGACCUCCAAUCAUGUCUUCAAAAAUUAAGGUGGCCAUUUGACUUAUAUCACCUUCCCUUCUUGAAAAGGAUUCGACCUCGAAUCCAAACCUUGCAAGAACAAAGAGAAGACAAACAAGCACCACAUCCUCAUUACAUGAGGGUUAGAGUUAGUACAAUAAAUAACAUCAACAUGCCAAGGAGGUACACACUUGAGAUAUAACCACACAUCCUUUGUUGUAAUCACGAAGUACUUAGAAAAAAUAUUACAAAGGAGUUGGCAAAAGGAAUCACCAUCAAGGGGUGGUGUCCUAAUUGAAAGUAAAGUCCACCUAACACAUAUAACAAUAUCACUCAAACAAGUGGACCACCCUUCACACCCUAAGAAGUUACCGGGAUCGAAUGGGAGACGUAACCAAGGGCUUAGGUCUCGGCCAUUCUCACUUUCCCCCAGGGUGUCAUCCUCGAAAUUAAGCAAUCCCUCUUUAUCACCAUUGGAAAUAUCAUGAACAAAAAGAGGGUUGAGAAAGGUAUUCCAUAAGUAACUUCAAAUAAAGGAUUCUCAUGCAUGCACUUACUACUAGUUUCAAAAUCUCCACUAGGAAUAUGUCCAACAUAAGAAAUACAUAAAGAAGAAGUAGAUGACAUUUCUAAGCACAUAUCACCUUCUCUUUCACAAGAGUAGUCCUUACAUAUAUACAAACCAUCACGGGCAGCCAAAAGACCACAAUCAAAAUCAUCUUCACAAGUACAAUCACAACUCAGGUUUUCUAAACAUUCAAGCAAGUCAAGAUCAUCUACGCCCGGUUGAUCAUUUUGCUCACCCUCACUAGUUAUUGGCAAUUCACAUACCAACGCAGACUCACCUUUUUUUUCACAAGGUUCAACUAGUGUUUGAAUACUCUCAUCACUUGGUAAUGGAACCUUAGUCAAGUUGUAAGUGCUAGCACUAGAUGGACACAAAUUAUUCUCACGAGGAGAAUCAAUUUCGUUAUCUAAAGGAUCAACUAGUGCUUACAUACCUAAAACAAGAGUUUGGUCCUCAUGCGACCUAACAAUAUCAAAAGUAUCACAAAAUGAAGACUCAUGUACUCCUACACUAGGUAAACCUACAACUACGUUCAUAAGAGUGUAAGGGAUAACAUUUUUACCUUGUAUCUCACAUGAGCUACUGUCUUAAUCAUGACGUGUGUCCGGGUAGCCCACUUUCUCCCUUGGAACUCCCAUGUGAUCUAACCUUUCAUUUAUCACUUUCCAUUGAUGAGUAAUGGCUUCAAGUUUAGCCAAAAUAGCAAUUGCAUCCGUGGGUUCCAUUUUAAUUGCACCUAAAAAAACAGAACAAGUCUACAAAAUAAAACACAAGUUAGUUCGACACAAUCUCACCACACUCUCACACACCUGAUCGUCUCACACUUAGAUUCACAAGUGUUGCAAGUCGGCUUGUAGUUCAUGAUGAGUCGAGGGGUGAGUCUACUCCUUGGUUGGAAUGGGUUCUUUGUUUGAAGACUCAAGGAAAUAAUGUCCGAACUUGAACCAAGAAAUUCUAUGAUUCAAAAAUAAGAAAAUCGCAAAAUAACGCUAACACGGACAAACGGGCACAAAAUACUAACUAACAAGAUAGUAGAAGAUUACUAGGUCGUCAAUUAGUGUUUGAACCAACAAACGAAACUAAGAAACAAUAAAAUGAAACUAAGAAAUCUAAAAUUUAAACUCAAAAUGUUGCGUGAACAGUAAUUUAGUGAUGUGGCAGUCCACUAUUUGCCUUGGUUUUGUCAAAAUUUUACACUCCAAUUUCAAGUCUUGACCAAUCUACUAUUUGGAAAUGAUGGAUUUAGUUAAUGGUGGGAAAUUUUGGUCUUGAAGCUCCUUUUUCAAGUUCAAAACAAGACUUGACCUUCUUGGUACUUUCUCCUUGAAACACAGUCCUUAAAUCAAGGAAAGUAGGUGAAAAGUGGUUGUCAAGUCUUUUGAGUGAUGUGAUCAAGUCUUUCACCAACAAGUACUACAACUUGGUCUUUCACCUUUUGUGGAUCUAAUGUUAACUUUUUGUUUUAAAAAAAGUUGAAUAGGCUGAAGAACAACAACAACACAAUAACAACACCAAGAACAACAACAAAUUCCAACGCCCAACUCCACAACAACAAGGCCUUCAACACGGUCAAGGCUUAGAAUGACAACAACAUCAAAUCAUCCACACUUUUUUCACAUUAACAACAUCAACAAGUUCUAAUUCAAGCUUAGAUUUGGACACUUUUUAGUGUUGGUGAGAAAGAAACCAACACUAGAAAAACUCUAAACAACAAAAGACUACAAGAUCUAGUCACAAAGAAACAUGUCUCGGCCAAGACAAUAACAAGAACAACAACUUUCUCAGCCAAGAACAACAAGAACGGGCAGAUUACUUCUUUUCUAGAUUUUUUUAGUUCUUCAACUUUUUUUUUUUGAUAUUUUUUUUUCAACUCUCAAGCCUAAGAUUGAUUUUGUUAGAACAAAUUCAAAGAUGAAUCUGAAACCAAAUGAUACAAGAAUUACAAGAACAACAUGAAACAUACUUCAAAAUCAGUCCACAAGGUCAAAGAUCCGAGGACCCUUUUGAAGACCACACUCGGAUUCAACAAACAACAAGAAGAACAUAAUGUAUUGAUGUGUUUAUCACCUAAAAACAGCUAACAUCAAACUAUGUUAACAACAACAAGAUGAAGAACAACAAUAAUGGAACAAGAAAAACAAGUAACAGAUUUGAAUUACAAGAACACAAACAAACGAUUACAACAUAAACAAAAUGGAUAGAUAGUUAGACUUUGGUUGGUAUAAUCUUAAGAAUCCAAGAAUAUGGUAAUCUUGGACCCUUAACACUACACACAACGGUUAACCUAACUCCUACGUUGACACAAGAGGAACUUUACCUCCUCUAAACACCAACGUAUCAAGCCAACAUUGCAAUACAAGUGAUAUCCACACUUGUUGCCCUCAUUUCGAUGUGGUGGCUAUUCCAAGCCCUACAACUAAAGGUGUUUCAUGUUUUCAAGUCUUACAUCAAUAAACAACUAAUAAUAAAAAUACCUAAAAUGUUCUAUUUAUAUUCUAUUACAAGACAAGGCAAAAUGAUAACAAUGCCCUUAAAGGGAGGGUGGCCAUAGAGUGCAUUUGGAUGCAAUGAAGUGACCAAAAUGCCCUCAAUGAAGAUGAUCAAAUCAUGACCCAUUAAGUGUUGUCCUAAACCGUGAGUCCUCAAGUCUUCGAUUCUCCAAGAAAUCUUCCACACACGAUCUUGCUUGUGCUCAAAACGGGUCUUCCUUUCAUAUUCUUGUGCCCUCGGGGUGACCAAGUCUUGAUCCUUUAAAUGAUGACCGCAAAUCAUGUCUUCAAAAAUUAAGGUGGCCAUUUGACUUGUAUCAAUUCAAGGUCUAUAUCAUUCCCCAAGUUCAAUUAAUCUUUAACUAGCUCUUUCAAGCUUAACUCAUCUCCAUUAAUGAAGUUUUUAUGUUAAAAGUCUCAUCUUUACGGAAUUCAAGGUUCCUAACCAUCAAAAUUCAUAAUCUAGUUUAUGAAAUUCAUGUUAGGAAUCUUUAAUUUAUAAUUUAGAAUUAGCUCUAGGCCAUAUUAAAAACAUCCAUGAGUAUUCCCCAAAAGAAUUCCACCAUUAAAGGUCUUUUUAAAGAUUUCAAGAUGUUAAAUAAUUAAAAGGCAAAAAAAAUAAUGGAAAAAAACUUUACCUCAACGAAGGAAUUUUACCUUAUGCUUUGAAAAUCACCUCUCUAGGGUUGAGGAAUGAAAUUUGGGAUAUUUAGACCUAAAAUCCGGCUGAAGAUGAUUUAAAUAUCAUUAAAAUUUUCGCUAGAAAUCUCAUUUCAGUCCGAACAGUGCUCAGUAAAACAGUCAUAACUUUUUACACUACAAACUAAGACAUGUAUAGCUACAGAAUACCUCGUAGCUAAUUAUGAAAUUUUUCGUGGCUAAACACUUUAGCCACAAUUUUUUCUUCCGUAGCAAGAAGUUGCAUAAUUAAAAGUUAGCUACAGAUUUUACAUGAUCGGUGACUAAGGAGUAAUACUUACAACUACAAAAGAUAUUGUGUUGUAGCUGUGAUAAUAAAAAGUUCUUGCUACGGAUUAUAUACUUGUAGCAUAAAAUUUUACCUUGUUGCCACGAUAAAUAAACUUUAUAGCAAUUUUUAUACAUAGGCACAAUAUGUUCUAUUGUGGAAAAAGACUUUAUUUAUUUGCUAUGAAAAUUAAAAAAUUGUGGCUAUUUUACAUUUUAAUUUUCUGAUAAUAAUGUUUGUAUUUAGUUACGAAUUAGAAAAUCCAUUGCUAUAAACUAAAAUAUUUGCCACAAAUAUUUUUAUACAUGGCUAAAAACUUAUUCUUUUUGCUAUGAAAUACAGAAACUAUAGCUAAUUUUUUUGUACAAUUAAAAGUGAAAAUGCAUUGCCAUAUUUUUUAUAAUAUAUAGAUUAUGGAUACACUACAAUAUUUAUUGCUAUAAAUUGAAGAAUUCAACCAUAAACAUUAUUAAUCAAAGAAUUCCUUAAUAUGACUAAAGAAAUUAAGAAUUACAUAUUACAAAUUUAAAAAAUUUCACUAGCUUUGUUCGUGAUAGAAAUUACAUAAAGUAGUUAUGAAUUCAUUUUUGAGAUUUCAAUACGAUUGUCAUGUUACAUAUAAUUGUGUUUUACAAUUUUAAGAAUAGUCACAAUAUACAAUUCUUUUCAGACAUAAUCUUGUUUGAGUUCAAAGAAACAUAGUCUUCUUCUCUCUCUCCUUUCAAGAUCUUCAAGUGGACCUUAACUUGAUCAACAUUCAUCCUAAUUUGUAAUUUACCUGCUCCUUUUUCAUUAGUAUGCCUAUCAAUAAUGAUAAAAUAUAUUAGAGUUAAGAAAAUCAAGAUCAACUAAUUGUAUAUAUGUGUGUACAUAUAGAAUUUCAAGAAUAAAAACAUAUAUGUAUUAUGUAAUUCUUUUAUUUAAGUUUUAAUGAACAAAAACAAGAAAAAGUUCAAAGCAACUUAGAAUACGUAGAUGUAGAUCUUAAAUAUCAAUACAACAAUAAUAACAUAAUUAGUAUAAUCUCACGAAUAAAAAAUAUCAAAUUCAAUAUCAACUUUUAGAAUACAUGCUUAUAAAAAAGUUAUCUUUAUAUUAACAAAAAUAUAUAAAAUUCAGUGCAAUACUUAUACUAUACAAACUUAUCUCAUCUACUUAAAAAAUUCCAUGUUGUAAGAACCAACAAAAAUAAAAAGUUGAUAAACAAAAUAUUAAACAUAAAAAUUCAAAUGGAAUCAUAAACUAAGAUAAGCAAGGUGGGGGAGGAAAGGGAUGAGGGGAGGAGAAGAAAAGAAAGAAGUGGGUGAGGGAAAAGGGAUCUAGGUGUUUAAAGUGGUAGCAGGAGUAGGUUAUUUGAUUAGAUUUGAAAAUUUUAGAGGGAAAUUUUGAACUUUUUAAUUUUUUAUAUUUUUUAGGGGUGAAAGAAUUUGUGUGUGGUUCUAAAAUAGAAAAGAAGACCGCCGUUGGAGAGAGAUUUAGAUUUGAUAUUUUUAAAAUUUUUUAUUUGAUUUGUUACAGUUUAAGAUUUUUUUAGUUUGAUCUUUUCCACUUCCUUUACCUUUUUUUUUUUCUAGGUCACGUUCACGUUUCCUUACUUCUAGUUAUGCUAUAUGUAUGAUUUUUGUUUUCUUUUUAUAAAGUAUAUUAUUAAUAACUAAUAAAUUUUCUCUAAUGAAAUAAUAACAAAUAUAUACUUUACUUUAAGUUACUGAAAAAAGUUAACUAUUCUAUUGAAAUAAAUAUUAUUUCAAAAUAUAUUUCUUUUCAAUUUUUUGGUCCUUCGUGAUAUCGUUAAUUUUGUUAUCUUUUCUUCUAUUUUAAUAAGUGUUUAACUUAUAAUGUUGUGUUAAUUUUAUAAUUAUUCUUAAUUUAAUUUUUAUACUUUCAAAACACACUAAAACAUAGUAAUUCAAAGAAAUAAUUAUAUGACAAUUUAAAUGAUUUUCUCAAUUUUUAAGGUAGAGAUAAAAUUUUUAUUCUUCUUAGACCGCACUAGGUAUGUUGUAGUUGUUGUAUAUGAGUUUAGAAUGAUUUAUAUGAAAUAAAAUGUCAAAUUUAAAAUAAAAAAUUAUAAAAUAAAAUAAAAUUAUCAAUAUUAGAAAAUCUAUCUAUACAAAAUUAGAGAAGAAAAAUAAUAUUGUGAUUGUUAGUUACUAUAAAAUUCAAGUUCGAAAAUUAUUUUAAGAUAGAAAUUUCAUAUAAAAACAUAUCAAUUCAAUUUUUCUUAUAUUAGUAACCUGAAUUCAAAUUCGUAUUAUAGUGCUCUAUUAUGGUGGAGUCAUACUUCCACUACAUUCGAUUAUUUCAAAUUUGAUUUUAAAUAAGAAUAUGAAUUUGAAUUACUAUUUUAGUUUAAAAGACGUCUGAAAAAAUUAAAGUCAAUCCAAAAAUUGUCACAUAACUUGAGGCAGAUGAAGUAAAAACAAAAGAAUGUGUAUAAUUUUUUCGAGAUUGUGGGACCCACAUAAACUACACACUUAAAUUUUAAACUCAUGCCCUUAAAAAAAGUUGACAGUUGGUGGAAGAAAAAAUUUGAAUUAUGAAUAUUUAAAUAACUUAUCUUAAAUAUAAAAAUAAAAAUUACUUAACCAACAACACUAAUUAAUAUUAAUAUCAAGUAUUUGUUUGACACAUAAUGAGACACUUAAUAUCAAGUAAUUUACUACGUCAGAAAUAUAUAUAACUUACUUUAAAUAUAAAUUUAAAAAUAUUUAACCAACGCUACUCAAAAUAAAUCAAUUUAUUAAACAAUAUUGGGCAUGUGCUAAUUGAAACUUGCAAGUUGUAUUUCAUAAAAUUAAAUUAAGUCGAAUAAUAAAAUUUUUAAUUAUUGUGUAUUUUUUUACAAUAUUGUCUCAAAAAAUUACGUCCAAGUGAAAUAACAAUUAAACACUUAGGCAAGAUAAAAUAUGAAUGAGAAUAAUUGAAUGUUUUACUAAAUUUUGAUAUGAUCAAGUAUUUAUUUAAGUUGUAUUUAGGGCUUGCAAGCUGUAACAUUCAAUGCAUUAGAUUGACAAAUAUAUAAUUCAGAUGGAAUAUAUUUAAUUUGUGUCAAAAUAAUAUUUUUGGAAGUUCUUGAUCAAGAUGAAACUUCAGUGAGACUUAGUGAUGUUAAUUUAAGUUUGAUAUAAUUAAUUAUUUAACAUUAAUUAGAUACGAUCGCCUCUUUAUUUAAAUUAUAUUUAAAAUCGACAAGUAAUCAUUUAAAAUUGAAUUAAAUCAAAUGAUCAAUAUCUCUAAAUACACUAGAUUAGCAUUGUUACAAUAAAUUUCAGCUCGGGUUAAAAAAAAUUAUUAGCUAUCAAAUUUAUUACAAUAAUAAUUCUAAAUCAUAUUUUCAUGAAAGUUAUUAUUAUAUAUUACUGGAUAGUUACUAUUAAUUCAAUUAUUGCUAUAAUUUCUUUAAUAUCUAGACCAAAAAUAUUUAUUUCAUUGCAAUUUUUUAUUUUAAAUAACCUUUUUCAUGUUCAAAAAGUCAUUAUUGCUACAACAAGUUCUAACACAUGACAAAAGUUAAUAAUUUUAGCUACGAACUUUAUCGUAUCAAAAAAUAUAUGACCUUAUCGUUUAAGGCUUGUUUAGAAAAUCACCCUGAAAAUUGAAUUUGUUGUAACUGAGUGUAAUUACACUAUCUGAUAUGUUUAGUUAAUCAGGUAAUUACUUGAUUAGCAGGUAAUUGGGUGUAAUUGACAGAGGGUAAUUAUACUCUCCAAAUUCUCACGGAGGAGCUAUGAAUUGCUGAUAAUUACACGGUGUAAUUUCAAGGUUACUUUUUAAUUUUAUCAUUUUAUUUUUGUUUUCAUUUAUUUUAAUUUUGAUUAAUUUUUAGUUUUAUCCUUUUUUUUAAUUUUUUUUAUUUGAAUUUUUAUUUUCUUUCUAUUUCUAUUAUUUUAAAAUUUUAUUUUUAUUUUAAUAAUAUUUUUUUUAAAAUAUAUGUUUUAACUUACAGUACUUAUAUUUCAUUUCUCAAUAUAUUUUUUUUUGUGAUUUUAUGCAAUUGUUCAUGUUAUUUAGUUUUUAUAUAUGUUAUUUAUUUUUAUUUUUGUAUUUUCAUUUAGUAUAAUUGUGUUUUUAUUCUAUUUUUUUUAGAUUAAAGUAGAAUUCAUUGCCGAAUAAGGUUGUACACUUGCAGUUUUUUUUAAAAAUUAUAUUUAUGUACAGUAUGUUGAAAUUUUAUGUAAGUGUUUUAUGCUAUUUUUUUUUGUUUUGAAAAUUGAACUUAAGUUAUAUUUUUUAUUUCAAUUUAUUUACUUAGUAUUAUUGACUUAAUAUUUCACAUUGUUUUAGUAAUUAAAACUUAUGGAGUAGUUAUAUUUUCGUCAGAUGUCUAAUAAUUUAUUAUAUUGUAUUUAUUGUAUUAAUUAUUUUGUCAAACAUGCAUUUCAUGAUGUUCUUUAAAAAUCAUGUAUUUUUAAUUUUUAUGAUUUAUGAUUAAUCUAUUUAUAUUAAUGUGAAAAAUAUAUUAAUUUUUUUUAUACAAUAUUAGUUAAGAGUAUAUGUGUAAUACCCCAUACUUUUACUUGGCUUUGAAAUAUGAAUCCAUUCUUGUACACGUGAAAUUUUUAAGAUUUUCACUUUUUGUCAUGUGUAAAAUUGAAUUAGCUUUCAAACGAAACCAAUUUCAUCAAAAUCCGACAUCAGAGGAGAAAGUUAUGGCCAAAAUAAAGAAGGUAGUAAAAUCGCCUAGAUACGACGGUGAGGCCGACGGACCCUAGCGACGGACUGUCGCCCAGGCUGUCACAUCGAGGCAGUGAGACUACCUUCUGUCUAAGAGCGACGGCCCAGGCCGACGGCCCAUCGAGCUAGCGAUGGAUCGUCGCUUAGGCCGUCGCAAGGGAGACAGUGAGCCCCUAUUCUGCCCAGGUGCGACGGUCAGGACCGACGGACCGUUGACCUAGCGAUGGACCGUCGCACCCACCGUCGGACAUCCCGUUUAGUUAUUUUAAAGUCAUUUCUAAAAGGGUAUUUGAGUCUUUUUCCACCCGAUUUAACCCCUAAUUACACCCGAUCAUAGCUCGUAAGUUCAUUAUUCUUCUACAACAACAAAUUAGGGUUUCUCUCAAAGAUCAAUCCCCAUGAACAAAAAACCCUAGGUGCUUGAUUCCAAGCCAAGAAUUCAAGUUUUCCUCCACAGAUCUUUAAGAAAUCACUGACCUAGGUAUGUCAUGUGUUGAUUCAUGGGUCUCUUUCACCCAUGAAGCUCAAGAAUCUCUUUUCAAAAUCUAAGAUUUAGGUAUUUGAGAAUGUUAAUGAUUUAAAUUAAAUUGAAAUUCAUGUUCUUGAUGUUGUGUAGUUUUGAUUCAUGUUUUAAAUUACAUAUUCCAAUGAUUGACCCUAGUAUGUGAUGAUUUGUAUAAUAAUCAUGAUAAAUCCCCUUCAAUUUACAAGUUGAUUGAUGUAUCCAUGAUUAUUUUAUGUAUUGAUGAUUGUAUAACCAAAGCAUGCUACCCAUGUGUUUGAUUAAAUGCUUAUAUGAAGGAAAAUCGUCAUACUAGUAUAAUAAUAUGAAAUCCCCAUUUAUGUACAAGUUUAUGCAUGUGAAGUUUUUGAUGAAAUGUCUUAGUCAAUGAAUUAUGGAUUGUGAUGUUGGUCAUGUAUUCAAGAAAGUCAUGCUUUGUCAGUUUCCUUCUAUCGAGUCUUGGGGGUACUUGUACCCGAUAAUUUAGCUGAGUACCUAGAGCCAGUGUCAUAUUUUCAUGAUAUCCUCAAUCAAGCCAUGUUCAAUAGAAUUCAUUUAGUCAUGUGACUAAGGAAAACUCAGUAAUCCCAGUAAUCUCAGAAAGCUCAGUAAUACAGAAAUCUCAAUACUAUUCCAUCAGUCAACAAAACUCAAUUAAUUCAGUCCAUUUUAGUUCAGUAAUCCAUGUUUAGUGUCUAUUAAGAUGGGAGUAGGAAUUAGCAUCGAGUUAACCCAUGAAUGGGAACACUCACACUGUCAGAUGAGGGUGUGAUUCUUAGGAGCAAUCCUUGCGUUCCAGAACUAUGUAGCCAGUAUAGAUUGAGACAUCAACACUGUCAGAUAAGGGUUGAUGAGGCGGAUAAGCACUGUCAUAUAAGGGCCCCACCAUUCUCUUUUGGGAACACUAUCAGAUGAGGGUUACCCACAGCUUGUCCUUACCAGUGGUGCGGUAUUGACACCCUUCUAAUUAGGGUUACAGAUUAGACCCAAACUUAACCAUAAUGGCAUAUUAGGGGCAUGUAGGUUAGAUGACUAUUUUCCUACAGUUUCAGUUACAGAAUCAGGACUGUCAGAUACAGUCAUUUAGUCUCAGUAAUAGACUCAAAUAGUUCUACGGAAUUCAGCUAGUUCCCUCAGAAACUAGACUAUCAUAUACAGUUGCUCUUAUAAGUUGUUUCAGUUAUAUGGUUAUCAGUAUCUCAUGUUAUCAGCACUCAAGCUCAGUAAUCAUGUUGUCACGAACUUAGUUACAGUUAUUAUGUAUUCAUGCAUGAAUUCUCACAUUCAUGUUAUCCAGUCAUUAGUAUAGUUCAUGCAUGUAAACCCUUUGCAUUCAGCGUACCUCACAUGCAUACCAGUAUAUUCAAAGUAUUGAUGCAUUUGCGCUAUGGUGUUUUAUACCAUAGGUCCAGAAGCACGAGCACCAGAGUAUCAGUAGCAUUUCAGUUUCAGCAGUCAGAGUUAGCAGUGAGUACUCAUCCUUAGAGGACAUGACCAUUACUUUAUUAUAUCAUUAAUUAAUUUAUUAGUUAGAGUUAGUUGGGGAUAUGUCCCAUCAACUCAUUAUUCAGAUAGUUCAGUUAGUUAGAGGCUUUUCAGACUAUCAUGUUCAGACAGUUUACUUCACUUGUUUUGGGUAAUUCAUAACCCACCCAGAUGUUAUGUUUUUAUCUGAUUUGAACGUUAUGGCCUUUCAGCCUUUAUUUUUGCAUUAUAUACAGUAGGUUAUGCAGUGUACAGGUACAGAUAUCAGUUAUGGGUUAGCUUGUGGUCCUUCGGGGUCAUGAGCACCGUGUAGCAUUUUAAGUACCAGAUUUGGGGCAUUACAAACUUAGUAUCAUAGCCAGGUUCAAUAUAGUCCUAGGAAGUCUGAAAGUCGCAUCUAGUAGAGUCUUGUACAUGGGUUUAUUGUGCGCCACAUUUAUGUACAGGAGGCUAUGAGAUGUUUUAGGAACAGUUUCCCUUAUUUCAGUAUUCAUAUUAUGCCAGUGAGCAUAAUCUCAAGUCAAUCUCUCUGUCUAAUCCAUUUUCCCUUUUUUCUACAGAACAUGACUCCUAAAAGAUGAAAUGAGAAUCAGUCAGACCCUCACCCCGAAGAACCUUUAGGCAAAUAUGUUUCUCAUGCAGAGUUCAGAGCUGCAUUCACUACUCUUGCUUAGUCAGUUGCUUCUCAGAAUGAAUGACCUGCUGUCGUUCUGGCCAACCCAGUAGCCAAUUCAGCUGUAGCCAGGAUUUGGGACUUCACCCAAAUGAACUCUCUAUCAUUUCUCGGAUAUAAGUCAGAUGAAGACCCUCAGGAAUUAAUUGAUCAGGUUCAUAAGGUUACUAACGUCAUGAGGGUUACUCUUACUGAGAGUGCUAAGCUAGCCGCAUAUCAGUUGCAGGAUGUUUCUCAUACUUGGUACAGGCAGUGGAAGUCAGAGAGGUUAGUUGAUAUAGGACCUAUAGAGUGGGAGGAGUUUGUCACCGCAUUCUUAGAGAGGUUCUUUCCCCUAGAGCUGAGAGAAGCUAAGGUGUUAGAAUUCAUCAACCUCAGGCAGGGCAACAUGACGGUAAAAGAGUAUUCUCUUAAGUUUACUCAACUAGCCAUAUAUGCUCCUUAUGUGGUUGCAGAUAGCAGGGCCAAGAUGAGUAAGUUUAUUUCUGGGUGAACGAUAGUAUGGUCAACGAGUGUAGGUCUGCGAUAUUGAAUAGUGAUAUGACUUUAGCCAGGCUUAUGACUCAUGCUCAGUAGAUAGAGGAGCAAAAGAUUAAGAUGAGGGAGAAGCAGAAUAAGAGAGUGAGGACAGGUAGUUUCAACUUUGCUCAGCCCAAAUCAGAAGGAGGAAACUGUUCUCAGUUUUGUCCUAAAUCAGCAGGGUACCACUUCUAGUGCUACUAGUAGGCAACGCCUAAACAGACUUUAUGCUCUCCAGUCCUGGCAAGAUCAGGAAAAUUCUCUUGAUAUGGUUACUGGUACGUUACAGAUCUUUCAUGUGUAUGUUUACGCUUUGCUAGACCCAGGAGCUUUUUUGUAUUUUGUUUCUCCUUAUAUAGCAGGCGAUUUCAGAACUAGUCCCAAAAUUCUAGCAGAGCCCUUCUCAGUCUCUACCCCAAUGGGUAAAACCAUCAUAGGCCGGUGGGUAUACAGGAACUACCCAAUUAUGAUAUUUCAGAAAGUCACUUUAGUGGACUUGGUCAAAUUAGAGAUCAGUGAUUUUGAUGUCAUUCUCGUCAUGGAUUGGCUUCAUUCCUACUAUGCCACAGUCGACUGCAGAAAUAGAAUAGUCCAAUUUUAGUUUUUGAAUGAACCUAUCCUAGAGUGGAGGGGUAGUACUUCAACUUUUAGAGGUCUGCUUGUUUCCUACCUUCGGGCAAGGAAAUGAUAUCUAAGGGAUGUGUCUAUCAUCUUGUUCGAGUUAGGACACUAGCUCCAAAACUCCUCGCCCUGAAUUAGUCCCAGUUGUGAAUGAAUAUUCAGAUGUCUUUCCUAAAGAUCUUUCAGGAAUUCCUCCCGAAAGGGAAAUAGACUUCGGCAUUAAUCUUCUUUCAGAUACUCAGCUUAUAUCUAUUCCUCCAUAUAAAAUGGCUCUAGUAGAACUCAAAAAAUUGAAAGAGCAGUUGAAAGAUCUCUUAGAUAAGGGAUUCAUCAGACUGAGUAUUUCCUCGGGGGGCGUACCAGUCUUAUUCAUGUGAAAGAAAGACAAUUCUCUUAGAAUGUCUAUAGAUUACCGUCAACUCAAUAAAGUUAUGGUCAAGAACAAGUAUCCUCUUUCUAGAAUCGAUGACUUAUUUGACCAACUUUAGGGUGCCAACUAUUUCUCUAAGAUAGACCUCAGAUUCGGCUAUCAUUAUAUAAUACCCUAAUUUUCUACUCUGGAACGCUACACGGUGCUCAUGACCCCAAAGGACCACAAGAUAACCCAUGACUGAUAUCUGUACCUGUAUACUAUAUAAAAUACUGAAUAAUGUAGAAACAUGCACUGAAAGUCCAUAAGGUUCAAUACUAAACAUAACAUGGAUGAGAUAACAUCUGUAGGGUAAUUUGAUACCCAAAACAAAUAUUGUAAACACUAAAGUCUGAAACAUAAUAGUCUGUAUCUAGUUUUAAAGACUCUACUAUCUGAAUAAUCUGAAUAAGGAGUUGAUGGAACAUGUCCCCAACUAACUCCAACUAAUAAACUAAUUAAUGAAAGAAUAGGGAAUAAUUAUGUCCUUGAAUGAUGAGGACUCAUUUCUAACUCUGACUGCUAAAACUGGAAUCUACUGUUGAUCUGGAGCUCGUGUCUCUGAACCUAUGGUAUAAAAAACCAUAACACAAAUGUGUUAGUACUUUGAAUGUACUGGUAUGCAUGUGAGGUAGGCUGAGUGCAUGGGGUUCGUAUGCAUGAACAAUAAUAAUAAUUGACUAACUAUUAUGAGCAUGAGAAUACAUGUAUGGGACAUAACAACUGACACUAAUACUGCGAUAACAUAAUUACUGAAUUUGAAUAUAACUAAUAACAUGAGUGACUGUAUCUGACAGUCUUGAAUCUGAUGGAACUAUCUGAGUUCCAUUCUGUGUCUGAGUUGACUGUAUCUGACAGCCCUGAAUUCUGAAAAACUAUCUGAGUUCUUUUACUGAGACUGAUACUGAGAAUGUGGGAGGUAUUCAUCUAACCGGCAUACCCCUAAUGAUGCAUUAUAGCUGAAUUGGGGUCCAAUCUAUGCCCUGAUUGGAAGGGCAUCAAUGCCGCACCACUGGUAAGGACAACAUAUGAGUGACCCUAACAUAACAGGUAAGUCUAGUGAGAAUGGUGGGAACACUCAUAUAGCAGGAUAAGCCACCUCAUCUACCCUCAUAUAGCAGGCUAUGAUGUCUCAACCUAUGCUGGCUACAUAAUUCUGGAACGCAAGGAUUGCUUCCAGGAAUCACACCCUCACAUAACAGGUGAGUUCCCAACCUUGGGUUUACUCGGUGCUAAUUUCUACUCCCAUCUGAAUAGACACUGAUCAUGAUUUACUAAACUGAACUUGGACUGAGUUACUAAAUUCCGUUGACUGACGGAAUAUAACUGAUAUCUGACAACUAACUAAGUUCAUGAGAUCAUGGAGAUUUCCUGAGUCAUAAGACUGUCUGAAGUCUAAGGAUCAUGGCUUGACUGAGAGUAUCGUGAAAACAUGACAUGGCUCUAAGCACACAGUUAAUGUUUCAGGUACAAGUACCCCCAGGACUUGAUGAAAGGAAACUGACCAAGCAUAACUUACUUGAACAUAUAACUAACAUCAUAAUCCAUAAUACAUUUAUAGAAGCAUUCCAUCAAAACAUGGNNNNNNNNNNNNNNNNNNNNNNNNNNNNNNNNNNNNNNNNNUACAACAAUUAAUCAUCAUGAUUCAUCUCUAAUUUCAUCAUCUAGGGUUUAUUCAUAGGUUCACAUGAAUAUACAUCUUUAUAAAUCAAUUCUAUAUAAAAUUGAUCACCCAACAUUAAUUUGAAUUCAACUGAUCAUUUUCAACAUAAACAAAACAACCCAACAUGAAAUUCAUAAAGAAAUCCAUACACUUAAACUUAGAAAAGAGAUUCUUGGACUUCAUGGAUGAAAGGAGUCCAUGAAUGAACACCAUGCAUACCUUGGUUCGUGAUUUCGUGAAGAUUGACGGUGAAACCUUCUUGAAUUUGAAUCCCCAAUAGAAACCCUAGCUUGUUCUUGAGAGAAACUUGAGAGAAAAUAGUAUAUUUUGAGUGAAGAAUGACUAAAUCACGUGUUAUUGGGUUUAAAUAGGGGUAGGAAAUUGACCUUUUAACCCUGGAUGCGUCAUUUAAUUUUAGUAAAAUUUUCCCAAAUUGGGACCCUGGCGCAAUGCGGCGUUAUCGUACCGUGUCACUAGAAAUUAACAAUUGAGAAAUUGAGGGAUGGUGCGAUACAGAUCCAUUACGUUGCCCCUUCCUUUGUGACCUAGAACUUUGGUACGAUGCGGAGGAAAUCACGCUGAGAUACUGGAAAAAGGACAAUUCUAAAUUUGAGUGCUGGCACGAUGCACCAUAAUCACGGACACCUACUGGAAAUUUCCAAAUUCCAUUUCCUCUCAUGGCGCGGCGCGCUACCGACUAAUAUGCCGCUGUUUUAUGAUGGGAACUUAAAAUAAUUGUAACUUCUGACUCGGUUAUCGAAUUUGAGCGAAUCUUAUAUUGAUGGAAAGCUUAUUGAAUUUCCCACAUAACAAAAAGUAAAAAUCUUGAAGAUUCCUUAUGGAAUGACCAUCAUUCAAUUUAGAAACCAAUACUAGACAUUCUUGAGAUGAAAUUAACUAGGAAAAAGUACGAGGUAUUACACAUCAGCUCAGAGUUAGAGAAUAUGACAUUCUAAAAAUAGCUUUUCGUACUCGGUGUGGUCACUUUGAAUUCCUAGUCAUGUCCUUUGGGCUUACCAAUUUCCCUGCAGCUUUCUUAGACUUGAUGAAAUGGGUAUUCAAGCAGUACCUAGACAUGUUCGUCAUAGUCUUCAUAGAUAAUAUUCUGGUCUAUUCCCACAGUGAGCGUGAUCAUGAAGACCAUUUUAGAAUUGUACUUCAGACUCUCAGAGAUCAUCGAAUAUUCGCCAAAUUCAUUAUGUGCAAGUUUUGUCUAAGGUCAGUAGCAUUCCUUGUCCAUAUCGUUUCCAGUGAUGGCAUUACAGUAGAUCCUCAAAAGAUUGAAACGGUAAAAAAAUGGCCUCGCCCUGUCUCUCCAUCAGACAUCAGGAGUUUCUUGGGUUUGGAUGGCUAUUACAGAUGGUUUAUUGAGGGGAUUUCUUCUAUUGCAUCCCCUAUGUCCAAAUGGACUCAGAAGAAAGUCAAGUUUCAGUGGUCAAAUCCUUGCGAGAAGAGUUUUCAGGAGUUGAAGACUCGACUCACCUCAGCUCCAGUCCUAGCUCUUUCAAAUGGUUCAGAUGGGUUCUUAGUGUAUUAUGCUGUAUCCAGAGUAGGUUUUGGUUGUUUUCUCAUGCAGUAUGGUAAGGUCAUAGCCUACGCCUCCAGACAACUUAAACCCAAUGAGAAGAAUUAUCCGACUCAUGAUCUUGAGCUAGCAGCUGUAGUAUUUUCCUUGAAGAUUUGGAGGCAUUACCUAUACGGUGUUCAUGUAGAUGUGUUCACAGAUCAUAAGAGCCUUCAGUAUGUAUUUUGUCAGAAUGAUCUCAAUCUUUGUCAGAGAAGGUGGUUAGAGCUCUUGAAAAAUUAUGACAUGAGUGUCCUUUAUCAUUCAGGCAAGGCCAAUAUUGUGGUCGACGCUCUCAGUAGACUGUCUAUGGGUAGUGUUGCUCAUGUCACGUAUAGUAAGAAGAAGUUAGCUCAGGAAAUCCAUCAGCUUUCCAAACUAGAAGUUCACUUAGUCGAUAUAGAAGAGGCCGACAUAUGGGUUCAGAGUAGUUUAGAAUCAUCUCUAAUUUUCGAGGUGAAGGAAAAGCAAGAUAGAGAUCCCAACCUUGUCAAGUUAAAAGAGUUAGUCAAGGAUUAGAAAGUAGAGGUUUUCUCCCAAGGGGGAGAUGGUGUUCUACGUUGUCAGGGUCGUCUGUGUGUUCCAAGUGUAGAUGAAUUAAGGCAGAAAAUUCUUGUAGAAGUGCAUGGUGCGCGCUACUCUAUUCAUCCAGGGGCCACAAAAAUGUACCGCGACUUGUGGGAAAUCUAUUAGUGGAAUGGGAUGAAGAGAAAUGUUGCAGAGUUUGUGGCUAAGUGCGCUACAUAUUAGCAAGUUAAGAUAGAGCAUCAGAAGCCUAGUGGGUCCAUGCAGUAGUUCAGUAUUCCUAAUUGGAAGUGGGAAGUUGUGAACAUGGACUUCAUUAUGGGUUUGCCUCAUACUCGUCAUCAGCAUGAUUCCGUUUGGGUCAUUGUAUACAGAAUAAUCAAAUCAACUUAUUUCCUUCUAGUCCAUAUCUUUUAUUCAGUUGAGGAUAAUGCCAAACUCUACAUCAGGGAGUUGGUCAGAUUGCACGGUGUUCCAUUAUCCAUUAUCUCAGAUAGAGGUACCCAGUUCGCCUCUUAUUUUUGGAGAGCAUUUUAAAAGAGUCUUGGUACCCAAGUUUAUCUCAGUACAGCCUUCCAUCUUCAGACAGAUGGUUGAGAAGAAAGGACCAUUCAGACCCUAGAAAAUAUGCUAAGGGCGUGUGCAAUUGAUUUCAAGGGUAGUUGGGAUGACCACUUGCCUUUGAUUGAGUUUGCAUACAACAACAACUAUCAUUCCAGUAUUCAGAUGACUUCAUUCAAAGCUCUCUAUGGUAGGAGGUGCAGAUCUCCAAUUGGUUGGUUCAAAGUUAGUGAGGCCUCAGUUAUAGGUCCUGACUUAGUAUUCGAUGUCUUAGAAAAAGUCCAGUUGAUUAGAGAAUGACUCUGGGCUGCUUAGAGCCGACAAAAGUCUUAUACAGAUGUACGCAGAAAGGAUCUCGAGUUCAAGAUUGGUGACUAUGUCUAUCUAAAUAUCUCCCCCAUGAAUGGAGUGAAGUGGUUCGACAAGAAGGGGAAACUUAGUCCCCGAUAUGUCGGUCCUUUCAAAAUUCUCAGUCGUCUUGGCAAGGUAGCCUAUGAGCUCGAAUUGCCUUCAAAUCUAGCCUAAGUUCAUCCAGUCUUCCAUGUCUGUUUGCUCAAGAAGUACAUAGGUAAUCCAGCAGUUGUAGUCCCUAUUCAGCGCAUAGAUAUUUAGAACAGUCUCUCUUAUGAGGAAAUCCCAAUUAAAAUUCUAGACUAUCAGACUCGUAGAUCGAGGAACAAAGAAGUCCCUCUAGUCAAAGUUCUUUGGUGAAAUUAGUCCAUUGAGGGAGUUACUUGGGAAGCAGAAGUAGACAUGCGUACCAAGUAUCCUCACCUUUUCUCCGCUAACUCAGAUCUAGCUUAAGGUAACAAUUCUUCUUAAGUUUUUUAGUUUCAUAUUCAGACUUCGGUUACAAGCUUGGUAUACAAUUCAUGUUCAGAAUUCCAUCACAAACUUGGUAUUAAAUAUUAUUGCAUAUUUAGUCAUGCAUUCAUGUAUCAGUUCAGUUAUAUAAUCAUGCAUCAAAUAUGCAUUCUCAUUGUGAGAACCUUAGUUCAUCAGAACACUCAGUCAUGCAUUCACGAAUCAGUUACACAUGCAUCAGAUAUGCAUGUCUAGUAUGUUAUAUUCAGUUGUCAGUCAUGAGAUCAUAUUCCGGUGUUCAUGUUUAGUUAUCUUUUCCCCUCUCACUCAAUCUCAUUAGAGGAUGAAUGUUCUCAAGGGGGAAAUAUUGUAAUACCCUGUUCUUCUACUUGGCUUAAAAUCGUCCCAAGAAUGUUCAAAAGUUUCUUUGAAAUAUGAAUCCAUUCUCGUACACGUGAAAUUGAAUUAGCUUUCCAACAAUACCAAUUUCAUCAAAAUCCGACAUUGAAAGAGAAAGUUAUGGCCGAAAUAUAGAAGACAGUCGAAACCGCCUAGGAGCGACGGUGGAAUCUGAUGGACCGUCGAGCCAGCGAUGGACCAUCACGCAGGCUGUCACAUCGAGGCAGUGAGAAAUACAGAAGGUAGUCGAAAUUGCCUAGGAGCGACGGUGGAAUAUGAUGGACCAUCGAGCUAGCGAUGGACCAUCACCCAGGCCGUUGCAUCGAGGCAGUGAGAUUUCUUUCUGUCUAAGAGUGAUGGCCCAGGGCGACAGACCAUCGAGCUAGCGACGGACCAUCACUCAGGUCAUCGGAAGGGAGACAGUGAGCCCCCAUUUUGUCCAGGUGGGACGGUUAGGACCGACGGACCAUCGACCUAACGACGGACCGUCGCACCCACCAUUGUACAUCCCGUUCAAUUAUUUUAAAGUCAUUUUUAAAAGGGUUAUUGGGUCUUUUUCCACCCGAUUUAACCCCUAAUUACACCCGACCAUAGCUCAUAAGUUCAUUAUUCUUAUACAACAACAAAUUAGGGUUUCUCUCAAAGAUCAAUUCCCAAGAACAAGAAAUCCUAGGUGCUUGAUUCCAAGCCAAGAAUUCAAGUUUUCCUCCACAGAUCUUCAAGAAAUCACCAACCCAGGUAUGUCAUGUUUUGAUUCAUGGGUCUCUCUCACCCAUGAAGCUAAAGAAUCUCUUUUCAAAAUUCAAAAUUUGUGUAUUUGUGAAUGUUCAUAAUUUAAAUUAAAUUGAAAUUCAUGUUCAUGAUGUUGUGUGGUUUUGAUUCAUGUUUUAAAUUACAUAUUCCAAUAAUUGACAUUAGAAUGUGAUGAUUUGCAUAAUAAUCAUGAUAAACCCCCUUCAAUUUAAAAGUUGAUUGAUGUAUCCAUGAUUAUUUGAUGUGUUGAUGAUUGUAUAACCAAAGCAUGCUCCCCAUGUGUUUGAUUAAAUGCCUAUACGAAGGAAAGGUGUCAUACUAGUAUAAUAAUAUGAAAUCCCCAUUUAUGUAUAAGUUUAUGCAUGUCAAGUGUUUGAUGAAAUGUCUUAGUCAAUGAAUUAUGGAUUGUGAUGUUGGUCAUGUAUUCAAGAAAGUCAUGCUUUGUCAGUUUCCUUUUAUUGAGUCCUGGGGGUACUUGUAUCCGACAAUUUAGCUGAGUACCUAGAGCCAGUGUCAUGUUUUCACGAUAUCCUCAAUCAAACCAUGUUCAAUAGAAUUCAGUUAGUCAUGUGACUAAGGAAAACUCAGUAAUCCCAGUAAUCUGAGAAAGCUCAGUAAUACAGAAAUCUCAGUACUAUUCCGUCAGUCAAUGGAACUCAGUUAAUUCAGUCCAGUUAGUUCAGUAAUCCAUGUUUAGUGUCUAUUCAGAUGGGAGUAGGAAUUAACACUGAGCGAACCCAAGAAUGAGAACACACACACUGUCAGAUGAGGGUGUGAAUCUUAGGAGCAAUCCUUGCAUUCCAAAACUAUGUAGCCAGCAUAGGUUGAGACAUCAACACUGUCAGAUAAGGGUUGAUGAGGUGGAUAAACACUUUCAGAUGAGGUCCCCACCAUUCUCUUUCAGGAACACUGUCAGAUGAGGGUUACCCACAGAUUGUCCUUACCAGUGGCACGGUAUUGACACCCUUCUAAUUGGGGUUACAGAUUGGACCCCAACUCAGCCAUAAUGGCGUAUUAGGGGCAUGUCAGUUAGAUGACUAUUUUCCCAUAAUUUCAUUUAUAGAAUCAGGACUGUCAGAUACAACCAUUCAAUCUCAGUAAUAGAACUCAAAUAGUUCUACAGAAUUCAGGACUGUCAGAUACAGUCAAUUCAUGAGUCUUUCUGGGCAUAGUUCAUGAGUCUUUCUAAGGUUAUAUCAUCGAUCAGCAUCGCAGACCUAUACUCAUUUACCACGCUAUCGUUGACCCUUGACACGAACUUGCUCAUCUUAGCUCUAUUGUCUGUAACCACAUGAGGAGCAUACCUGGCUAGCUGAGUAAAUCUGAGAAAAUACUCCCUAACCGUCCUAUUCCCCUGCCUGAGGUUGAUGAACUCAAGAACUUUGGCUUCCCUCAGCUCUUGGGGAAAGAAGCCGUCUAAGAAGGCCAUGACAAAUUCCUCCCACUCGAUAGGGCCUGUAUCAUCUAACCUCUCAGACUUCCACUGUUUGUACCAAUCGUGAGCAACAUCCUAUAAAUGGUAGGAGGCUAACUCAACACUCUCAAUAGAAGUAAAACCCUUGAUGUCGAUGACCUUCUGGACUUGGUCAAUGAACUCCUGAGGGUCCUCAUCAGACUUAGACCUAUGGAAAGAUAGAGGGUUCAUUCGGGUGAAGUCUCGAACCCUAGCUGCUUUAGGAGUGGCCACUGGAUUGGUCGGAAUGACUGGUGGCUGUUCAUUCUGUGCAGCCAUGGACUGAGCAAGUAUGGUAAAUGCGGCUCUGAACUCCGCAUGGGAAACAUGUUCACCCAAAGGAUCUUCGGGCUGAGGAGCUGGCUGGUUUCUUCUCUUUGGGGCCAUGGUCUGGAAUAAGAGAAGAAUGGAUUAGAUUGAGAGUUUAACUUGUGAUUAUGCUCACUAGCAUGACAUGAAUAAUGAAGAAAGAGGACUAUUCCUAGAACAUCUUAUAGCCUCUCGCACAUAAAUGUGGCGCGCAACACACCCAUGUACAAGACUCUACUAGAUGCGGCUUUCAGACUUUCUAGGACUCUAUUGAACCUUAGGCUCUGAUACCAAGUUUGUAAUACCCCGAUUCGCUGAACUGAAAUGCUACACGGUGCUCAUGACCCUGAGGGACCACAAGCUAACCCAUGACUGAUAUUUGUACCUGUAUACUGCAAAUUAUGAUAUAAUAAUGCAGAAUACAUAAAACUAUAAGGCCAUAAGGUUCAACUGAAUACAAUCAUGUGGGUGAAAAUACCCAAAACAACUCAAUCAGAACGUAAAUUUGAACAUAAAUCUGAAAGCCUCUAAACUAUCUGAAUAAAGAGUUAAAGGAACAUGUAUCCAACUAACUCCGUAAAACUGAACUAAAGAAAUAAAUAAAUUUAUCAAAUCAUAUUGUCCUCGAAUCAAUGAGGACUCACUGUGUCUCUGCGACUAGAAUGCUACCGCUACUGCUGGGAUGGAGUUCGUGUCUCGGAACCUAUGGUGUAACAUGAAAAGAAAUCACCAUAGCACAAAUGUGUCAGUACAACUGGAGUACUGAGUAUACGAGGAAAAAAGGCUGAACAUAAAGGGUUUCGUGCAUGAACAACACUGACUGACUAAUAUGAACGUGGGAGUGAAAACACACAUAUAUAGAAACUAGGACCGUGAAUACGUGAUAGCAUGACCUGUAAGCUAAUACAUGGUUUACUGAUAACUGUCAUGACUGAUACUGAAACUGAUAACAUGGACGACUGUAUCUGACAGUCCUGUAUAUACUAAAAUCUGAAGAACGCCCUGAGUUCUUUUACUGAUACUGAUACUGAAAGUUGGGGAAGUAGUGUUUAACCGACAUGCCCCAUGUAUGCCGUUAUGGCUAAGCUGGGGUCCAAUCUCUACCCCAACUAGAGGGGUGUCAAUAUCGUGCCACAGGUAAGGACAGUCUGUGAGUGACCCUUAUCUGGCGGGUACUCAAUGAGAACGGUGGGAACCUUAAACUGAUGGGUUAAGCCACUUUAUCAACCCUAAUCUGACGGGUUAAGAUGUCUCAACCUAAGCUGGCUACAUAGUUCUGGAACACAAGGAUGACUACUAAAAAUCACACCCUGAACUGGUGGGUGAGUUCCCAUCCUUGGGUUCACUNNNNNNNNNNNNNNNNNNNNNNNNNNNNNNNNNNNNNNNNNNNNNNNNNNNNNNNNNNNNNNNNNNNNNNNNNNNNNNNNNNNNNNNNNNNNNNNNNNNNNNNNNNNNNNNNNNNNNNNNNNNNNNNNNNNNNNNNNNNNNNNNNNNNNNNNNNNNNNNNNNNNNNNNNNNNNNNNNNNNNNNNNNNNNNNNNNNNNNNNNNNNNNNNNNNNNNNNNNNNNNNNNNNNNNNNNNNNNNNNNNNNNNNNNNNNNNNNNNNNNNNNNNNNNNNNNNNNNNNNNNNNNNNNNNNNNNNNNNNNNNNNNNNNNNNNNNNNNNNNNNNNNNNNNNNNNNNNNNNNNNNNNNNNNNNNNNNNNNNNNNNNNNNNNNNNNNNNNNNNNNNNNNNNNNNNNNNNNNNNNNNNNNNNNNNNNNNNNNNNNNNNNNNNNNNNNNNNNNNNNNNNNNNNNNNNNNNNNNNNNNNNNNNNNNNNNNNNNNNNNNNNNNNNNNNNNNNNNNNNNNNNNNNNNNNNNNNNNNNNNNNNNNNNNNNNNNNNNNNNNNNNNNNNNNNNNNNNNNNNNNNNNNNNNNNNNNNNNNNNNNNNNNNNNNNNNNNNNNNNNNNNNNNNNNNNNNNNNNNNNNNNNNNNNNNNNNNNNNNNNNNNNNNNNNNNNNNNNNNNNNNNNNNNNNNNNNNNNNNNNNNNNNNNNNNNNNNNNNNNNNNNNNNNNNNNNNNNNNNNNNNNNNNNNNNNNNNNNNNNNNNNNNNNNNNNNNNNNNNNNNNNNNNNNNNNNNNNNNNNNNNNNNNNNNNNNNNNNNNNNNNNNNNNNNNNNNNNNNNNNNNNNNNNNNNNNNNNNNNNNNNNNNNNNNNNNNNNNNNNNNNNNNNNNNNNNNNNNNNNNNNNNNNNNNNNNNNNNNNNNNNNNNNNNNNNNNNNNNNNNNNNNNNNNNNNNNNNNNNNNNNNNNNNNNNNNNNNNNNNNNNNNNNNNNNNNNNNNNNNNNNNNNNNNNNNNNNNNNNNNNNNNNNNNNNNNNNNNNNNNNNNNNNNNNNNNNNNNNNNNNNNNNNNNNNNNNNNNNNNNNNNNNNNNNNNNNNNNNNNNNNNNNNNNNNNNNNNNNNNNNNNNNNNNNNNNNNNNNNNNNNNNNNNNNNNNNNNNNNNNNNNNNNNNNNNNNNNNNNNNCCUAUGCUUGGGUUGGGCGGCGCCUAACCAAUCGCCUAUGCUUACUGUCUCUCACGAAAAUGUGCAUAACUUUUCGCUCGGGUAUUGGAUUAAGGCGAAAUUGGUAUCAUUGGAAAGGUAAUUCAAUUCUCUACAAUUUGGUGGGUCUAAAUCAGAUAAAAUACCACAUUAACAUCGAGUUAUACUCAUUUAAAUAUGACCCUUGCAAAAUCGAACACUAAAACUUGAUGGAUUCAAAAAUUCUUAGCUUGUAUUACCUUAAGUGACUCAUAUGAACAUGCUUAAUGCAUCAUAAGCUAUCCUAUCACUAGGAUAUUCAUUGUAAGUCAUGUACUCAAGUAUGAGUCACAGGAUAGGAGAUUUCAUACGUAGGAAUACUUAUUCACUUCCUAGCUUAGAAACAUGCGGGGUAUUACAAUGAUGAAUAUAAAAAAGACAUUUCUUUACACAUUUAACGAUGUAUAUGAGUCAUGUAUUUGUUUGAAAUAUACAUAGGUACUGUUCAUAACCUUAACCAGAUGGUAACAUAUGUGUAUAUAUUUAAUAUACAAAUUUUAUAUGUAUAUGUAUAUAACAAUACACAACAUACCAAAUAAAUAUAAUAUUUAUGUAUAUGUUCUUCACAUACAUAUGUAACAUUCCUUACCUGAAAGACACUAUAAAAAACAAAAAACAACUCAUAUAUAUAUGAUUUACAUAUACAUAUGUAAAUAUUCAACGAAUCAAAACAUAGUACUCAAAACACACAUAAUAGAAUUUAUUUAUAAGUUCAACAACUUUAAAAGAACAAUGUAUGUGUAGAACAUAUACAUACUUACUAAUACGUACAAGCAUUAACCACAUAUGUAUAUGAACUACAAAUAUAAAUGUUUUCAAACUGUAACACAUUUUUUGUAAGUGUAAUAUGAAUAAGAUUCCACUAUAUGUAUGUAUAUAUGAAAAUUUUUAAAAGGUAAUAUUCAAAUUAAAAAUACCUCAUCAUUCCAGCAUGAAUUUUUCUACGACAUCAAGUAAAAUCAAUUUUUAGAACGAGCAUGAGCAACAACAAAAUCAUAUUGCUGAACUCCAAGGGAAGAUGCUUUUGCUUUGUAGUGGUCAUCAUUCAUUUUUCUAUAAAAUAUUGAAUAUGUGUAUUAAUAAAAAUGUGUAAAUUGUACAUGUAUAUUCAUGAAACAAAAUAAUAUUUGUAUUGUUAGAACUCACUUUUUGGAAUGAAACUUUAACAGACCCUCAAGAACCCAUUUCUUGUACUCUUUAAUGACAGAACUUGAAAUAUCAUCAGAUAUUCCAUAACCUUCAAAUGUAAAUGUCUGUUUGAAAUCUGUGCUUUCAUCCUCUAGGGCCUUUGAACCAGAUGCAAAGUUUAUCGUGUAUGAUGACUUGAAAAUCUUGGACCUAGUCCUGGUUCGUUUAGCAUGAAUUUUUACAGCUAGAUGAGCCGCAACAAAUGAAUCAGGAUAAUGUGAUGGAAUCUGGAUAUCAGAUAGGGAAUGUAAGUUAACUGUUUCAUCCACCAAUUUAACAACUUCAAGCAAAAUAUCAUCUAACGGUGCUGCCAAACCUUGCAUUAUAGCAUCUAUCUCCAAUUGAGCAGAUUCUGAAAUGGUAUUCAAAUAUGCAUCCUAUAUAGGUAAUUAAAUGUAUAUAAUGUAAGUUUUGUUUAAACAUGUUAGUAAAAAAAAAUUUUGACUAUAAAAUUUGACACUAAAAUUAUGAAAAAAGUUACUUUAUGUAUUUACUGAAUGAUCUUUAUGGAUAUUCUCAGUCGUAGGUGUUUCAAAUUUAGAGUAAUCCGAAUUCUGAUUUACAACAACAUCGACAAGAGCAUUCAAUGUGGCAGUUCCGAUAUCCUCCGGUUCCUGAUUCACCAUUUUUUCGACAAAAGCAUUUAAUGUGAAAGUUCCAACAUCCGCACUAAAUUCUUCAAAAUCCUGUUAUAUAUUAAAAAAUAUAUGCAAAAUUAAAUAAGUGUAUUUUUACAAAAUAAUAACUUUUAUACUAUGAGAUAUAUCCAACCUCAAAAGGUUUUUGUACAUUGUUGUGGAUUCCUUCAUUAAUAGCAUCAUUUAUUUUAUCAUGUGCAAAUUCUGUGUGUAAUGAUUUAUUACUGUUGCCGAGAAUAAAAAAUAUUCAAAAUAUGUAUCGAAUGUUUAUGAUGAUGUUUCCUUUUUUGAUGCAUUAACUAUGUAUAUUAUAAACAUAUACGUAUGACAAAUGACAUAUACAAACUAAUAACAAAUAUAACUAUCCAGAACAUCAGUCAACAUACACAACAAACUAAUCUAAAUUUUAUUUUAAUUUUUUCUUUAAUACAAAAUAUGAAACUAACUAUGUGAAACUGCCUUUUUGUAAAAAAUUCCUUUUUUCCUUUUUUUUUUUCAUGUUUGGAAGAAUUCUAUAUCAACCUGCUCUUUUGAUGGAACAUGUUCCUGUUGUAAACAUUCCACAUCAUGAUCUUAUUGAUGCUGUAGAUGUUGUUUGAAAAAUUACAUUAAAUAAUUCAUUAUUGUUAAAUAAGUUAUAAAUAUGUACUACACAGUACUGUAUGUUGUGAACUAUACACAAAAUAUUUAUGUUAUUUAUAAAAUAUUAACUACAUAGUUAUGUAUAGAAAAUUAAUAUACAUAACACAGUUAUGUAUAUUAAAAAUAUAUAUAACUUUGUUAUUUAAAUUGUUUAAUGUACAAAACAUUGAUGAAAUAUAUUUGAAUAUAUACAUGACUGUGUGUGUAUAGAUUUUAUAAUAUCACUAUCUCACUUGGAAAAAUUUAUUUUGUAAAAAAUACCUUUUUUCCUUUAUCUUUCAAACUAGUGACGAUAUCCAUCUCUUUGAAAUUGUCUAGUGAUGGUAAAUCCCCAGUUGUAAACCCUCCAACUUUAUCAUACUUAUGACAUUAGGAUUACAUAUGUGUAAGAACAACAUCAAUGUACGAAAAUAAAAAAUGAAUAGUUAUAAAACAUAUCAUUUUUGCAUUGUCUGCAUUUGUUGAAAAGAAACUCUUAUGAACAACCUACUUUUUUGAUGGAACAUCUUUCUUUUGUAAACAUUCCACAACUUGAUCUUGUUGAUCCUGUUGCUGCUUUAUGAAAAAAAAUUAAAAAAAAUUGCAAUGAAUGAGGUCUUUUAUGCCCAAAUGUUUGAUAAAGAUAUAAAAUGUAGCGUAAUAAAUAUAAUAUUGAACUCAUCCAACAUAGAUAAUUGAUUAUGUAUGAAUGAGUUAGAAAUGUAUAGUUGGGGACAUAUCCCAUCAAGUACAUCGUUUUUAGAGAGUCUAGAGGCUUUCAGACUAGCAUAUUCAGACAUUUAUGUCAGUUUUAGUAUGGUGAUACCAUAUUAUUUAGAUGUUAUGUGUUAUCAGAUAUUUGUUAUAAAAUAUACAUUACAGAGUUAUGUAUAUAAACUAAAGAUACAUAACAAAGUUAUGUAUAUUGAACAAUAUACAUAACUUAGAUGUACAAAACAUAGAUGAAAUAUAUUUGGAUAUAUAAAUGACUCUGUGUGUGUAUAUUAUGUAUAUUUAGAUAUAUACAUAAGUGAGUGUGUGUAUUUUGUAACAUCCAUAACCGUAUCGUAUUAACAUUUGAAGUUUGAUUAAUCAACAACCUGUUUAUGUACAAUUAAGUAUUCUAUCUAAGUGAACAAUUCUAAUGAAAUUAAAAUUAAAAAUUCUUUCAACAAUUUAUGAUGUAUAUCAAUAUUAUAGAAAAUUGUGAUGUAUAUCAAAAUUGAUAAUGGCACGAAUAUAAUUCAAUAGUUAAAUAGAAAAAUCAUUAAUUGUGAAAAGUAAAAUUAGUUAAAUUUACCUUCUCAUGGGUGUGUUUGAUGUGUUUCAGCAUGCUCAUUAGUUCAGCGUGUUGUUUAUUUCUUUUGUCAUUUGAUUCUUCAUGUUGUUUAACCAUUAACUUGUGAAUGAAGGUGAAUUUUUGAUCAACCUGCAAAUAGAAAGACAAUAAAUUUGGUAAUGUUUCUACAAUUUAAUUGUACAUAGUGUUUACUAUAUGCAGAAACUUACAUAAGACUUUAAGAAGAACUUCAACUCAUUCCACUUUUGUCAGAACUGUCCUAAUGGCCUGACUUGUUGGAUGAUGAUGGAGUUAGCAUUGGUACAUCAACAUGCUCUGAAUCAAAAGUCCGUAAUUGAUCUGUUGGCAUACUUUUUCCUGAAACAGACGAUGGGAUUUUCUCGCUAUCUUGCAUAGAAACAGUUGUAGUAUCAAAUCGGACUGUCCUCCUCUUCUUCGUAGGUUGUGAUGCUGAUGCAUCGGUACUCAAACCUGUCUUUCUUAGGAUUUCAGGUGGUGGGAUAGUACUAAAAUCCUCAAAAUCUUGAUGGUCCAUGUUCGAUUGAGUAUGUAUGUCGACAAUGUGUCUUUUACCACUACGAUUUGGAUAAGUAUCAUGUGAGAAGGCAGAUUCAUCAUCACUUAAUUCAACUCCGUUGAUCGUUGGCAAGUGAAGCCUUUGUACUUCUUCAUGAGUUGGUCGUAGAUUAGUGUACACAAACUGUUAAGCAUAAAAAAAAUGGCUAUAUUAAGAUUCACCGGAAAGUUAGAAGAGUGAAAUAAAAAUUUUAACUCGAAAUGUAGUACUAAAUGUUUACCUUGCUGAACAUACCGGCCAUGAACUUCUCAUACUUGACCUUAAUCCCAACUACCUUCCAGUUAAAAAUCCUUGGAAUUACAUUAUCGACACACUCAACUAUAGUACUGUCUACCUCAAAACAGCAUUCAUACAUCCAAACAUUCAACACAUGAGGCAUUCCCCCAAUAGAGUAUAGUUGUUUUUCAACAAAAAAAUCUUGUCUCAAUGUUGCAAUCAACUUUUGAAAAGAAGCCUUUCCCCAUGGAAAUUGUUCAUACCUGCCAUCCUCCACCAUCACAAAGUCCGAUCGACUAAUAGUAGCAUCACGUAUUUGUGAAAACAAAAAGGUAUGAAUAAAGUAUAGGAUGGACAUGUUCAAAGCAUCGGUGUUGUUGCCAAAAUUUUUUUCCUUGAAUCGCUGUACAAAAAUACACUUUUUGACAGUAUUUUUUGAACUUGAAAAAUACUUCUUCAUUAAUACAGAGUUAGAUAAAUGAGUAUACAGGUGUUCCUCAAUGUUCCCAGUACAUUUAAGUCUAGAUAUUAAAGCAAACUCAGAAAUAGUAAACUUCUGAAUGGUUUUCUGCACGUAAACAUGAAUUUCAUCUGGAUUUCCUUGUUCUAACUCAAGCAUAAGUAUACAUUUGAAAAUCUGACCCUGAAAAUUAUACUGGGGCAUGUCUAGAAAGGACCCAAAGUUUGUUUGACGAAAAAGAUCGUAAGCUUCUUCACCAGCACAAUUCUUUAUAUCUAAACCAAAUACGCGGUUGCAAUAACUACCGAAAUGCAAAGAAUGCACAGGAAUAUUUUGUUAUCCGGUAUUUCAUACCCUAUUGAAAAUGAAGAACACAUAAUAUGUGAGCCUAUAUGGUCAAAACAUAUACUGUACAUAACAACUAGUUAUUUCAUUACACAUCUAACAACAUCUAACAUAUGAACGAAUAUAUGGACAAUACAUAAAAAUGAUGAAUAUAAACAAGGAAUUUAAUUACACAUAUAACAACAUAUACAUGAUAUGUAUGUGUUAGAAAUAUACAUAGGUACUAUUCAUAACCUUAAACACAUGGUAACAUAUGUAUAUCUACUAAAUAAACAUAUGUUAGAUUUAUAUAAACACAAUAUUACACAAAAAAAUAAAAAAAUACAACUCUUUUGUAUUUGUUUUACACAUACAGAUGUAAUAUUCUUACCUCAAAAACAGUAUACACAAAAAAAAUAACUCAUAUAUAAAUAUAAUUUACAUGUACAAAUGUAAAUAUUCAAUUCAUCAAAACACAGUACACAAAACACACAUAAUAGAAUUUAUGUAUAUGUUCAAAAACAUAAAAAGAAUAGAUACAAGAAGUAACCACAUAUGUAUAUGAACUACAAAUAUCAAGGUGUUCAAACCAAUAGCAUCAACAAAAAUGUAUAUGCAGAAUAUAUACAAAGAGUAAUUUUAUAUUUGCACAUCCAAUUUUCACACUUAACUUCAUAACCCCAAUAAACAAUCACAACAGUUAAAUACCAUUUUCAAAAAAUACAAUAUACCAAUAACAAAAAAUAUUAUAAAAGAUGAAAUACCUUUGGUAAACAAGGCCGACCAUUGUCCUUUUUUAUUUUUAAUUUUUUUGAUGAUUCUCUAAUUUAUUUUUUCGGCCUUGAAGUUGAUGCUUUAAUAAUCUUUUUCAUCUUGAUGUGGUCGUUAAGAGUUUUUGAUUUGUUUUCAUCAACGUUAGGUUCCUCAUUAUCAAAUACUUAGGGAACGAAAUCAACUAGCUAAUUUGUUGUCUCGUUAUUAUCUAGCUAAGUUAAUCCUAAGCUAAAUGAAGGAGAAUCCUUCAUUAACGAAGUACUAAGUUGCUACUUUAUUACUUUAAAUAGACGAUUAUUUUUUUUUAAAAAGAAGAAAAAUGCAGAUAAUUAAACUAUAAUUUGGUAAAGUAGAAACCCAUAAAAUUAGUUAAUCAAAACAUGCAAAAAAAUCUUGUUUGAAAAUUCUCAAAAAUUUCAACUAUUGUCACAACCCGAACUGGGGCCCUGGCCGUGGCGAACAUUCCCGAACCGUGAAGGCCCGGGAUGCCCUUUGUCUAUCUAUCUGGUAAUCAUGCACAUAAUUCAUAUGAUAAAAGAUAAUGCGGAAAGAGGAAUCUAACACGGAAACAUGGUCAAUCUGAAUGUGAUCAUAAUACUAAAAAGUGAAAUCCAAAAUAUAUUUGACUAAUAAUGUCUGACUCAGUCUGCAAAAUCUCUACCAUGAACUAAUCAAAGUUGUCUGAAAGCUGGGACAAGGCCCUCAGUAGACCAAAACCUAACUAAUAGUAGUAAUAUGAAAUGACCAGGACUUCUGAAUCAUAGAAGGCUCACCACUGCAAACUCCGGUCUGUGAUCUGGAAUCUAUAUUAUUUAUUUGGACCCCUAGACUGUGCCUCAGAACCUGGAAGGAAGGGGGGUCAGCAAAAUUAUACUGGCAUGCGAAGCAAUCCAAAAUAGAGUAAUUGAACAUAUAUAUAUAUAUAUAUAAUACAUGAGAGCAAAUUUUCAUCAAUCAUUAUGCAUAAAAUAGUUUCUAAAAAUACAUGGGCAUCUUCUGAAAAUAUGUAACCUGUCUGUAAAUCUCAAACUCUGAUUUGUGUAUUAUUUCUGAGUUAGGAGGUAUCCCCAUUGACUCAGUGGGGAAGCCUCCAACCCGAGUGUGCUGCAAGGGUUGGAGUUCCUGAAUCUGAUACGCCACACGACACUUAAGUAAGCGUAUAAUAAUAUACUCGGGUUGGUAAACCACAGUUUUGGCCAAAGAGUUCUCUGAACUCACGCCUUCUUCGGGGAACCACCUAAGCUCUCUUUAUGCCAUAUUUUAGCCUUUUCUGAACAUGCAUCAUUCUGAAAUUCUAAAACAUGCAAAUCUAAUAAAGUCUAAUUUCUGUAUUCAUCUGUGUCUGUUAUAACAUUUUUUGAGUUUGGUAUCGUCAUAACAAGACUUGCAAGUCAUGAUUUCUGAGCCAUAAUACAUUAAGAUAAAUCGUUCAUUUAAAGCAAAGCUUAGACCACCCAAAAACAUACAACUGAUAUAGAAGAUUUCGUAUUUUGAAACUCAAGUCAAAAUCAUGCAAAAACUUCAUCAAACAUAUGGUGGUCUAGUGCCUUUAGAAAAACAUGCAAUCUUUUAUUACAUGCAUUAUGAACAUUAAACAUUCAUGAUAAAUUCCCUCUUUAGUGAUUUAAAACCACCUUUAAAUCAUAACAAGAGUUCAACCAUUUCAUAUGGUGCUUUUCAAGAAUGCAUUGCAAAACAAUUCAUAUGCUAUGAGAAAUCUGAAAAAUUUACUGAAGAGGGAAUUCACCGAAAUUCAUUCUCUCAACAAAAAUUCAUUCUUAAAUACAUGGUUUUAGACAUUCAUAUUCUCAAAUCACUUUGGGGAAGGUCAAAAGACCAAAGCAACGAUGUUAAAACAUUUAAUACAUGAAUAUAUAUAUAGAGAGAUUCAAAAACCCCAUUCUAAAACAUGAUUUUUCUAUGCCCAUGAGAAUUUAGGAAAACCCUGCGUACCUCUAUUUCAGAAAAUAAUGGGUGCUUCUUGAAGCCCGUGGAUUGGGGAUUUCGAAUCUCUAAUCGAUUUUGAAAACCCACGGUUGAAUCGUGAUUUAUUUGGGUUUUUAGUUUGAAACCCUUGGGAGUGUUCUUGAGAUUUUUUAGAUGAAUGUGGAUGUAUUUUGGAGAAUUAGGGACUGAAUUUCGUGUUUAUGGUUGAAUAAGGGUGGGAAAAGGACCAUUUUGCCCCAAAAACGGAGUGUUUAAGUCACUUGAAACCAUUACAUAGGUGCCGCAUAUGAUAUCGUCUACGUUUACAUAGGCGCCGCCUAUGCUAUCACCUAUAUUUACAUAGGCGCCGCCUAUGCUAUCACCUAUAUUUACAUAGGCGCCGCCUAUGCUAUUGCCUAUGUUUACAUAGGCACUGCAUAUGCUAUCACAUAUGCUUUCCAGUGGCCAUGUGCGAUUGGUUAGGCGAUGUAUACUACUUUGAAAGGCCAUAACUUCUUGCUCGGGUGCCGGAUUUUAGUAAAAUUGGUAUCGUUGGAAAGCUAACUCAAAAAUCUAUUAUUUUACACAUAGUAGGCUCUCUAAUUCGACAUAUACAAAGAUUUAUGGUCGAUAGAAUUUGACACAAAUUAUAAUGUUCACUUAAACUUAAUCGAUCAAAGUAGUUUUCAACUCGUCCUUGAGUCAAAGGACCUCUAUGGUCUAAAUUCAAGCUUGAAUGGAUUCACAUACUACGCAAAUAAUUAAUAUGCCAUAUUGGCAUAGGAUUUAUGGCUUGGGGAUUAUCAACACAUCAAAAUCAUGGUCUAUAUUGUAGCCCAAAAUACAGGGCAUUAGAUUAUCCCCUCCUUACGAUCAUUCAUCCCCGAAUGAUGAUGCAGGACACAGACAGACACAAUUUCUAGCAUAAUAAGGACUGGGAAAGAUAAGAUAGGAAUAGUACCUUCUGUCUCAUCAUCCAUCGAAACAAACAAAUUGGGAUAUCUAAUCCUCAUGUCAUCUUCUGACUCCCAAGUUGCUUCUUCAACGUUCUGAUUCCUCCACAAUACCUUCACUGAGGCUAUCUCUUUGCUUCUCAACUUUCAAACUUGGCGAUCUGAAAUUUCAAUGGGCUCUUCUUUGUAAGACAAGGAAUCUGUCACUUUGAUAUCCUCUACUGGAAAUACCAAAGAAUGAUCUCCAAUUCAUUUCUUCAACAUGGAUACAUGGAAUACUGGAUGGACAGAACCCAAAAUUGCAGGCAAUUCUAGCUCAUAAGCAACUGCACCAAUCUUUCUCAGAAUCUGAUAUAGCCCUAUAUAGAGAGGGCUUAAUUUACCCAUUUUUCCAAACCGCAUAACUCCUUUCAUAGGAGAAACCUUGAGAAAUACCCAAUCACCAACUUCAAACUCUAAUUCUCUUCUCCGAAUAUCGGCAUAGGACUUCUAACGACUCAGAGAAAUCUUGAGUCAUUCUUUAAUGAUCUUCACUUUCUCCAUCGCCUGAUGAACAAGAUCAGGCCCAUACAACUACGUCUCACCCACUUUAUACUAUCCAAUCGGAGACCUACAUCUCCUCCCAUACAAAGCCUCAAAAGGAGCCAUCUUGAUGCUGGCAUGGUAACUAUUAUUAUAAGUAAAUUCAAUCAGUGUUAGGUGAUCUACCUAACUACCUUUGAAAUCAAUGACAUAUGCCCUCAACAUAUCCUCGUGGGUCUGAAUCGUACGUUCAGCUUGCCCAUCCGUCUGAGGGUGGAAAGCUAUGCUCAAAUUCACUUGUGUACCUUAACCCUUUUGAAAAGAUCUCUGGAACUAAGAUGAAAACUGCGUACCUCUAUCGGAUAUAAUGGACACUGGUGCCCCAUGCAACCGAACUAUCUCCACAAUGUAAAUCUUAGCAUAACCCUCUCCCGAAUAAUUAGUCCUUGUAGGCAAAAAGUAGGAUGACUAUCAACCAAUCUACAAUCACCCAUAUAGAAUCAUACUAGAUUCGGGAUCUUGGAAGUCCUGUAAUGAAGUCCAUGUUUAUCAUCUCCCACCUCCAUAAAGGCAGGGCUAUCUCUUGGGAAGUACCACCUAGCCUCAUGUGUUCUACUUUCACUUGUUGACAUUUCAAACACUUGGACACAAAAUUAGCUACAUCACGUUUCAUGUUAUUCCAUCAAUACAAGGUUUUCAUACCAUGAUACAUCUUAGUAGAGCCUGGGUGAACGAUAUACCUCGAAGUGUGCGCCUUACCAAGGAUUCUUUCUUACAGUCCAUCAAUAUUCGGAAUGCACAACUUACCUUGAAAUCUCGAAAUACCAUCACCACCAAUUUCAAAUGACAUAACCUUUUGUUGACCCAUAUCUUUCUUGAUUUGCAUCACGAUGGGAUCUUCAACUUGCUUUUCCUUAACUUCAGCACAAAGGGAUGACUUAGCUAACUCAUGAACAAUCACCCUUCCAUCUUCGGAAUCUAAGACUCGCACUCCCAGAUUUAAAAGAUGGUGAAUAUCCUUCACCAUCUCUUUCUUUCCUUCUUCUACAUGAGAAAGGCUGCCCAUAAACAACCUGCUGAGGGCGUCGGGCCUUACCAAGGAUUCUUUCUUACAGUCCAUCAAUAUUCGGAAUGCACAACUUACCUUGAAAUCUCGAAAUACCAUCACCACCAAUUUCAAAUGACAUAACCUUUUGUUGACCCAUAUCUUUCUUGAUUUGCAUCACGAUGGGAUCUUCAACUUGCUUUUCCUUAACUUCAGCACAAAGGGAUGACUUAGCUAACUCAUGAACAAUCACCCUUCCAUCUUCGGAAUCUAAGACUCGCACUCCCAGAUUUAAAAGAUGGUGAAUAUCCUUCACCAUCUCUUUCUUUCCUUCUUCUACAUGAGAAAGGCUGCCCAUAAACAACCUGCUGAGGGCGUCGGCUACAACAUUUGCCUUUCCCGGAUGGUAAUGCAGGCUCAUAUCAUAGUCUUUCAGAAGCUCCAUCCAGCGCCUCUGCCUGAGGUUCAAUUUUUUCUGCGAGAAAACAUACUGUAGACUCUUGUGGUUAGUGAAGAUAUCAACGUGAACACCAUACAAGUUGUGCCGCCAAAUCUUAAGUGCAAACACCACAGUCGCUAACUCCAAAUCAUGGGUGGGUUAGUUUUGCUCGUGCACCUUCAACUACCUAGAUGCAUAAGCCACUACCUUACCAUGCUGCAUCAACACACAACCAAGUCCCACACGGGAUGCAUCACAAUAUGCCCCAAAGAUAUCUACACCCUUAGGAAGGGUCAAAACAGGAGCAGUGGUUAGUUUGUCUUUCAACUUCUCAAAACUAUUCUCACACAGAUCAGACCACACAAUCUUCACCUUUUUCUGAGUCAGUUUAGUAAGUGGAGCAGAUAUGGAAGAAAAACUCUCUACUAACCUUCUGUAAUACCCCGCCACACCCAAGAAGCUCCAAAUAUCAGUUGGAGUUGUGGGUCUGGGCUAUUUUCUCACUGCUUCAACUUUUUGGGGAUCCACUCUUAUUCCGUCACUGGACACAAUAUGCCCCAAGAAGGCAAUAACAUCUAACUAGAACUCGCACUUAGUUUGGCAUACAACUGAUAUCCUUAAGGGUCUGAAGAAUAAUUCAAAGGUGAUUGGCGUGAUCCUCUUUACUCUUAGAAUAGAUCAGGAUAUCAUCAAUAAAUACAAUGACGAAUAAGUCAAGAAACUGACAGAAUACUUUAUUCAUAAGAUACAUGAAGGCUGCAGGGGAGUUAGACAACCCGAAGGACAUAACUAGAAAUUCCUAGUGACCAUAUCAGAUUCGAAAGGCUGUCUUAGUUAUGUCUGACUCCCUAAAUUUCAAUUGAUGAUAACCCGAAUGAAGGUCUAUUUUUGAAAAACACUUGGCACCCUGAAGCUGGUCAAAAAGGUCAUCAAUCCUAGGAAGAGGAUAUUUAUUUUUAAUCGUGAACUUAUUCAGCUAACGGUAGUCUAUGCACAUACGAAGGGAACCAUCUUUCUUUCGCACGAAAAGUACAAGCGCGCCCCAAGGAAAUACACUGGGGCAUAUAAAACCCUUAUCUAGGAGAUAUGCUAACUGUUCUUUCAACUCUUUUAGUUUUGCAGGAGCCAUUCUAUAUGGUGGAAUGGAAAUAGGACGAGCGUCUGGCAACACAUCAAUACCAAACUCAAUCUCCCUAUCAGGUGGUAUUCCUGGGAGAUCAUUUGGAAAGACUUCUAGGAAUUCUUUUACUACAAGAAUAGAUUAAAGAGGAAGACUCUCGACAUUGGAGUCCUUAACUCAGAUAAGGUGGUACAAUCAACCUUUAGAAAUGAGUUUGCGGGCUCUAAGAUAGGAUAUAAAGUGCCCUCUGGGUGCUAAAGAAUGUCCUUCCCACUCUGUCAUUGGUUCAUUCGGGAAAGAAAAAGUGACCCUUCGAGUCCUACAAUCUAAUGUGGCAUAGCACGAAUGGAGCCAAUCCAUUCCCAAGAUAGCAUCAAAAGUAACCAUAUCUAACUCUAUGAGAUCUACUAACGUAUCCCGACUACCAACAGUCAUAACACAACCCCUGUACACCUUUCUAGCAAUAAUAGAAUCCCCCAACAGGGUGGAAACAACAAAGGGUUUAGAAAUCACACUGGGCUCAAACCCGAAACCAACAGCCACAUGAGGGGUCAUAUAGGAUAAAGUAGACCCGGGAUCAAGUAACACAUAAACAUCAUGAGAAAAAUUUGUAACGUACCAGUAACAACAUUUGGGGAAGCUUCCGCCUCCUGGCAAUUGGUUAAAGCAUAUAAUCAAUUGUGACUAUUCCCAACAGCUAAUGUGGCACCCUUCUAAGGCGGGGGUGGUGCCGAAGAAUUUGCCUGAGACUUUUCACCACCAACUUUUUUCUAGUAGAUAGACAUUCCCUAUGAAAGUGACCUGGCUAACCACAUGAAUAACACACUAACGAGCCCGACUGACACCUUCCCAGAUGAUUUCUACCACAAGUCUCACACCGUGGAAAAGUACGAUGCUACUGAGCCACACUACCCUAUGACCGAGUAUUUUGAGCUCUGAUUCCAUGGUUAGUCUGAAAACUCUGAGAUCGUCUGUCUGCUGGUAGUCGGGGUACUGAGGCACUGGUAGUAGACUGUGCAUUACCCCAAUUCUUUUUUUACUGCCAGUUAUUUCCCCACUUAUCGCCCUGAGGCUGACUGUGACUCUGGUCGGCUGAUCUGGCUCUUUUUGCUUGUCUUUCCACCUCCCUAGGUUUAGAGAUCUUAUUCCUUUUCUUUUCUACCUACUGUAUAUGAACGGUCAGCCUAGCAAAGUCUAACUCCUUAUUCAAUAUUUCCCCCGGCACUCAAGCACCAGGUUAUCAGAAAGGCCGGAUGCAAAUUUUCUCAUCCGAGCUCUCAUAUUACUAGUCAACUCCGGUGCAUAGAGGGCUAGUUUAUUAAACUUCAAAGUGUACUCCUGGACACUCAUACUUCCCUACUUCAGAUUCAUAAACUCUUAUGCUUUGGCCUCCCUCAACUCUAGAGGAAAGAAUCGAUCAAGGAAAGCUUCCACAAAUUCUCCCCAAACUGUGGGCUCAGCACUCUCACCUUUUUCAUUCUUACAGUCGGCAUACCACUAAUUCGCAACAUCCUUAAGCUGAUAAGAUGCUAGUUCCACCCCUUCAACCUCAUCCACAUGUAUUACCUUAAAGAUUUUUUCCAUCUCAUCCACGAACUCCUGUGGAUCUUCCUCCACCUUAGUGCCAGUGAAAUUAGGUGAGUUCAUUUUCGUAAAAUGUUCGACCCUAGUAGCCUUAGACGUAACAGAUGCAGACCCAAUAUAUUCUGAUUAUUGAGCCUGGUUAUCUACUAACUAUGUCAGUAUAUGAAUAGACCAUCUGAAUUCUGCAUUUGAAAUAUCUCUCUGAGCAAUUGGGGGUUGGUUGUCAUCAGUCCGCGGAGCUCGAGAUGGACUGGUCGGGACUGGAGGGACUCUUAAAGUAGGUACAGGUUCUGGAGUGUGAGCUCUAUUAUGGGUCCGCAUCCCAUGGGUGGGACGGACCUCAUCUGCCUGAGCAUUUUGAUCGAUGAUACAACGUGGAGGCAUAACUGUGUUUCUGAAAUACAAGUGAUCAUUGAUUAGGGGACAGUUUAGACUCUGAAGCAUGAACUAAAUCACAAAGAAGGGAAACAUUUCCUGAACGCCUAGUAGCCUCUUGCUUAUAAGUGUGGUGCGCUACACACCCAUAACCAAGACUCUACCCGACGCGAUUUCGCAGACACCCUGAGACCAUGAACCGUGCUCUGAUACCAAGUUUGUCAUGACCCAAACUGGGAACCUGGCCAUGAUGAACAUUCUCAAACUGUGAAGGCCCGGGAUACCCUCUGUCUAUCUAUCUAGUAAUCAUGCACAUAAUUCAUAUGAUUAGAGAUAAUGUGGAAAGAGAAAUCUAAUACGAAAACAUGGUCAAUAUGAAUAUGAUCAUAAUACUGAAAACUAAAAUCCAAAAUAUAUUUGAAUAAUAAUGUCUGACUCAGUCUGCGAAAUCUCUACCAUAAACUAAUCAAAGUUGUCUAAAAGCUGGGACAAGGCCCCCAGUUGAUGAAAACCUAACUAAUAGUAGUAAUAUAAAAUAACCAGGCCUUCUAAAUCAUAGAAGGCUCACCAUUGCAAACUUCGGUCUGUGAUCUAGAAUCUCUAUUGUUUAUGUGGACCCCUAGACUGUGCCUCAGAACCUGGAAGGAAGGGGGGUCAGCACAAUUGUACUGGCAUGCGAAGCAAUCCAAAAUAGAGUAAUUGAACAUAUAUAUAUAUAUAUAUAAUACGUGACAGAAAAUUUUCAUCAAUCAUUAUGCAUAAAAUAGUUUCUGAAAACACAUGGGCAUCUUCUGAAAACAUGUAACCUAUCUGUAAAUCUCAAACUCUGAUCUGUGUAUUACUUCUGAGUUAGGUGGUAUCCCCUAUAAGUCUGAUAUUCCGCAGGCGAUAUGGAAUCCGCCAUUGACUCGACGGGGAAGCCUCCAACCCAAGUGUGCUGCAAGGGUUGGAGUUCCUGAAUCUGAUAUGCCAUACGACACUUAAGUAAGCGUAUAAUAAUAUACCAGGGUCGACAAACCACGGUUUUGGGCAAAAAGUUGUCUAAACUCACGACUUCUUCGGGGAACCACCUAAGCUCUCUUUAUGCCCUAUUUUAGCCUUUUCUGAACAUGCAUCAUUUUGAAGUUCUAAAAUAUGCAAAUAUGAUAAAGUCUAAUUUCUGUAUUCGUCUGUGUCUGUUAUGGCAUUUUCUGAGUUUGGUAUCGUCAUACCAAGACUUGCAAGUCAUGAUUUCUGAGCCAUAAUACAUUAAGAUAAAUCGUUCAUUUAAAGCAAAGCUUAGACCACCCAAAAACAUGCAACUGAUAUAGAAGAUUUCGUGUUCCGAAACUCAAGUCAAAAUCAUGAAAAAACUUCAUCAAACAUAUGGUGGUCUAGUGCCUUUAGCAAAACAUGCACUCUUUUAUUACAUGCAUUAUGAACAUUAAACAUUUAUGUUGAAUUCCCUCUUUAGUGAUUUAAAACCACCUUUAAAUCAUAACAAGAGUUCAACCAUUUUAUAUGGUGCUUUUCAAGAAUGCAUUGCAAAAUAAUUUAUAUCAUAUGAGAAAUCUGAAAAAUUCACUAAAGAGGAAAUUCACCAAAAUUCAUGCUCUCAACAAGAAUUCAUUCUUAAAUACGCUAAAAAUGGAGUGUUUAAAUCACUUGAAACCAUUACAUAGGCGCCGCAUAUGAUAUCCCCUACGUUUACAUAGGCGCCGCCUAUGCUAUCGCCUAUGUUUACAUAGGCUCCGCAUAUGGUAUCGCCUAUGUUUACAUAGGCACCGCAUAUGCUAUCGCAUAUGCUUUCCAGUGGCCAUGUGCGAUUGGUUAGGCGACGCAUACUACUUUGAAAGGCCAUAACUUCUUGCUCGGGUGCUGGAUUUUUGCAAAAUUGGUAUCGUUGGAAAGUUAACUCGAAAACUUAUCAUUUUACAUAUAGUAGGCUCUCUAAUUCGACAUAUAAAAAGAGUCAUGGUCAAUAAAAGUUGACACAAAUUAUAAUGUUCACUUAAACUUAAUCGAUCGAAGUAGUUUUCAACUCGUACUUGAGUCAAAGGACCUCUAUGGUCUAAAUUCAAGCUUGAAUGGAUUCACAUACUACGCAAAUAAUUAACAUGCCAUAUUGGCAUAGGAUUUAUGGCUUCGGGAUUAUCAACACAUCGGAAUCAUGGUCUAUACUGUAGCCCAAAAUGCGGAGCGUUACAACUAUGUAAUGAAUUUUUUUUCAAUAAUACUCAAAAAUUAAACAUUUACAAUGUUAAAAGAAGAUUUAGUUGAAAUGAAUACCCUUGACUAGGAGUUGGACAGAUACAUGAUUGAUUUCAAACUUGAAAACUAUCGCUUGAUUGUAGCUGUACUUUUGGGGGAGAAACAGUGAACGUAAAAAGGGGGUUUAGCCGUACUUGGGGGGAAGAUUUGGUGAAAUUAAAAAAGGGUUUGUAUAUAUAUGUAAUUUAUGAGAGUGAAAUUAAAAAAGUGUUAUAAAUGUAAUAUGUUUGGGGGAUAUGGGAUAUUUUGUAAUAAAUGAAACAUAACAUGGGGGUAUAUGUAAUUUUUAGAUUAUUUAUAGGUCAAAUCACAUAAAUAUACAAUUUAAGAGUAAAUAUUACAAAAUAUACCACUAGUUUCAUUUUUACAAAAUAUACCACUAGAAAACUAACAAAACUUAUCAAAUAAGAUAAAAAGAAGAAAAAAAAAAGUUAAAAGUAUCUUUUCUAUAAUUUCUCGUAAUAUAUUUUUGCAAUUUCAUACCCACAUCCAUAACAAAAUUAUUUUGGUAUCAUUACUAUAAAAUUAGCAUACAUGAAAGAACAUGAAAUUUGAACUGUUACUUUUCAUUCAACAAUUUCUUCUUCCUAUUCUUUCCCUUCUAUUUUAUAUUGGAUUUAUUUUUGUUUUUCUCUUUUCUCUUUUUUCUUCUUAUUAUUAAUUAUGUACCUCAUUUUUAUUUUUUUAUUUUCUUCGUACGUUCUUAAUUAUCACGGAAAGAAUAUAUAGUUACUCAUAUGUAGAGAUUGAAUUUUUAGGAUUUUUUUUGAAGAAAGAUCUGAGAAAAAAUAUAUAGUUAUCCAUCUUUACAUCAAUUUCUAUAUAUUUCAUAUACCAUAAAAUUAUUAAUACUGAAGUGUAAAUAUGAGAAAAUUAAAUAAGAAGACUCUAGAAGUAAAUACAUAUACUAUAAAAUAUAUAAAAUACCAUAAAGGAUAAAUACGUAUCCCAUAAACUUAGUCAAUUUACCUAAAUUAAUUCCUAAAAUAUUUUUUUCCUUAAAUUUCGGAUAUGCAAUUUAAAAAAACAGUUUUUAGUGGAUGAUAGAUUUUGUAAAUAAAAACCUCAUUUUGUAAUUAAAAAAAAAAACUACUGGUAUACUUUGUAAUUUAGGCUCUAAAUAUGUAUAUUUAUGUAAUUUUUUCUUAUUUUUAUAUUAAGAAAAGGCUUUAGCCUAUUAAGUAGUUAUAAAGAGGGCAUCAAUUGAGAGAAACCAAAGCAGUAAUUGGGUCUAUCCAUUCUUUACGCGAAUCAGGGAAAUGAACGAACAUAUUGUUCGUACAGUAAAAGUUAGCAAAUCGGUGGGAAAUUUUGAUCAUAAAGUUUCUUUCGGGCUUAAGGUAAAUUUAUUCCUACAUCUUUAUCGUAAAUGAUAGUUGAGUCAAUUUAUUUUGGGCAUUUAAAAUUUAAUCAUCAAAGAUUAGAGAUUAUACAUAUUAAGGUGUGAUUUUGGGCAUAAAGUUUGAGAAAUUUAAGGCUACCAUGAAACCUUGAAGGUUGGGUAGUCUAAUUUUACCAUGAAUUAGCCUAAAAUAAGAGAUUUAACACAAGAAUAGAUAUGAUGUGAUUAUAGGUUUGAUCCAAGAAAGUGAUACAAAUCGUUUGGGGUGAUAAAUUUGGUAUUUUGACAUGUGUACUGUGAGUAGUAAUCUUACCAUAAUUUGUGUUUGUUAACUUGCAUAUUUUAUAUUUGAUUUUGAUGAAACAAUGAGUUACGAAAUGCUUUGAAAUUGCAUGUGGGGCAAGUCCUUUACUUGAUAUGAUAUUGAAAUGGUUAAUUGAGAUAUGAUAUUACUAAGGUGAAUAUUCUUUACUUACAUGAGAUUAAGUAUUUUUUACUUGUGUUUUAUUCAAGUUUAUAUGUAACAUGAUUUGAUAUGAACUUUAAAUGAUAUGUACUAUUCUGAAAAAUGCUUUCAUAUAAAUAUCCUAUUGUUUACAAUGAAUUUAUAAAUGGGAGUAGACCUUGAUUUGAAUCCCGUAGCUAACGGCGGGAUCAUUAGACCUGGUGCACCUUGUAUUUACUGAUGACUGUUACAGCCCUCACUAGUGGGAAGGUAGAACUAGCAUACUGUUACUGAUAUGAUAUUUGACUCCUUUAUAAGAGGUCUACUGUCAUGGGCUAUUCUUGAUGAAGAAGAAUGUCACAUCGGUUACAUGAUACAUUCUUGAAAACCUCCCAAAUAUGUAAUAUUUGAUAUGAUACGAUGCUUUUUGAGUUUAUUACUGAACUAUUGAUUCACUUUGCUUACAUGAAACAAAGAAUACUGUUUAUUGUUAUUUUUUUCUAAAAGAACAUUUAUUUCAUGGUGUUUUACGAUUUUUCUCCCAAUAAAACGGUUGUGAUUAAGUGUUAUUACUCACUAAGCUAUCAUCUCACUCCUCGCUAUUAUUUUUCAGAGAACGCAGGUGACAGUGAGGAUUUUGUUGGCUAGAGGAUUCGAGUAGCGUAUUCCGGGUGAGCCUCGCAAUUAUUCAUGUGGGCUAUAGUUUAUUUAUUUAUUAUGUUUCUUUUUCUUCAAAACUCUUAGUUUGCUCCAUAGUCAUGUCUUUAGAGCUUUGAGUAUUCUUUUAUUAUUUUGGAUUUGUGGAGUAUUUGGCUUUCUCUUAUUUUCGGAGAUGAAUUUCGUAUUGAUAUUGUUGGUAUUAGUGCAUUGUUGGUGAUUUUGGUGGAUUGUGUUGGUAAUUGGUGUGUUGGUUGUGAUGUUGGGCUAUUGUGUUGUGGAUUUGAGACAAGAAAUUUUCUUGUUAGGUCCAAAAUAGGGGAAACUCAGUCUGAUUUUUUGUAGAAUUCUGAUGAGGCAUGCUUCGGACUCCUAAUCCCCUUAGCGCCGGUCAUGAUCCUAUUUUGGGUCGUGACAAAGUAGGUCUCAGAGACAGGUUUAUUCCAUGACUAUGGAGCACAUGGUAGUAGUAGAAUCUUAAUUAUGGUUAUGUUGUCAGCCAUUUCUAUAAUCGUAAUUCUGCGAGAGCGUGAUAGGAUAUGUCUUGAUUUUCUUUCUCACUCUUACUUAUGUACAUUUAGGAUCAAUUUGAUGAAUCUAACUAUCUUGUUUUGUUAAUCAGAUGCUUCGUAGAGCAACUACUGGUACGAAAAGAGCUGGAUCCCACAGAGGAUGAGGUAAGGGUAGUCGUGAUACCACAGGGAAUUGCACUGCCACUUUAAGAAGUUCAAGAAGGCUCACUCAUGAAAGGAAUGAUAGUCCACCUCCACCAUCUGAUAAGGGUAGUAUUGCUAAGGCACUUACUUCCAUGUAAAGAGCGAUAGAGGGCUUGGACGAUCAACUGGAUAGGAAAGAGAAGGGUGGUCAACAUAAUUCUACAUGGCCUGAGACAGUUCCAGGCAUCUAUUUAGACGUACAACUUUAGAAACAAGAAGGUAUCUUUUCAGGAGUUUCUAAAGUUGAAGUCACUAAAAUUCACAGGUUCAGACAGUUCAGCUGAUCCUCAGAGCUUUUUGGAUGGUACUUUCAAGGUGUUGUGGGUGUUAGGAUUUUCUAGUAAGAGGGUUGUGGAUCUUGCGUCGUACAAAUUGGAAGACAUGGAUAACACUUGGUAUGAUACCUUAUUGCUAGGAAGACCUGCUGGGGCAGCACCACUAAUAUGGGACAAGUUCACUAAGUUCUUCAUGGAUACUUUUUUUCCUGAUAGCCUGAAACAAAAAUAUGCAGCUCAGUUUGAGAGAUUAGUUUAGACUCCAGAUAUGGAUGUGUCAACCUAUAAUACUCAAUUUUGCAAGCUGGCUAGAUAUGCUCCAUACUUGGUGUCCACAGAAGAAGCUUGAGUCCAGAGGUUUGUAAAUGGGCUAGUUGCUCGUCUUUAUAAUGCAAUGGCCCCAUAGAUGAAAGUAUUAACCUAUUAUGAGAUAGUGGAUCUUGCUAAAAUGAUUGAGCACAAGGAUCGUACGGAGGCAACUUAUGAGGUUCAUAAGAAGGCUAAGAUGGGUGGAUCUUUCAGUGGUGACAACGUGCAAAUCGGAGAGAGAAAAAUAAGGGAAAGCAUCAGGUCCAUCAGACAGAGAAAAAUUUGGUUUCACAGUCUAUGUAUAAGCCACCUUCUAGACAGGGUACACAGGGGCCUUUAGCAUCUCAGGGAUAUCAUAGUUCUAGCCAGAUAUAUGCCACUACUCCAUCCUGCCAAACUUCUGGCAAAUCACAUAUGAGCCAGUGUCGUGUUUUGACUGGAGAGUGUUUUUUAUGUAGUUACUUAGGUCAUCGCAUUAGGGAUAGCCCUCAGGCUUAGAGAAAUAUUAGUCAGGGUUCUGGUCAGGUAGUUACACCUAGUCAAACUACUCGUAAUACUAUAGGUAAUGGAAAUAGAGGCUGAGGUAAUAGGGAUUGGGUUGCUGGCAAUCAAACACAAGAAAAUGCUGGUAGAGAACAGCCAACAGUUUUUGCAUUGGCUAGGAGGAUAUUCAGGCCUCAAAUGCAGUGGUCACAUGUAUUCUUUCCAUUUGUUAUUUUGAUGAAUAUGCUUUGAUUGAUCCGGGUUCCACCCAGUCUUAUGCGUCCUCAUACUUUGUUGUGAGAUUGGACAGCCAGCCAUAGAUGUUAAAUUAUCCUUUUCUUGUUGCUACUCCCAUGGGAGAUUCCUCAUUAAUUGAGUAUGUGUAUCAUGAUUGCGAGAUUAUGGUGGGAGGUAGGGAUACCUUUGCUAACCUGAUUAUACUUGAUAUAAUUCAAUUUGAUGUGUUGAUGGGCAUGAAUUGGUUAUCUCUUUGCUAUGCUACCAUAGAUUGUCAUGCAAAGAUAGUUUGAUUUGAGAUACCCUAUGAAUCUAGUUUUGUAUUUGAAGGGGUUUAAGUUUCAAAGGUUAGUAAAGUUAUAUAUUUUAUAAAGACCCAACGACUAUUAAAGAAAGGUUAUAUGGGUCUCUUGGCUAUGAUAAAUGAUGCUAGAGAGGGACCACUUAGUUUGGAGAAGCUACCUGUAGUGAAGGAAUAUUCUAAUGUAUUUCCUAAGGAGUUGCCAGGAUUACCUCCAGCACAAGAGAUAGACUUCGGUAUUGAUUUAGAACCUGACACUAUGCCAAUAUCUAUACCCCUAUAUCGUAUGGCACCAGCAGAGUUGAAAGAGCUCAAACAGCAAUUGGAAGACUUACUAGAUAAGAGUUUCAUCAAACCGAGUAUAUCGCUAUGGGGUGCACCCAUUUUGUUUGUAAAGAAGAAAGAUGGGUCUUUAAGAAUGUGUAUUGACUACAGAAAGCUAAACAAGGUAACAAUACCAAACAAGUAUCUGUUGCCUCGUAUAAAGGACCUGUUUGAUCAAUUACAAGAAACUGCUCAUUUUUCAAAGAUUUUCAAAGAUUGAUCUUCGAUCGGGUUAUCAUCAAUUUAGAAUCAAGGAGGAAGAUAUAUCCAAGACAACAUUUAAAAGUCGAUAUGGGUAUUAUGAUUUCCUUAUGAUGCCUUUUGGGUUAACCACUGCUCCUGCUGCAUUCAUGGACUUGAUGAAUAGGGUGUUCAGGCCAUUUUUGGACAAAUUUAUGAUAGUAUUCAUUGAUGAUAUUUGGAUAUAUUCUCGUAUCCAGGAAGAACAUGAGAAUCAUCUGAUGACUGUAUUAUAGACAAUGCGGGAACAUAAGCUUUAUGCUAGGUUCCCAAAGUUUGAAUCUUGGCUAGACUCAGUAUCUUUUUUUGGGCAUGUUGUCUCCAAAGAUGGUAUCAUGGUGGAUUCUAAAAAGACAAAACCAGUGCAAAAAUGGCCUAGACCUACUUCACCUAUGGAGAUUUGCAACUUUAUAGGUUUGGCUAAUUACUAUAGGUAUUUUGUGCAGAAUUUCUCUAAAAUUGCAGCUCCAUUGACCAAAUUAACACAGAAAAAUGUAAAGUUUCAGUGGACGGAAGAAUGUGUUUGACCACCACACCAGUAUUAGCCUUAUCAUCAGGUUCUGGGGGAUUCAAAAUAUUUUGUUAUGCUUCGAGGGUUGGAUUAGGAUGUGUUCUCAUGAAAAAUGAUCGUGUUAUAGCUUAUGCUUCGAGACAGUUGAAGAAGCACGGUGUGAAUUAUCCUACCCAUGAUUUGGGGAUGACGGCUGUGGUUUUUGCUUUUAUGAUUUGGAGGCACUACUUAUAUGGUGAAACUUGUUAGAUUUAUACCAAUCACAAGAGCUUGAAGUAUAUUUUUCAGCAAGAGAUCUAAAUCUUUGACAACAUCGUUGGAUGGAAUUACUCAAGGAUUAUGAUUGUGCUAUCUUGUAUCAUCCUGGAAAAGCUAAUAUUAUGGCUAAUGCUUUGAGCAGGAAAUCUAUGGGUAGUUUGUCAUAUAUAGCUCCUGGAAGGAGGCAACUUCCGAAAAAUGUGCAGAAACUUAAAGAAAAAGAUGUCAGUUUUGGUGUUGAAAAGUCAGGGGUGUUGUUGGCUUGUGUUCAAGCUAAAUCUUCUUUGGUAGAGCACUUAAAGGCCACUUAAUUUGAGGAUGUGCAGUUGUGUAAAUAUCAAGAUGAGGUCCUAGUUGGUCAAAAUAAGACGAAGAGUGUUCAUUGUGAUGGUAUCCUUCGAGUGAGUAAUCAAUUAUUUGUACCAGCUGCAGAUGGGUUAAGAUGAGCUAUUAUUGAGGAAGCUCACAACUCUAGAUAUACCAUUCACCCUUGUUCCACUAAGAUGUAUCAUGACCUGAAGUAAUUGUACUGGUGGGAAGGUAUGAAGAAAAAUAUUGCUACCUCAGCUGGAUAAAAGGUAAGGACUGGAAGAAAAUAAGCUGAUUUGGUCAUCCUAUCUACAAUGACCCAAACAAAAUCAUAUUGGCAACGAGUAUGAGGAAAAAUCGUCACAAAUGUUCACUUCUUCCCACUUCUAAGUAGGAAUAUUGAAUCCUGCAUGGACCCACUAGGCUUUUGAUGCUCUAUCUUAACUUGCUGACAUGUAGAGCAUUUCGCCACGAACUCUGCAAUAUCUCUCUUCAUCCCACUUCACCAAUAGAUCUCAUGUAAGUCGCAGUACAUUUUUCUGGCCCUUGGAUGAAUAGAGUAGCGCACACCAUGCACUUCUGCAAGAAUUUGCUGCCUUAAGUGGUCUACACCUGGAACACACAGACGACCCUAACAAUGCAAUACACCAUCUCCCCUUUGGGAUAAAACCUCUACUUUCAGAUCCUUGACCGACUCUUUUAACUUGACAAGGCUGGGAUCUCUAACUUGCUUUCUUUCACCUAAGAAACUAGAGAUAAUUCUGAACUACUUUGAACUCGACUAAGCGAACGCCUAGUCUGGCAAGCUGAUGGAUUUUCUAAGCUAACUUCUUCUUACUGUCCUCAACAUGAGCAACACUACCCAUAGACAGUCUACUAAGAGUGUCGGCUACUAUGUUGGCCUUGCCUAGAUGAUAAAGGACACUCAUGUCAUAAUCUUUCAAGAGCUCUAACCACCUUCUCUGAUGAAGAUUGAGAUCUUUCUGAGAAAAGACAUACUGAACACUCUUAUGAUCUGUGAACAUAUCUACAUAAAACCCGUAUAGAUAAUGCCUCCAAAUCUUUAAGGUAAAUACUAUGGCUACUAGCUCAAGAUCAUGAGUAGGAUAAUUCUUCUCAUGAGGUUUAAGCUCUAUCCGUCGCUGGCUCGAUGGUCCAUCAUUCUGACCAGUGCACGUGGACCAGAAUAGGGGCUCACGGCCUUAGUUGCAAUGGCUUGGGUAACAGUAUGUCAUAAGUUCGAUGGUCCAUCAACCUGUCCAUCGCACCUUAGCCAGAAGAAUGACUUACUGCCUUAGCUGCGAUGGUCUAGGUGACGGUUCAUCGCUAGAUCGACGAUCCAUCAACCUGCCCGUCGCACCAGGGCGAUUCUGAUAGAUCUCAGUAAAACGUCCAUAAUAUUUUACUCUGAUACCAAAUUUGGACGAAAUUGGUAUCGUUGAAAAGCUAAUUCAAUUUCUCCCUCAGCAAAAAGUGAAAAUCUUAAAAAUUCCACGUGUACACAAAUGGAUUCAUCUUUCAAAGUAAGUUUCUAACAUUUUUGGGAUGAUUUCAAGCUAGGUAAAAUUACGGGGUAUUACAAUAUAUCCCCUUUGAGAACAUUUAUCCUCGAAUGAGAUUGAGUGAGACAGGAGAAUAUAAACGGAUGUGCAUACUGAACAUGAACAACUGGAACAUGAUCUCAUGACUGACAUGACUGAUAACUAAAUAUAUCAUACCUAACAUGCAUAUCUGAUGCAUGUGUAACUGAUUCAUGAAUGCAUUACUGAGUGUUCUGAUGAACUAAGGUUCUCACAAUGAGAAUGCAUGUCUGAUACAUGAUUAUAUAGCUGAACUGACAUAUGAAUGCAUGACUGAAUAUGCAAUGGCAUUUCCUACCAUGUUGUAAUAGAAUUCUGAACAUGGAACUGAGUAAGCUUAAGGAGAACUGUUACCUUAAGCUUGAACUGAGUUGGUGGAGAAGAGGUGAGGAUACUUAGUUCAUAUAUCUGCUUCUGCCUCCCAAGUAUCUCCCUCAACGGAAUGAUUUCACCAAAGAACUUUAACUAAAGGGACUUCUGUGUUCCUCAGUCUACGAGUUUGAUAGUCUAGGAUUUCGACUGGAAUAUCUUCAUAAGAGAGGUUGUUCUGAACAUCUAUGCUCUGAAUAGGAACUAUAACUGCUGGGUCACCCAUUCACUUCUUGAGCAAAGAGAUAUGGAAGAUUGGGUGAACUGAGGCUAGAUCUGAAGGCAACUCGAGCUCAUAAGCUACCCUGCUAAAUCGACUGAGAAUCUUGAAGGGACCGCAUAUCAGGGAUUGAGUUUUCCCUUCUUGCCAAAUAUCUUCACUCCAUUCAUGGGAGAGAUCUUUAGAUAGACAUAAUCACCAAUCUUGAACUUGAGAUCCUUUUUGUACACAUCUGUAUAAGACUUCUGUCGGCUCUGAGCAGCUCGAAGUUUUUCUCUGAUCAACUGGACUUUCUCUAAGGCAUCGAAUACUAAGUUAGGCCCUAUAACUGAGGCCUCACUAACUUUGAACCAACCAAAUGGAGAUCUGUACCUCCUACCAUAGAGAGCUUCAAAUUGAGCCAUCCGAAUACUGGAAUGAUAGUUGUUGCUGUAUGCAAAUUCAAUCAAAGGCAAGUGGUCAUCCCAACUACCCUUAAAAUCAAUUACACAUGCUCGCAGCAUAUCUUCUAAAGUCUGAAUGGUCUUUUCUACUUGACCAUCUAUCUGAGGAUAGAAAGUUGUACUGUGAUGGACUUAGGUGCCAAGACCCUUUUGAAACGCUUUCCAUAAAUAAGAGGUGAACUGGGUACCUCUGUCUGAGAUAAUGGAUAACGAAACACCGUGCAAUCUGACCAACUCUCUGAUGUAGAGUUUGGCAUAAUCCUUGGCUGAAUAAGAGGUAAGAACUGAAAGAAAAUGAGCUAAUUUGGUCAUCCUGUCUACAAUAACCCAAAUUGAAUCAUGUUGGAGACGAGUACGAGGAAAACCCAUCACAAAGUCCAUGUUCUCUUCUUCCCACUUCCAAGUAGGAAUACUGAACUCCUGUAUGGAGCCACUAGGCUUCUGAUGCUCUAUCUUGACCUGCUAACAUAUAGAGCAUUUAGCCAUAAACUCUGUAACAUCUCUCUUCAUCUCACUCCACCAAUAGAUUUCUGUAAGUCAUGGUACUUCUUUGUGGCCCCUGGAUGAAUAGAGUAGCGCGCACCAUGCUCUUCUGUAAGAAUUCACUGCCUUAAGUUGUCUACACCUAGAUCACACAGACGAACCUAAAAAUGCAAUACACCAUAUCUCCCUUGGGAGAAAACCUCUACUUUCUGAUCCUUGACUGACUCUUUUAACUUGACAAGGCUGGGAUCUCUAUCUUGCUUUCCUUUCACCUAAGAAACUAGAGAUCAUUCUGAACUACUCUGAACCCAUAUGUCACCCUCCUCAGUAUCGACUAAGCGAACGUCUAGUCUGGCAAGUUGAUGGAUUUCCUGAACUAACUUCUUCUUACUAUCUUUAACAUGGGAAACACUACCAAUAGACAGUCAACUGAGAGCGUCAGCCAAUACGUUAUCCUUGCUCGGAUGAUAAAGAAUACUCAUAUCAUAAUCUUUCAAGAGCUUUAACCACCUUCUCUGACGAAUAUUGAGAUAUUUCUAAGAAAAUACAUACUUAACGCUCUUAUGAUCUGUGAACACAUCUACAUGAACCCCUUAUAGAUAAUGCCUCCAAAUCUUUACGGCAAAUACUAUGGCUGCUAACUCAAGAUCAUGAGUAGGAUAAUUCUUCUUAUGAGGUUUAAGUUGUCUGGAGGCGUAGGAUAUGACCUUACCAUGCUGUAUGAGGACAUAUCCCAAACCUACUCUGGAUGCAUCACAAUACACUACGAACCCAUAUGGACCAUCUGGAAGAGUUAAGACUCGAGCUGAGGUGAGUAGAGUCUUUAACUCCUGAAAACUCUUCUCGCAAGGAUCUGACCACUAAAACUUGACUUUCUUCUAAGUCAAUCUAGACAUAGGGGAUGCAAUAUACAAAAAUCCCUCAACAAACCAUCUGUAAUAGCCGGCCAAACACAAGAAACUCCUGAUAUCUGAUAGAGAGACGGGUCUGGGCUAGUUUCUUACUGCUUCAAUCUUGUGAGGAUCAACCCUAAUGCCAGUGCCGAAAAUAAUAUGACUAAAGAAUGCUAUUUACCUUAGUCAAAACUCACACUGAAUUUGGCGAACAACUGAUGAUCUCUGAGGGUCUGAAGUACAAUUCUGAGAUGGUCAGCAUGAUUAUGCUCACCGCGAGAAUAAACCAGAAUAUCAUCUAUGAAGACUGUGAUGAACGUGUCCAAGUACUGCUUGAACAUGCGGUUCAUCAAGUCCAUGAAAGUUGCUGCGGCAUUGGUAAGAUCAAAGGACAUAACUAGGAAUUUGAAGUGACCAUACUGAGUACGGAAAGCUGUUUUUGAAAUGUCACAUUCUCUGACCCUAAGCUGAUGAUAACCUGAUCUGAGGUCUAUCUUAGAAAAAUAGCUGGCUUCCUGAAGUUGGUCAAAUAAGUCAUCGAUUCUUGGAAAGGGAUACUUGUUCUUGACUGUAACUUUAUUGAGCUGACAGGGACACACUAGGUCUGAUGAAUCCCUUAUCUAAAAGAUCCUUUAACUGUUCUUUUAGUUCUUUGAGUACUGCUGGUGCCAUUCAGUAUUGCGGAAUAGAUAUAGGCUGAGUAUCUGGAAGAAGAUUAAUGACAAAGUCUAUUUCACUUUCGGGAGAAAUUCUGAGAAGAUCGUUGGGAAAGACAUCUGAAUAUUCAUUCACUACUGGGACUGAUUUAAGACUGGAGUUUCGAAACUAGUUCCCUUAAAUCCAACAAGAUGAUAGACAUAUCCUUUAUAUAUCAUUGUCCUUGCUCAAAGGUAGAAAAUAAGCUGACCUCUUAAAGCUGGAGUACUACCCCUCCAUUCUAGGAUAGGUUCAUUUAGAAACUAAAACUGGACUAUUCUAUUUCUGCAUUUGACUGUGGCAUAGCAGGGAUAAAGCCAAUCCAUGUCAAGAAUGACAUCAAAAUCAGCCAUCUCUAAUUCAACUAAGUCUACUGAAGUGAUUUUCUGAGAUACCAUAACCAUACAGUUCUUGUAUAACCGUCGGGCUAUGAUGGUUUUACCCACUGGGGUAGAGACUGAAAAGGGCUUUGCUAGAAUUUUAGGACUGGUUUCGAAUCACUUGCUAUAUAGCGAGUAGCAAAGGACAAAAACGCUCCUGGAUCUAGCAAAGCGUGAACAUACACAUGAAAGAUCUAUAAUGUACUAGUAACUAUAUUAGAAGAAUUUUUUUGAUCUUGACUGGACUGAAGAUCAUAAAGUCGAUUUGGGUGUUGCCCACUAGUAGCACUGGAGGUGGCACCCUGCUAGUUUGGGCGACCGAACAGAGCUGAGGAAUGGUUCUGCUGACCCUGAGGACCCAGCUAAAGACAGUCUUUGACUCUGUGGCCUGACUUGCCACAUCCAAAAUAAAUACCACUGCCAGCUAUGCAAAUACCCUGAUGGUGGUUGCCGCAAGUUUGGAAAAGAGGAUAGGUGUGGGUACUGCUAACACUGCCCUGAGACUUAGAGCCUGGCGCUCUAUCUAUGUUGCCAUCUCUAAACUUAGGAGCUGGAGCACUAGCUGAAGAAGGAGCCGAAAUUGAUGACUUAGGAGGAAACUGAGAACGAUUUCCUCCUUCUAUUUGGGUUGAGCAAAGUUGAAACUAUAUGUCCUUGCUUUCUUAUUCUGCUUCUCCCUCAUCUUAAUCUUUUUCUCCUUUAUGUACUGAGCAUGAGUCAUAAUCCUGGCUAAAGUCAUGUCACUAUUCAACGUCGCAGACCUACACUCAUUGACCAUACUAUCAUUCAUCCCAGAAAUAAACUUACUCAUCUUGGCCCUACUGUCUGGAACCACAUGAGGGGCAUAUUUGGCUAAUCGAGUAAACUUAAGAGAAUAAUUUUUCACCAUCAUGUUGCCCUAUCUGAGGUUAAUAAAUUCUAACACCUUAGCCUCUCUCAACUCUUGGGGAAAGAAUCUAUCUAAGAAUGCGGUGACAAACUCCUCCCACUCUAUAGAUCCUGUAUCAACUGGCCUCUCUGACUUCUACUAUUUAAACUAACUGUGAGCAACGUCCUGCAACUGAUAUGUAGCUAGCUCAACACUCUCACUAGGAGUAACCCCCAUGAGGGUCCUCAUCUGACUUAGACCCAAGAAAGGAUGGAGGAUUCAUUCCGGUGAAGUCCUGAAUCCUGGCUACAGUUGAAUUGGCCACUGGGUUGGCCGGAACGACAACUGGUCGUUCAUUCUAAGUAGCAAAUGACUGAGAAAGAGUAGUGAAUGCAGCUCUAAACUCUGCAUGAGAGACAUGUUCACCCAAAAGAUCUUUGGGCUGAGUGGCUGACUGAUUUCCAGUUCUCUUCUUGGGAGGUAUGUUCUAUAAAUGGAAGAGACAAGGAUUAGACUGUGAGAUUAGCUUGAUAUUAUGCUCACUGGCAUGACAUGAACACUAAAAGAAGGGAAACUGUUCCUAAAAUAUCUUAUAGCCUCGUGUACAUAAAUGUGGCACGCAAUACACCCAUGCACAAGACUCUACUAGAUGCGGCUUUCAAACUUCCUAGGACACUAUUGAUCCUUAGGCUUUGAUACUAAGUUUAUAAUGCCUCGAAUCUGGUACCCAGAAUGCUACACGAUGCUCAUGACCCCAAAGGACAACAAACUAACCCAUGACUAAUAUCUAUACCUGAACACUAUAUAAUAUACUUCACAAAUGCAAAAAUAAAGGCUAAAAGGUCAUAAGAUUCAAAAACUAUAACAUAACUGAUAAAAUAUAACAUUUGGAGGGGGUAUGAAAUACCCAAAACAACUAAACUAACUGUCUGAACAUGCUAGUCUGAAAAGCCUCUAACUAACUGAACUAUCUGAAUAAGAAGUUGAUGGGACAUGUCCCCAACUAACUCCAACUACUAAAAUAAAUUAAUUAAUGAGAUAAUAAAGUAAUGGUCAUGUCCUCGAAGGAUGAGGGCUCACUGUUAACUCUAACUGCUGAGACUGGAAUGCUACUGAUGUUCUGGAGCUCGUGCUUCUGAAUCUAUGGUAUAAAACACCAUAGCGCAAAUGUGUCAAUAUGUUUGAAUGUACUGGUAUGUAUGUGAGGUAGGCUGAAUGCAAAGGGUUCACAUGCAUGAACUAUACUAACUGACUGAAUAACAUCACGUAAGAAUACAUUCAUGAAUACCUAAUAACUAUAACUGAGUUGUGAUAACAUGAUUACUGAAUCUGAGUACUGAUAACAUGAGAUACUGAUAACUAAAUACCUGAAAUAACUAAUAUUGGGCGACUGUAUCUGACAGUCUAGGUUCUGAUGGAACUAACUGAGUUCCGUACUGUUCUGAGUUGACUGUAGCUGAUAAUUCUAAAUUUUGUAGAACUAUCUGAGUUCUAUUACUGAGACUAAAUGGUUGUAUCUGGCAGUCCUGAUCUGUAACUGAAACUGUAGGAAGUAGUCAUCUAACCGACAUGUCUCAAAUAACACAAUAUAGCUGAAUUGGGGUCCAAUCUGUAACCCCAAUUGGAAGGGUGUCAAUACCGCGCCACUGGUAAGGACAAUCUGUGAGUAACCCUCAUAUAACAGGUAACUCUAGUAAGAACGGUGGUAACCCACAUAUAACAGGUUAAGCCACCUUAUCUACCCUCGUAUAACAAGCUAUGAUGUCUCAACCUACGUUGGCUACGUAGUUCUGAAAUGCAAGGAUUGCUUCUAAGAAUCACACCCUCAUAUAAUAGGUGGGUUCCCAUCCUUCGGUUCACUCGGUGCUAAUUUCUACUCCUAUCUGAAUAGACACCGAACAUGAUUACUACUGAGGUUACUAAAUUACUGAGCUUUCCUGAGUCACAUGACUGACUGAGUUCUAUGGAUCAUGGCUUGACUGAGGAUAUCGUGAAAAUAUGACAUUGGAUCUAGGUACACAGCUAUAUUUUUCAGGUACAAGUACCCCCAGGAAUCGAUGGAAAGAAACUGACAAAGCAUGACUUUCUUGAAUACAUGACCAACAUCAACAAUCCAUUAUAUAAUAAGUUAGAGAUUUCAUGAAGUACAAGUUCUAAAGCACCACAAGGGCUACACAUGUAUCCAUAAUUCACAUGAUAUUUCAUCAAACAUUUGACGUGCAUAAACUUGUACAUGAAUGGGAAUUUCAUAUUAUCACACUAGUAUGACCCUUUUCCUUCACAUAGGCAUUUAAUCAAACACAUGGGGAGCAUACUUUGGUUAUACCAUCAUUAAUGCAUCUAAUUGUCAUGUUUGCAUAAAUAAAUUCACAAAUUUAAAAGGUUUAUCAUGAUUAUUAUGCAAAUCAUCAUAUACUAGGGUCAAUCAUUGGAUUAUGUAAUUUAAAACAUGAAUCAAAACCCCACAACAUCAUGAAAAUGAAUUUCAAUUCAAUUUAAAUCAUGAACAUUCAUAAACACACAAAUCUUAGAUUUUGAAAAGAGAUUCUUGAGCUUCAUGGGUGAAAGGGACCCAUGAAUCAACACAUGACAUACCUGGGUGGAUGAUUUCUUAAAGAUUGGUGGAGGAAAGCUUGAAUUCUUGACUUGGAAUUAAAGAUCUAGGGUUUCUUGUUCUUGGGGAUUAAUCUUUGAGAUAAACCCUAAUUUGAUGUAUAGAUGAAUAAUGAACUUAUGAGCCUUGGUUUGAUAUAAUUAGCGUUUACAACGGAUGGAAAAAGACCCAAAUAUCCUUUUAAAAACGACUUUAAAUUGUUGAACGGGAUCUGCAACGGUCCGUCGCUGGCUCGACGGUCCGUCGUCCUAACCGUCGCAUGUGGACCAGAAUAGGGGUUCACUACCUUAGUAGCUAUGGCUUGGGUGACGGUCCAUCGCAAGUUUGACGGUCCGUCAACCUGUCCGUCGCACCUUAGCCAGAAGAUUGAAUUACUGCCUUAACUGUGACAUUUUAGGCGACGGUCCGUCGCUAGAUCGAUGGUCCGUCAACCUGCCCGUCGCACCUGGGCGGUUCUGACAGCUCUCGAUAAAACGUCCAUAACUUUUUACUCCGAUACCGAAUUUGGAUGAAAUUGGUAUCUUUGGAAAGCUAAUUCAAUUUUUCCCUUAACAAAAAGUGAAAAUCUUAAAAAUUCCACGUGUACACAAAUGGAUUCAUCUUUCAAAGUAAGUUUCUAACAUUCUUGGGAGAUUUCAAGCUAGGUAGAAGUACGGUGUAUUACAUUUACUUGAUAUGAUAUUGAAAUGGUUAAUUGAGAUAUGAUAUUAUUAAGGUGAAUAUUCUUUACUUACAAGAGAUUAAGUAUUCAUGACAUGUGUUUUAUUCAAAUUUACACGUAACAUGAUUUGAUAUGAACUUUAAAUGAUAUGUACCAUUCUGAAAAAUGCUUUCAUACUAAUAUCCUAUUGUUUACAAAGAAUUUAUAAAUGGGAGUAGACCUUGAUUUGAAUCCCGUAGCUAACAGUGGGAUCAUUAGACCUAGUGCACCUUGUAUUUACUGAUGACUGUUACAACUCUCGCUAGUGGGAAGGUAGAACUAGCAUACUGUUACUGAUAUGAUAUUUGACUCCUUUAUGAGGGGUCCACUAUUAUGGACUAUUCUUGAUGAAGAAGAAUCUCACAGCGAUUACAUGAUUCAUUCUUGGAAACCUCCCAGAUAUGUAAUAUUUGAUAUGAUACGAUGCUUUUUGAGUUUAUUACUGAACUAUUGAUUCACUUUGCUUACGUGAAACAAAGAAUACUGUUUAUUGUUACUAUUUUCUAAAAGAACAUUUAUUUCAUGAUGUUUUACGACUUGUCCCCCAAUAAAACGAUUUUGGUUAAGUGUUAUUACUCACUGAGCUAGCGUCUCACUCCUUGAUAUUAUUUUUCAAAGAACGCAGGUGACGGUGAGGAUUUCAUUGUCUAGAGGAUCCGAGUAGCAUAUUCCUGGUGAACCCCGCAAUUGUUCGCGUGGGCUAUAGUUUAUUUAUUCGUUAUGUUUCUUUUUCUUCAAAACUCUUAGUUUGCUCCAUAGUCAUGUCUUUAGAGCUUUGAGUAUUCUUACAUUAUUUUGAAUUUGUGGAAUAUUUGACUUCCUUUUAUUUUUGGAGAUGAAUUUCGUAUUGAUAUUGGUGGUAUUACUACAUUGUUGGUGAUUUUGGUGGAUUGUGUUGGUAAUUGGAGUGUUGGUUGUGAUGUUAGGUUGUUGUGUUGUGUAUUUGAGACAGAAAAUUGUCUUGUUACGUCCAAAAACAAGAGAAACUCUAUUCUGUAGAAUUCUGAUGAGGCUUGAUUAGGACUCCUAAAUUCCUUAGCGCCGGUCAUGAUUCUAUUUUGGAUCGUGACAUUAAGACAGUUUAGUUAAUCACUUUUGAACAAACAAUAAUGCUAUUAUAAUCCCUUUUGUGAUUUGAGUAUUAUUACAUAUAUAUAAAAUUAGUCGAAGCAAAUUAAUUCUAUUAAUCCUUUAGGAGUCGUUUGGUAGAGUGUAUUGAAAUGUUAAUGCAUGUAUUAGUUUAAUGUGUAUUAGUAGUACCUUGUUUGGUUUAUAUCUUUUUACCCUAUGUAUAACUAAUGCACACUCUAUUGUGUAUUAAGGUGUGUAUUACUAAUAACUCAAAAUCCUUGGCAUUAAUAAUGCAAUGGAUCUAAUGCAUAUAUUAACAUGCUUAAAGACUCAAUUACCCCUCAAAAAAAAUUCUGCAUGCUUUCCAACAUAUAUAUUGGGGGUAUUAUGUAAAAAAAAAAUUUUUUUUUUUUUAGAAAUUAUGUAAUUCAUGUUUUUUAAUACAUUGAACCAAACACUGCAUAACAAAAAUACAAGCAUAACUAACACAAGCAUUACUAAUACACCAUAUUUUACAUUAUUCUUAUACACUCUACCAAACGACCCUUAGUGCUUUGCAACGACCAUACUUGAUACUAUUACAAACAAAAUUAAAAAAAUAUAACUAAGCAUUAGGAUUAAAAAAAUAUAUAGAUGAAAUUGAGUAGUAUUUAUAGAGAAUCAUGACUUAUCCAUCUUUUGAACAUAACAAAACAUUCUUCAGGUUUGUCUGUACAUGCUGUGUGUCCCCCUCCCUAUUAAAGAUAAAUAAAUAAAUAAAUGCAGAAUUAAAUACCAAAAAAUUCAAAAUAAAUUUUUUAAAAUAAAUUCAAUCUGUCUAAAUUGUGAUUAAUCAAUUACUUCUCAAUUUUCAUGGACUAAAUUGUUUCUACAAUUAAUUUCAUACCUUGACUGUUGCAUAAGUCAUUUUGUUGGAGUAAGACCUCGUAUAACUAUAAGGGUAAGAUAGAAAAAUGACUAAUUAAGCAUUAUCAACUCAUAUAAAUAGUUUUAAGAAUUCAUAAUUGUAAUUAAGGAUGUUAAAUUUGGAGAUUAAUUACCCAGCAACUUGAUUAUGUAAAUUCCAUGGACGCCAAUCAUCUUCAAUAGAGUAGUUUAGAGACUUUAUCCAUACUUGUGUGGAUUGGAAAGGUACCAUUAAGUCAUGAUCCCCACUGUUUAAACAUUAAAAGAAAAAAAACUUCAUUUAAUACAUUCAUGAAAUUAUUGUGAAUACAUCAAAAAAUAAAGUUCUAAUCACAUGAAAGAAAAAAUUCUUCUCUGUAUAUCUUUGAAGGGGACAAAUUUUUUUUAGUAGAAAAAUGCAUUCAAACAAUUAAAUAUAAAUUUAAAUUUAUAACCAAAUACAAUUCUAUCUUUAAUUUCAACUUCAAAAUUUUAGAGAAAGUGAACAAUUAUUUGUUAUUAUACGUAAUAGCUCACAUAUGGGAUCUAGUCUAUAACAUAACAUUAUGUGACCAUCUAUUUUGAAAUAUUACUCUUUUAUAGCAUAUUAAAUUGUAUGUUUCAGGUAAAUUAGUCAAGUUAAGUGAUUUUACCAGUUUUUAGAAAUUCAAGGAUAUAAAUCAUAUUUAGAAAAAAAUACAUUCCAAUUCUAAUUAGAUAUUCCUUGCAAGAAGUAUGAUGUUCCAAAUAAAAUGGAUAAUAUUUGAUUUGCAUUGCCAAGCAACCAUUUACUUUGCGUGAUUCGGAUACUGUACCAGUUAAAAUUAUAACCAUUAGACCAUGACUUUAAUCUCAUACCAAAUAUAUAAAGUUAAAGACAUACCCAAACGUAACAAUGAAUAUUAAUUACCUGUAUAUAAGUGAUCGAUAAACGUAACAAUGAAUAUUAAUUACCUGUAUAUAAGUGAUCGAUAAACGUAACAAUGAAUAUUAAUUACCUGUAUAUAAGUGAUCGAUAAACGUAACAAUGAAUAUUAAUUACCUGUAUAUAAGUGAUCGAUAACCUUUUAUGCUUAGAUUUGCAUGAUAUGGUAUAACAUUAUGUACCGUGAUUGUGUAGUUAUGAGGGUAAUCUUAGUUAUAUUUCUCCUACAUUUAAUCCAGCUUCCUAUAAUUUCCCGCGGAGAAUAAAAUGAUCAGUAAUAAGGUGAUAUAGUAAAAUUAUAUAGUUAGGUAUGUGAUAUGUAAAUAUAUAUAAUACCUUCCUAACAUGUAGAGCUUCUUGGACUUCAGGGCUAUUAGCCCAAUACCUCAUAUGCUUGCGCCAAUCAGACUGAAGUAAUUAAAAUCAGUACUAGUAUUUUGUGUAUUUAUUUAAGUUAUAUAUACUCACAGUAUGAUGCAUAGUGUAAUAAUUUAAAAACAAAAAAACUUACAGCACACUUGUCUUCACGUUGCAAAGAGAUGAGUUUAUCAAGAAGUAACCUUUCACCAAAUAAUAUUCAAUGUGAGCCUAGAGGAUCAUCAUCACUUUUGCAAAAGGGUUUUAAUACAUGUUCCACAUUAAAUCAUUAAUGUUCCUUACUAUCUGCAUAAUUAUAUUUUAAUUUACUCACAUAAAAAUAAUAAAUAAUCUACGAUAUAUAACAAGUUAAACAACAUGGAUAUUUAUAAUUACCUGAUUGAAAGUUUGAACAUCAUUUGCACAUCUUGUAUUGUUGGGAUUUAUCUCUUUAAUAUAUUUUCCUCUACAAUUCUUCUCUAAUGACUGUUAAUUAGACAAAUUAAUAUGUAGGUUUAUUUGACAUGUCAAAUAUUAAACCUUAUAUUUUGGAUUAAUAUAGAAAUUAAAAUAAUUAAAGACAAAUUAAUUGUGACUUAACCUUAUAAAGUUCAUCAGGUAUAAGUCCCAUACCAAGGGAAAAAGGUAUACGAUAAUUGAAUUCUCCUAAAAAUGCUGCAGGAUUGCCAAGUAAAUAUCCCUGAAAUUAACCAUGCAUGCAACAUUUAGAAAAAAAAAAAAAUUACUUGAUGGUAAUUAUUAGAUAGCAAUUAGAGAAAUAUUGACCUGAAGAUUAAUCAAUGGCUCUUUACCUGCUGCAUUUCCUGCAUUGCAAAAUCACAAGAUUAAUUUCUUUAAGGGUAGUUCAAGAUUUAAUAUAUGUAUCAAAGUAACUUUUGAUCUGUGUAUUAUAAAUAUACAGUACAACUUUAUAUAUACAUAAGAUAAUUUUUCUGACAAAUUAAGAAAGUUCAACUGACCAUACUUCGAUUAAAGUGUCUCCAUCACUCAUGUCUGGAUAUUGAUCUAUGUGUGUGUAUUAUUUCUCACAAAUUCUUCAAAUACACUAAGAAAUUGUGUUACUAAAUUAUAUAUCAUAUAUGCAUAUAAUUCAUGUAUAAUUUAUGUAUAUGGUUAGGAAAAAUAAACAAUGAAUCUGGCCAAGUAAUUUAUGAAUGAGUACUCAUUAUUUCCCUUAUUUUUAUGGUAUAUAUGAAUCUUACCAUUUGAUAUGUACUGAGCUAUAACUGGAACAAUCAUUCCUGCAAAUGAGUUUCCAGAAAUGUAAAAUGGAUUUGAGAUGAAUUGUGGAUGAUCACUGAGCCACUGAAAUAAUUAAUUAGUUAAUUGAUUCAAAGUUAAGUACACAUGAUUAUUCAAUUAUAUUUAUAAUAGCAAAUUUCAGAAAUUACGAACCUUUCUUAGGAAUUCAUAGACAUAUUCACAUGCCUGUACAUUAGUGUACUUGUAUGCAGCUGAAUUUGUUGCAUAUGAGAAUCCUGUAUUUACUGGUUGAUCCAAGAAAAUUACACUUGCUAUCUGAAAAUUGAUGCAUACAUUUAUAUUAUACUUCAUAAAAUAAAAAUAUUACUAAUAAUUUUUCAUGAAGCGCAAACAUAUUGACCAGUAUAUUUUAUACAUGUAACUACCUUGGUCCAUGCGUGUGGGUUUAGUACGAACGAGGGCAUACUCCCAUUGUAGACUUGUUCGACAAAACGCAACGGCCCUGGACAAGAAAAUUUCUUAACUGCAACAACUUGAGGGGAAAAGGGGACUGAGGCAAGGGGACCUGUGUCACAUCUACGAAAUUUCCGAUUAAGCUCAAUGGUGAAACCCAGGGGUAUUUUGAGGGGAAAAGGGGACUGAGGCAAGGGGACCAAUGUCCCCUUUGCUAUUUGUCCUUGUAAUUGAGUAUCUGUCAAGAGCAUUGAAUAAAGUUGGCUAAUUACCAGACUUUAAUUUCCAUCCUAUGUGCAACAAAACUAAGUUGAAUCAUCUGAUGUUUGAGGAUGACCUAAUGUUUUUUUUUUUAAUAAUCGUGGUGUCUGAGCCAGCUUGAGCGUACCUCAAAUAAAUCCACGGGAUACCUGUCACCUCCCACCAGCAACAGGUACCAGGUAACUCUGUCCAUCAAGGCUAGAACAGAUGGGAAGAAAACACCUAGUGUUUGUCUCUGCUAGGAAUUGAACCUGAGACUUCAUGGUGCUCAUCCCAACUUCAUUGAACCACUAGGCCACACCCUUGGGUGCAAGGUCAAAAAGCAAGGAGCAUCGUACAAGGAAUCUAUUAGGAGGUUGAUGGAGGUGUUGCAUCAUUUUAUUAGAGUGUCAAGACUCAUGGCUAAUCAAGACAAAUUAAAUAUCUUUGUCGCAGGGGUAUCUGAUGACUUAAGCUAUCAAAUUCUGCAGGUCACUGAUUUUUCACUUGGUCAGCUUCCAAUUAGAUACUUGGGAUUGCCUUUAUCCUCAAAGAAGUGGUCAAAAAUGGAUUGUCAAAUGUUGAUUGAUAAAAUCACUCAUAGAAUCACUACGGUUUAUUCAAGAACACUAUCAUAUGCAGGUAGGUUGCAGAUCAUUAAUGUGGUGUUUUUCUCAAUCUAUAACUUUUGGAGCACAGUCUUUAUCUUAUCCCAAAGUGUUGUUAAAACUGUGGACAAGAAGUGUAGGGACUAAUUGUGGGGAAACGGGAAAGAGAAGAGGACAAUAUCACUAGUAUCAUGGGAAAAACUCUGCAGGCCAAAAAAGAAUGGAGGGUUGAAUAUCAAAGGCUGUCAGUUGUGGAGCACUGCUUUUGUUGGCAAAUUAAUAUGGCAACUGGCAACAAAAGCUAACUCUUUAUAGAUUAGGUGGGUGCAUGGGUUAUGUAUGAAAGGUCAACAGGAAUUCUGGGAUCAUAUAUCUCCCAAAGAUAGUAGCUGGUACUAGAAAAAAGAUUAACUCUAUUAAGCAGGUGAUGAGGUUGUGGUAUCAUAACGGAGAUUAUAAACUGACGGUAAAUGGAACAUAUAAUGUAAGUUGCAGCUACGAUCAAUUGUUGGGUAGACAGAGGAAAGUACAAGAAGCAGAGCUGAUUUGGAAUAAAAUUCUAAUACCAAAGACAUAGAUUUAUUGUGUGGCUGGCCAAUCAGAAACGAUUGCUAACAAGAGCAAGAAUGAGUAAGCUACAUAUACCAAUAGAUGAUGACAAAUGUUGUUUAUGUGGUGAUGAUAACGUGGAGACGCAACUGCAUCUAUUCUCAGGAUGCAAUUGGACAAAUAAAGUGAAAAAUGAAUUAGAAACUUGGUCUGGGGUUACAUCACAUGGAAAGAAGGUGGCACAAUGCUUAAGCUGUAUUAAGGGGAGGCACUAGAAGUAAUUCAAAAAGGAGGUAGCUGCUGCUAUUUUGGGUGCAAGGAUAUAUCACACUUGACAAGCGUGAAAUUGGAAGUAAUUUAGAGGGAUAGUUGUACAUACCGAGAGUGCUAGUACACAGAUUAAGAAGGAGAUAGUUGGAAGAAUGGAAUACUUGAAACACACUUGGAAAGCUAGGAGAUGUAGAUAUUUACUUCAAAAGUUUUGUAACUAGAUUGCUGUCUUCGGUUGAGGCUUUAAGGAAGAUAGUACUGAUGGCUACCUCCUAAAGUGCUCUAUAGGUGUAAUUUUUUGAUUGUUAAUGGUAAUUCUUCACAGUUUACCAAAAAAAUAAUUCUCUCGGGCUAUAAACUCAGAAUAUAUAUAUAUAUAAACAAACUUAUUCAGGGAAAUGGGGAGAUAGAUGAGGAUGUUUCUCACCGUAUUGGGGCAGGUUGGAUGAAAUGGAGGCUCGCUUCGAGAAUUUUAUGCGAUAAGAAGGUGCCCCCAAGCUGAAAGGCAAAUUUUAUAGAGUUGCAGUCCGGACUGCUAUGUUGUAUGGAGCGGAGUGUUGGCUGAUUGAGAAUUCUCAUAUCCAAAAAUUGAAGGUGGUGGAAAUGAGGAUGUUGUGUUGGAUGUGUGGAUUUACAAGGGCUGACAAGGUUAGGAAUGAAAUUAUUCGGGAGAAGGUGGGAGUGGUGUCAGUGGAGUAUAAAAUGCGGGAAGUGAGGUUGAGAUGGUUUGGUCAUGUGAUGAGGAUGGGCACGGAUGCCCUAGUUUGUAGGUGUGAGAGGUUGGCCUUGGAUGGUUUCAAGCGCGGUAGGGGUAGACCGAAGAAAUACUGGAGAGAAGUGAUUAGACGUGAUAUAGAGCAGUUACAGCUGACUGAGGACAUGACCCUGGAUAGGAAGAUAUGGAGAAAAAACAUUAAGAUAGAGGGAUAAGGGUAUGGAUGAGUAGUAGUCAGUAAUUAGGUGAACUUCGGUGUCCUUUGUUUGGCAUUGUAAAUAUUUUAUUUUUUUUUGUGGAUGUCGUACCUAUGUUAUUUUAUCAUGUUCUAUGCUUUGGAUGCUUCUGCAUGCUGCCUUUUAUCUUGAGCCGGGGGUCUAUUGAAAACAGCCUCUCUACCUCUUUUGAGGCAGUGGUAUGGACUGCGUACACUACACCCUCUCCAGACCCCACUAUGUGAAAUAUACUGGGUUUGUUGUUGUUGUUGUUUAUAUAUAUAUAUACAUAAACUUAUGAAUUAUUACUAUGAAUAUUGUUUUUAAAAAAAUAAUUUUAAUUAAGAAGUCAAAGAUACAUAAAUUAGGAUUAGUGUGAGUACCUAUUUCAUUCACAAUGGCAAUGACAAAGGAGCAACCAGGGCCACCAGAUAGCCAAAUCAAAAGAGGAUCAGUAAUAGGGUUAGAUUCUGAUUGCAAAAAAUAGUAGAAAAGUUGCACCUCUUCAUCUUUACCAAUUCCAACAUACCUAUUCCAAGUGUUAUAUAAAGUGAAACGAACACAGUAGUAAAUAAAAUGAUAUGCUUUAGCAAAUACAAAUUCAAAUAUAGAGUAAGAAGCAAAGACUUUGAAGCGCAAAAAUUAUUAUUCUUAAAAAGAUAUUACUCACACUUAAAAAAACAAAAUAAAAGCAACUCACCCAAUUUCUAGAUGGAACGGGAGGCGACCCGACAAACCAAGAAGAUAGUCAACUUUGUAAUGAGAAUCAGUUCGUUGAAGAAGAUGAAGAAGCACCAAAACACACAGCUUCAGCAACAAUUUUUCCAUUAUUCCUAAAGUAUCCAUCUUGGUUAUUACAAAUAAAAGAUGAAAAUGAGAUUACAGCUAUUAUUUAUAUGGCCAAGCCCAUCGAUAAGACCUCAAACCUAUCCCGAAAAUUCACUUAGACCCCUAAAUUAAGGUUUGUACCUAUUAGACCUCUAACCCCCACCCCCCACCCCAACCCCCACCCCUAAAUUUUGUUUCAAUUGGGCAUUUUAGCAAAAGAUAUAGAGUGUGUUACACACACUCGCCUUAGGUGGCAAAAUUGACCAAUAAGAAAAAGACACGUGGCAAACGAAUUUUUUUUUAAAAAAUAUAUGUUAAAAAUCCAAUUAAAUAAAGAUAAAUGUUGAGUGGGUCCAAAAAUAAUUUUAAAUAUAUUAUAUUUUUUUUUAGAAAAAAAAAAACUGAUUAUCUUUUCAUUUAGGUGUCUGUAUUGAUUACUGUAUAUUAUCUUUCCAUUGGGUCUCUUUUUUUUUUGUAUAAAGUUGCAUCCUUGGAAUCAUUCAAUAAACUGAAAUCAGUAGAAAAAAAACUUAAGUAAAUUUCAUGCAUGGUCACUUAACUUUGUAUCCAUUACCCAAAAGUUAUUUUUCUUUCAUUCAUUUCAUUCAUGGUCACUUAACUAUGCAUCUAUUAUGCAAAAGUUAUUUUUCUUUCAUUCAUUUCAUCCACGGUCAUUUAACUUACUCCGACCAUCACAAAAGUCACUAUGACCGGAUUUUACAAUAAUUCCAUUGGAAAAAUAAUGUGACAACCUUAAUUAGUUCUUAAUUUUAAUUUAAGUGAAUAUAUAAUAUAUUACUCAUAUCUUGACCAUUUUUAUGUAUACAACCCAAUUUUCCUUAUUUAUUAUUUAAUGAAAGAAUAUCAAUUUCUUAAUAGAUUAGAUUACCUAAUGAAUACUACUUUCAUAAAAAAAAAAAAAAAAAUAUGGUUGAUAUUUUUAUGAAAUAUUUUAUAAUAUUGCAUUCAUCUGCCAAAAAGGUGCAUCGAAAAAGAGUGAUAAACAAGAUAAAUUCUUCAAAACACAUAAAAUAGAAAUACAUGUAAGAUAUUAUUUUUUAAAAAAAAUUAUUUUAAUUCUUUGAAGAUAAAUCGACACAUAAAAUCUUUGGUAUAAACACAUUUAGCACCCCAGGCCAAAAACAUAAGGUUGUUGAAGUUGCCCCUUUUGUUUCAUUUCUUCUUCUUCAAAAAUUUAGUAAAUCAACGUGUAUUUGUAUUUCACUGUAUUUGUACUAUUAUGUUUUGAAAAUGAAAAAUUGUUAUUACCUACUACCGUAGCAGGUGAUCCUGAUACUUUGCUACCACUAUAUAUGUGACUUAGAUUUUAGUUACGUAAUCGUUUUAAUUUGCUUGUCAUAUUUUUUUUAUAUGAAAUUUUUUAUUUUUCGAGAUUCAAAAUUAUGUUAAAGAUAUAUUCUUCAUCUUACAGACAUAAAUAUUUGGAGUGAUCGAGCACAUAGUUUUCCAUCAACAUGCUUAUGGGGAGGGAGCAAUUUUGGUAUUUCAGAGCUAGUAGUACUAUAUUGUUUUGUGUGUUGUACGUACUUUUCUCUACCUGGACAAAGUAUAACCACACUACAUUUGUUUAAUAUCUUAGGUAUCCCUUGGCCCAUCAGGAGUAACUUUGUCGAGCCAGUGGCUCCCCUACACGCGAGCUGGUUAGAUUCGUGGAAAUAGAAGAGUCGUACAUAUCUUCUUCUAUGGCUGUACAGUAAGAAAAUUAAUCCUUGAAAAUGACUACACAGCUAUCAAUCAUUCUGAUUUGAUUUUUCCGUUCUUCACAUUAUUUGACAAAUAUUUAAUGAUAUCAUUCUCAUUUUAGUUUUACUGGAUCCUACUUAACACUAUAUUGAUAAGAAAAGUCAUGGCACUAAGUAAAGUCUUUACUUAUUUCUUGAAGUCUAUCUUUAAUAUCAAAUGGUGUUCACGUAAAUUGGGACAAAGGGAGUAACAAUAAUUGUGACAAAUGAACUUGCAAAAAGAGGUCACAAAAUCUCAUUAUUGUUGCCUAAACGUGCAGGAAUUAAACUUCAAAAACUCAAAUCUUUAUCCUCAUCUCAUCACAUUCCACAAACUCACAAUCCCUCAUGUUGGUGUGCCUGGAUCUUUGGAGACUUUACAAGCAAAAGCUAUGGAUGAAUUAUCCGAUCAAAUCAAAUCUUUACUUGAAAAUCUAAAACCCCAUUUCGUUUUCCUGAGUUAGCACUACAAAUUGGAGGUAUCAAGACUCUCUCUUACACAGUUAUUUGCCCUGCUGUGACAUCUAUAGCAUUGAUUCGAUCACCGAAUAUGACUAAAAAAUGUCAUCAACUGCCGCUGAACUAGUAAAGCCGCCGCCAGGCGACCCUUCAUUUUUUCCUUCUUUUCAUUACCCUGGUCUCGACCGAUUUCACGAGAUAUUUUUUUUUGGAACGGAGGGUUUUGCUGCAAGUUAAAUCUGAUACCUCAUAUUUUUGUGACCACGUCAUUUUCAUACUUUUUUGGAGGGUGAGGGUGGGGGUGGGGGCCCCAAAAGAGUAGUUAUAUUCAAAUGAAUUUCGGAUUUGAAUUUUAAGAGUUAUGGAUUCUGAAUUACAGUAGGUCCAAAUUAAUCAAUUAUGCUGCAAAUCAUCCAAAAAAGCAAUAGAAUUCUUUUAAUUAUUUGCUUUUCUUACUUUCACUUUUGAUCAAGUUCAGCAAGAAGCACAAGCGUUCAAAUAUACUGUAAUAUGAUCUUCAAAAUUCUAAAAACAUAUAAUUAAGCAAAAGAUAAUUAUUACAUAUUUAAGACAGUUUAGUUAAUUACUUUUGAACAAACAAUAAUGCUUUUAUAAUCCUUUAGUUCUUUGAGUAUUAUUACAUAGUCGAAGCAAAUUAAUUCUAUUAAUCCUUUAGUGCUUUACAUCGACCAUACCCUGUAUAUUAAAAAAAAUAUAUAGAUGAAAUUGAGUAGUAUUUAUAGAGGAUUACGACUUAUCCAUCUUUUGAACAUAACAAAACACUCUUCAGGUUUGUCAGUACAUGCUGUGUGUCCCCCUCCCUAUUAAAGAAAAAUAAAUUAAGUAAAUAAAUGCAGAAUUAAGUACAACAAAAAUAUCAAAAUAAAGUUUUUGAAAUAAAAUUCAAUCUGGCUAAAUUGUGAUUAAUAAUCAACUACUUCUCAAUUUUCAUGUACUAACUUGUUUCUACAAUUAAUUUCAUACCUUGACUGUUGCAUAAGUCAUUUUGUUGGAGUAAGAUCUCGUAUAACUACAAGGAUACGAUAGAAAAAUGAUUAAGCAUUAUCAACUCAUAUAAAUAGUUUUAAGAAUUGAUAAUUGCAACUAAGGAUGUUAAAUUUGGAGAUUAAUUACCCAGCAAUUUGAUUAUGUAAGUUCCAUGGACGCCAAUCAUCAUCAAUAGAGUAGUUUAGAGACUUUAUCCAUACUUGUGUGGAUUGGAAAGGUACCAUUAAGUCAUGAUCCCCACUGUUUAAACAUUUUAAAAAGAAAACCUCCAUUUAAUACAUUCAUGAAAUUAUUGUAAAUACAUCAAAAAAUAAAAUUCUAAUCACAUGACAAAAAGUUCUUCUGUAUAUGUUUGUAGGGAUACAUUUUUUUAAGUAGAAAAAUUACAUUCAAACAAUCAAAUAUUAAUUUAAAACCUAUAAUGAGGCACAAUUUCAUCUACAAUUUCCACGUUAAAAUUUUAGAGAAAGUGAACAAUUAUUUGUAAUAGUAUGUAGUAGCUCACACAUGGGAUCUAGCCUUUGACAUUAUGUUAUUUGAUUGUAAGUUUCCUGUAAAUUAGUUAAGCUGAUUGAUUUUUUGCUAGUUUUUAGAAAUUCAAGAGUAUAAACCAUAAUUUUUAAAAAAUACAUUCAAAUUCUAAUUAGAUAUUCUUUGCAAGAAGUACGGACAUACACAACUUCAAUUACAAUUUUAAAAGUUCCAAAUAAAAUGAGUAGUUUUUUAUUUUCAUUGCUAAACAACCAUUUACUUUGUGUUAUUAGGAUAUGAUGCAAGUUAAAAUUAUAAUCAUUAGACCAUGACUUUAAUAUCAUACCAAAUAUAUAAAGUUAAACGAUGAAUAUUGAUUACCUGUAUAUAAGUGAUCGAUAACCUUUACUGCUUAGAUUUGCAUGAUAUGGUAUAACGUCAUGUAUCGUGAUUGUGUAGUUGUGAGUGGUAAUUCUAUAUAUAUCUUUCCUACAUUUUAUCCAACUUCCUAUGAUUCCCUGCUAAGAGUGAAAUCAAGAGUAACUAAGUGAUACAAUAAAAUUAUCAUUUUGUUUAUUAAUUUUUAACAGGUAUAUCAAGUCAAUUAUGUGAUAUGGAUAUAUAAAGAAUACCUUCCGAACAUGAAGAGCUUCUUGGACGUCAGGGUUAUUAGCCCAAUACCGCAUAUGCUUGCGCCAAUCAGACUGAAGUAAUUAAAAUCACUUUUGUGUAUUUAUUUAUGUAUUCUGACAGUACUGAUGCAUGGUGUAACAAUUUUUUUUUAAAAAAAAAACUUACAGCACACUUGUCUUCACGUUGCAAAGAGGUGAGUUUAUCAAGAAGUAAUCUUUCACCAAAUAAUAUUCGAUGUGGGCCUAGAAGAUCAUCAUCACUUUUGCAAAAGGGUUUUAAAACGUGUUCCACAUUAAUGUUCCUUACCAUCUGCAUACUUAUAAUUCAAUUUACUCCAAUAAAAAUAAUAAAUUAAUCUACGAUAUAUUACACGUUAAACUACAUGGAUAGUACUGUAAAACAAUACUUAUAAUAACCUGAUUGAAAGCUUGAACAUCAUUUGCACAUCUCGCAUUGUUGGGAUCUAUCUCUCUAAUAUAUUCUCCUCUACAAUUCAUCUCCAAAGACUGUUAAUUAAACAAAUUAAUAUUCAGAUUAAUUUGACAUGGCAAAUAUUAAACCUUAUAUUUUGGAUUAAUAUAGAAAUUAAAAUAAUUAAAGACAAAUUAAUUGUGACUUAACCUUAUAAAGUUCAUCAGGUAUAAGUCCCAUACCAAGGCAAAAAGGUAUAUGAUAAUUGGAUUCUUGUGAAAAUGUUAGAGGAUUGCCAAGUAAAUAUCCCUGAAAUUAACCAUGCAUGCAACUUUUAGGGAAACAAAAACAAAAAUUACUUGAUGGUAAUUAUUAGAAAACAAUUAGAGAAAUAUUGACCUGAAGAUUUAUCAAUGGCUCUUUACCAACUGUAUUUCCUGCAUAGCAAAAUUACAAGAUUAAUUUCUUUUAAGGAUGUUCAAGAUUUAAUACAUGUAACAAAGUAAUUUUUGAUCUAUAUAUUAUAUAUAGUACAAUGUUAUAUAUACACAUUACAAUUUUCUGACAAAUUAAGAAUGUUCAGUUGGUCAUACUUCUAUUUAAGUGUCUCCAUCACUCAUGUCUGGAAAUUGAUCUAUUAUGUGGGUAAAUUACAGAUUCUUCAAAUACACUAAGAAAUUGUGUUACUAAAUUAUAUCAUAUGUAUGCAUAUAAUUGUGUAUAAUUUAUGUAUAUGGUUAGGAACACAAUGAAUCCGGCCAAGUAGUUUAUGGAUAAGUACUAAUUAUUUUUAUGGUAUACAUGAAUCUUACCAUUUGAGAUGAACUGAGCUAUAACUGGAAUAGUCAUUCCUGAAUAUGAGUUUCCAGAAAUGUAAAAUGGAUUUGAGAUGAAUUGUGGAUGAUCACUGAGCCACUGAAAUAAUUAAUUAGUUAAUUAAUUAAUUAAUUAAUUAAUAGUUAAGUACACAUGAUUAUUCAAUUAUAUUUAUAAUAGCAAAUUUCAGAAAUUACGAACCUUUCUUAGGAAUUCAUAGACAUAUUUACAUGCUUGUACAUCAGUGUACUUGUAUGCAGCUGAAUUUGUUGCAUAUGAGAAUCCUAUAUUUACUGGUUGAUCCAAGAAAAUUACACUUGCUAUCUGAAAAUUGAUGCAUACAUUUGUAUUAUACUUCAUAAAAUAAAGAUAUUACUACUAAUUUUUUAUGAAGGGCGAACAUAUUCAUCAGUAUAUUAUAUUCAUGUAACUACCUUGGUCCAUGCGUGUGGGUUUAGUACGAACGAGGCCAUACUCCCAUUGUAGACUUGUUCAGCAAAACGCAACGGCCCUGGACAAGAAAAUUUCUUAACUGGAUUUUUUAUUUUUUAGGAAUAAAUAAUUCUCUCGAGCUAUAAACUCAGAAUAUAUAUAUAAAAAAAAAAUUAUGAAUAUUAUUUUUUUUAAAAAUAAACUUAAUUAAGAAGUCAAAGAUACAUAAAUUAGCAUUAAUGUGAGUACCUAUUUCAUUCACAAUGGCAAUGACAGAGGAGCAACCAGGGCCACCAGAUAGCCAAAUCAAAAGAGGAUCAGUAGUAGGGUUAGAUUCUGAUUGUAAAAAAUAGUAGAAAAGUUGCACCUCUUCAUCUUUACCAAUUCCAACAUACCUAUUCCAAGUGCCAUAUAAAGUGAAACGAACACAGUAGUAAAUAAAAUGAUAUGUUUUAGCAAAUACAAAUUCAAAUAUAGAGUAAGAAGCAAAGUCUUUGAAGUGCAAAAAUUAUUAUUCUUAAAAAGAUAUUACUCACAUUUAAAAAAAAAUCAAAGCAACUCACCCAGUUUCUAGAUGGAACGGGAGGCGACCCGGCAAACCAGGAAGAUAGUCAACUAUGUAAUGAGAAUCAGUUCGUUGAAGAAGAUGAAGAAGCACCAAAACACACAGCUUCAGCAACAAUUUUUUCAUUAUUCCUAAAGUAUCCAUCUUGGUAAAUACAAAUAAAAGAUGAAAAUGAGAUUACAACUAUUAUUUAUAUUGAUGAAAAGUGACACCAUGAGUCACAUUAGUUUCCUGUAUCCCUAAUAAUUUUUCUAAAGGUGAAACCCAUGGGUAUUUUGAGGGGAAAAGGGGACUGAGGCAAGGGGACCCAAUGUCCCCUUUGUUAUUUGUCAUUGUAAUUGAGUAUCUGUCAAGAGCAUUGAAUAAAGUUGGGGAAUUACUAGACUUUAAUUUCCAUCCUAUGCGCAACAAAAGUAAGUUGAAUCAUCUAAUGUUUUCGGAUGAUCUAUUUUUUUUUUUGAUAACCGUGGUGUUCGGGCCAGUGUAACGCCCCAAAAUCCCAUCGGGCCGGACUGGCACCCGAAGCCGAGAAGGCCCGGGAGAACCCGUUCAAAUAACUGUACUUUCACUUACAUGUUUCCAAAAAUUUGGACAGCACUUCGUUGCAUAUAGAAGGGUCUAAUUACCUGUAUCAGCACAACACGCACAAAUAUAAAUAUAUAAUACUUGGCCGUCGGGGCCACCACAUAUACAAAUAUAACAUCACUAUAUAAACUUCCAUGACUUUACCCUUCCUUAUGUCUACAAAGACUCUAGGAUAUACAUGACAUAACUAGGGUCGGGACAAACCCCCGCCCACACAUGACUCCUGUACAAUAACAAAACAUAAGGAACCGACUCGAAAAGCUCCGAAGCAAACUGGAGCUCACCAACAAUAGCUGUAUGACCUGGCUCCUACUUGUGCGGUGUAUGAGCUGAGGUACCUGUGCCUGCAGCAUGAAAUGCAGGUCCCCCGUGAGGGACGUCAGUACGAAAUAUGUACUGAGUAUGUAAAGCUGUAAAUAAUCACAUAUGAUAUAGGAGCUCAAUAGAAAUCAGAAACAAGUGAAUAAGUCGUAAUAGGAGUGGACCACACUUACUAGAACUUGUGACAACCUGUACAUUGUAUUUAUUCAAUCACUUUACCUUCGUUCUUAUCGUCUUUGUAAUCAUUACUGUACUGUACUGUGACCAUUAGGAUGCCUCCAGUACAUAUCAACUGGGAUCGACCCAUGCUAGGCUUAUGCCCCUGGGAUACCACCCAUAAACACAUGAAAUAGGGAUCGACCCAUGCUAGGCUUAUGCCCCUGGGAUACCACCCGAUAAGAAAGAACUCCCAUCACUUAGUUCAAUUAAUCUUUGAGAUUGUUAUUUCGGUCGCCACCACAUUUUUGAUACUUUGAAACAAUGAUACAUCAAUAGGAACCAAGUAAUAGACCUUCUAUACAAUAACGAUGUAAUAAAGACUCAUUGGUACAUCAACAAUGUGUUUCAGAAUCAUCAAUAUCACAACAAUGAAAUAAGAGCCUUUUGGUAUAUCAAUGAAACAUUUUGACACUUUAUAGAAUGGAAACAACUUCGUUGGUAACGUAGAACAAUACAUGUUUUUGGACAACCUCGGAAUCUUACUUGAUGGAACAUUGGUGUUUUCAUGCCAAAGAACAUUGUUAGAGUAUGCUUUACAUACCUCGUUGUAGAUUCAGAUACCAAUUCAACACAACUUCCCGCCUUUACAAAUCACUUAUCUACAAUGAAAUGUUUGGCAUCUAGUAUUAGCAACCCAACACCACAAUUCUCUUCCAUAAUUCCAUACUACCAAUAUUUGCAAAACAUUCCAAAAACCAACUUGAACAAUAGGUUUAUGUGUGUAUAUAUAUAUAAUCAUCAUUUCAAUACCACAUCAUCAAUACCACAUCAUCACCCCAAAUUCCUUCACAAUUUAACAUAAUCCAACCAUGCACAAGAAUAAUCCAACAUCAUUUCCAAUCAUCUUUCAACAACAAUCAAAUAACAUACUUCUUAUGCUCACAUGCAUAUAUAUAUAUACAUAUCCAUAUAAAUAACACCAACAUAAUUUACAUCCUUACCAAAAAAAUGGCCCUUUUGAUUUCGAAGUCCUGUUGGCACAAAUAAGGGGUGCUUCUCGAAGCCCUUGAGACGGUGAACACAACUACGGAAUCAAUUUGGAUUUUCUACGGUUGAAUCACAAGAUAAUUGGAGUUGAACUUAGGCUAGGGUUUCUUAUUCUUCAAUAAUUUGGAUGAUAAAUGAUGGAUAUGAGGCUAAUUAUAUGUAUAUAAUGACCAAUUUUCGUCCAUGAGGUGAUGGAAAAUGACCAUAUUGCCCAUAAAAUUUAAGUAAAUCCGAAUCUGUCCAUCGUGGACUAUUUUGAUAGGCUAAAGUAAAUCGAAAAUAACUCUUUGCCCUGAUAAUGGAUUUGGGUGAAACCAAUUGCAUUAGAAAGAAGACUCUCAGGGAUUCUCAUCGAUAUAUAGCAGCUCACACAGUUCAUUUUUUACAAGGAGUUAUGAUCGUUUAAAGUCGACCCAAAAAUCUGUUUGGCUGCAGUACUUUUGUGUGCAGAAAAUUUCUGCACAUUUACUGUUCAUUGCGUCCACCGUUUUCAAGUUUCGAACAUGCUCGCUUAUAUCCGAUACUCAUCUGUUUUCAGAAAUCUUUAUAUCGUUGGAAAGCUAACUCGAUAAACUUCGCAUAGGAACUUCGACGAGCAAAUUCCGGUAUAAAUAAAGUCGAUUCCUAUACACAUAUAAUCAAACUAUACACUUGAAACCAUUUCAAACUAAUCAAUACUCAUACUUAAACUCAUAUAUACCUAACUUAUGAUCAAUACAUAUACUCCAACACAUAUAACCAUGGAUAAUGCACGUAAUUAAGUACGGGGUGUUACAGCCAGCUUGCGCGCACCUCGACUAAAUCCACGGGAUAACUACCACCUCUCACCAACAACGGGUACCAGGUAACUCUGUCCACCAAGGCUAGAACAAAUGGAAAGAAAACACUUAGUGUUUGUCUCUGCUGGGAAUUGAACCUGAGACCUCAUGGUGCUCAUCCCAACUUCAUUGAACCACUAGGCCACACCCUUAGGUGCAAGGUCAAAAAGCAAGGAGCAUCGUACAGGGAAUCUAUUAAGAUGUUGAUGGAGGUGUUGCGUCAUUUUAUUAGAGUGUCAGGACUCAUCGCUAAUCAAGACAAAUCAAAUAUCUUUGUCGCAGGGGUAUCUGAUGACUUAAGCGAUCAAAUUCUGUAGGUCACUGAUUUUUCACUUGGUCAGCUUCCAAUUAGAUACUUGGGAUUGCCUUUAUCAUCAAAGAAGUGGUCAAAAAUGGAUUGUCAAAUAUUGAUUGAUAAAAUCACUCAUAGAAUCACUACGACUUAUUCAAGAACACUAUCAUAUGCAGGUAGGUUGCAGAUCAUUAAUGCGGUGUUUUUCUCAAUCUAUAACUUUUGGAGCACAGUCUUUAUCUUACCUCAAAGUGUUGUUAAAGCUGUGGACAAGAAGUGUAGGGACUAUUUGUGGGGAAACGGGAAAGAGAAGAGGACAAUAUCACUAGUAUCAUGGGAAAAACUCUGCAGGCCAAAAAAGAAUGGAGGGUUGAAUAUCAAAGGCUGUCAGUUGUGGAACACUGCUUCUGUUGGCAAAUUAAUAUGGCAACUGGCAACAAAAGCUAACUCUUUAUGGAUUAGGUGGGUGCAUGGGUUAUGUAUUAAAGGUCAACAGGAAUUCUGGGACCAUAUAUCUCCCAAGGACAGUAGCUGGUACUAGAAAAAGAUUAACUCUAUUAAGCAGGUGAUGAGGUUGUGGUAUCAUAAUGGAGAUUAUAAACUGACAGCAAAUGGAACAUAUAAUGUAAGUUGCAGCUACGAUCAAUUGUUGGGUAGACAGAGGAAAGUACAGGAAGUGGAGCUGAUUUAAAAUAAAAUUCUACUACCAAAGACAUAGAUUUAUUGUGUGGCUGGCCAAUCAGAAGCGAUUGCUAACAAGAGUAAGAAUGAGUAAGCUACAUAUACCAGUAGAUGAUGAUAAAUGUUGUUUAUGUGGUGAUGAUAAAGUGGAGACGCAACUGCACCUAUUCUCAGAAUGCAGUUGGACAAAUAAAGUGAAAAAUGAAUUAGAAACUUGGUCUGGGGUUACAUCACAUGGAAAGAAGGUGGCACAAUGCUUAAGCUGGAUUAAGGGGAGGCACUAGAAGCAAUUCAAAAAGGAGGUAGCUGCUGCUAUUUUGGGUGCAAGGAUAUAUCACACUUGGCAAGCGUGAAAUUGAAAGUUGUUUAGAGGGAUAGUUGUACAUACAGAGAGUGCUAUUACACAGAUUAAGAAGGAGAUAGUUGGAAGAAUGGAAUACUUGAAACACACUAGGAAAGCUAGGAGAUGUAGGUAUUUACUUCAAAAGUUUUGUAACUAGAUUUCUGUCUUCGGUUGAGGCUUUAAGGAAGAUAGUACUGAUGGCUACCUCCUAAAGUGCUCUAUAGGUGUAAUUUUUUGAUUGUUAAUGGUAAUUCUUCACAGUUUACCAAAAAAAUAAUUCUCUCGGGCUAUAAACUCAGAAUAUAUAUAUAUAUAAACAAACUUAUUCAGGGAAAUGGGGAGAUAGAUGAGGAUGUUUCUCACCGUAUUGGGGCAGGUUGGAUGAAAUGGAGGCUCGCUUCGAGAAUUUUAUGCGAUAAGAAGGUGCCCCCAAGCUGAAAGGCAAAUUCUAUAGAGUUGCAGUCCGGCCUGCUAUGUUGUAUGGAGCGGAGCGUUGGCCGGUUGAGAAUUCUGAUAUCCAAAAAUUGAAGGUGGCGAAAAUUAUUCGGGAGAAGGUGGGAGUGGUGUCAGUAGAGUAUAAAAUGCGGGAAGUGAGGUUGAGAUAGUUUGGUCAUGUGAUGAGGAGAGGCACGGAUGCCCCAGUUCGUAGGUGUAAGAGGUUGGCCUUGGAUGGUUUCAAGCAGGGUAGGGGUAGACCGAAGAAAUACUGGAGAGAAGUGAUUAAACGUGACAUGGAGCAGUUAAAGCUGACUGAGAACAUGACCCUGGAUAGAAAGAUAUGGAGAAAAAGCAUUAGGAUAAAGGGAUAAGGGUGUGGAUGAGUAGUAGUCAGUAAUUAGGUGGACUUUGGUGUCCUUUGUUUGGCAUUGUAAUUUUUUUUUUCUGUGGAUGUCGUACCUAUGUUAUUUUAUCAGGUUCUAUGUUUUGGAUGCUUAUGUAUACUGCCUUUUAUCUUGAGCCGCGGGUCUAUCGAAAACAACUUAUCUAUCUCUUUUGAGGCAGUGGUAUGGACUGCGUACACUACACCCUCCCCAGACCCCCCUAUGUGGGAAUAUACUGGGUUUGUUGUUGUUGUUUAUAUAUAUAUAUAUAAACUUAUGAAUUAUUACUAUGAAUAUUGUUUUAAAAAAAAAUAAUUUUAAUUAAGAAGUCAAAGAUACAUAAAUUAGGAUUAGUGUGAGUACCUAUUUCAUUCACAAUGGCAAUGACAGAGGAACAACCAGGGCCACCAGAUAGCCAAAUCAAAAGAGGAUCAGUAGUAUGGUUAGAUUCUGAUUGCAAAAAAUAGUAGAAAAGUUGCACCUCUUCAUCUUUACCAAUUCCAACAUACCUAUUCCAAGUGUCAUAUAAAGUGAAACGAACAUAGUAGUAAAUAAAAUGAUAUGCUUUAGCAAAUACAAAUUCAAAUAUAGAGUAAGAAGCAAAGACUUUGAAGCGCAAAAAUUAUUAUUCUUAAAAAGAUAUUACUCACAUUUUAAAAAAAAAAAAUAGAGAAAAAAGAAAGGAAAUAAAAUAGAAAGUCCAAAGCAAAGCCACACCCAAUCUGAAAUCAUAAUACUGAAUNNNNNNNNNNNNNNNNNNNNNNNNNNNNNNNNNNNNNNNNNNNNNNNNNNNNNNNNNNNNNNNNNNNNNNNNNNNNNNNNNNNNNNNNNNNNNNNNNNNNNNNNNNNNNNNNNNNNNNNNNNNNNNNNNNNNNNNNNNNNNNNNNNNNNNNNNNNNNNNNNNNNNNNNNNNNNNNNNNNNNNNNNNNNNNNNNNNNNNNNNNNNNNNNNNNNNNNNNNNNNNNNNNNNNNNNNNNNNNNNNNNNNNNNNNNNNNNNNNNNNNNNNNNNNNNNNNNNNNNNNNNNNNNNNNNNNNNNNNNNNNNNNNNNNNNNNNNNNNNNNNNNNNNNNNNNNNNNNNNNNNNNNNNNNNNNNNNNNNNNNNNNNNNNNNNNNNNNNNNNNNNCCUUCCAUUCUCUUUUCUAUCUUCUGGAGAGGAUGAACUUUUUUUAAAAAAAAAAAUAUGCCCCACUAAUUUAAGAAAAGAGUAUCAAUUCUAACCAAACUCACCAUAAUUCUAAUCGAACAAUCUUGAAAUUUUGAAUUGAUUUUUUGACGAGUCUAGCCGGAAAUACAUUCAAAAACGGCUAAAGAAAACGAUGAAUUUUUCGGCCUGUCAAUCAGUUUUUAUUUUUCAAAAUUUGUUCCUGUUUUUUUUUUUAAUUCUUUGCUUCUAUUUCAUUUGAUAAGGCUUCAUCGGAUUUUGGGAUGGGUGGAGAUAAUUGAUGUUUUUCAGUGAAAGAGGGUCGAUUUUAGUUGAUGGGCGGCCGGAAUGAAGCUGGGUGCAUCGUUUUCGUCUUGCCGGAGCUCCGGCGAGCUUCGACAAUGAUGAAAAAUGAAGAAUACUAUCAAUGAAUUCCAUUACAAAUUAGUAUUAAUGAAUUCCAUUUCAGGAGCUUGAUUCGAUCCUUUGAAGUUUCCGGCAUUUCUUAAUCCAUUGGUAGCUUUUUAAUUAUCAGAAGGAAAUGGGGUGGGGAUGGGAUAGGCUGAAGACGAUGACGCGGGGUGGGGUGGGGUGAAAGACGAUGNNNNNNNNNNNNNNNNNNNNNNNNNNNNNNNNNNNNNNNNNNNNNNNNNNNNNNNNNNNNNNNGUUGAAGUUUUUUUUUUUUCUUUUUAAAUUAGAAAUUAUUAUAAUUAAAAAUUAUAUUAGUAAAAUAAUUUAAAUAUAAGUUUUUAAAUUGAAAAAAAGUAAAAUAUUUUUUUUCUCCAAUUCACGCGUCCAAGGAGAGUGUGUUACACUCUCCUUGCCAAAUCAGCAUUUUGGGCCAAAUAGGUACCAAUUUUGGCAUUUGAGGUGUCUGAUAGGUACAUGCCUUAGUUAAAAAGUCUAAGUGAAUUUUCGGGAUAAGUUUGAGGUCCUAUCAAUGAAUUUCGCCUAUUUAUAUUGAUGAUAAGUGACACAUGAGUCACAUUAGUUUCCUGUGGCUCUAAUAAUUUUGCUAAAGGUGGGUCCACACGGGCACAAUGUUAUAGGUGACAUGUUGGGAUCAAAAUCGAGAGGGCAUCAUGCAUGCAAGUUAAUAGUAGUAAAUCAGAGAGACGGUAACUCAGAUGACACAAAACUAAACUAAAAAAUAUAUUAUUAUUUAUGAUUUGACUAAUUGGCCUACUCAUAAAAUUUAAUAUUAAAAAACAUAAAAACUAAACAAAACUUUUAAACAACUAUAUUGUGGUUGCUAUUGUGUUAUAGUAUGAGAAGAAGAAUCUUUUUCUCUUAGAAAGAAGAUGUUAGUUAAAUAUGGAAGAAUUUUAUAUUUUUCUUUUAGGAAAAAAAUAAAAAUAAUUAUAAUAUUACUUUUAUUUUUCUUUCAAGAAAAAUAAAACUUAAAUUUGAAAAGAAAAUCAAGGCAAAAACCAUAAUACUUGUUGGGUUCGAAAUUGAGAGGCGUUAUGCGGAAGCUUAAAGUUGCAAAUCACAGAGAUAAUAAUCUGAUGACAAACAUAAACUAAACUAAAAACAUAAUAAUAUAUAGGGUUUGGCCAAUAUUAAAACUAGUUCAAAAAGCAUAAAAAUUAUUUGAGAGAAAGGACCACAUUGUGGAUAUUACUGUGUUGUUGUAUGAGAAGAGGAGCAUUCUAUUUAUCGAGUUUCAGGAUCAUCUUGCAAUCCACCUUAUCCGGUAAUUUACCUAACAGAACUUGAAAAUUUGGCUCAUUUUCUUUAUUCUUUAACCUGGUUCUGAUUGUUUGACUUAGAAAAUCUUUCUUCCAAGAAAGAGGUUAGCUCUAGGGUGUAUAGAUGAAACCGUCAAGUCAUACCAAAUCGAAGAACCAAAUCAAAUCGAGGAAAAAAAUCGACUUAUGGUUUGGUUUGGUUGGUUUGGCGUUUGAAAAAAAAAAUCCGACCAUUCUUGAUUUAGUUUGGUGUUAACAAAAAAAAUCAAAUCGAACCCAAAUCAAACCGACAUAAUAUAUAUGUAUGUAUAUGUAUAUGUAUAUGUAUAUGUAUAUAUAUGCAUAUAUAUCAUUUAACUUUUUUUACAUAAAGUAUUAAUUAUAAUCUAUUUUUUAAAUACUUUUUUAAUUAGACUAAUUAAUUUUCAAUAUUUAGAAAGUAAAUGUGUGUGUGUGUGUGUAUAUAUUUGGGCCUUUAAGUUGUAAUAUCUGAUUGACACUCAUCUAAUACCUGUAAACUAUAACAAAACAAUAUAAUGAUAGAGAUAUGAAAACAAUACAAUUAAAUCUAACCUUUACACAAAAUUUUCUCAAAGCCAACGAACAUUCAUCUACCACUUGUAAACUACAACAAAAUAAUAUGAUAAUAGGGAUAUCAAAACAAUACAUCUAAACUUAACCUUUUAAUUACACAAAAAAAAUUCUCAAAUUAGAGAUAUCAAAAUAAUACAAUUAAACUUAAUUUUUACCUAUUUUUUUUUUUCAAAGCUAGUUGAUAUUAUCUACCACCUGUAAAGUAUAAUAAAACAAUACCAUAAAAGAGAUAUCAAAAUAGUACAAUUAAACCCAACCUUUAUACACAAAAAUUCCUCAAAUUAAAGCUGAUCAACAAAAAUUCCUCAAAGCUGAUCAACAUUCAUCUACGACCUGUAAACUACCAUAAAAUAAUACACUAAUAGAAAUAUUAAAACAAUAUAGUUAAACCUAACUUUUACCUAAAAAAAUUUUUCAAAGCCGGCCGACAUUCAUCGACUUCCUGUAAAUUAAAAUAAAAUAAUAUGAUAAAAGCAAGUGUUAUUCUUUGUUAAGAAGACUGAUCUAUUUGUUGUAACUUGAUUGUGAAAUUGCUAUUGAAAUUAGGUGAAUGUAGAAGGAGCAUUCAUUAAUAUGGGUGGCUAUCAAUUUGUAUACUUUUACACCACAUCGUGUGUAUGUCGAUUGAAAUUCCUUGCACGGUCCUUUGUUCCUACAUUUGUGAGGGUAAAUAUAAAUUAUUAGUAUUUCUGUAUAAAUACUAAAAAUAUUAAAGGAAUUUUAUACCUAAACAAAUUAUACUACUAUCACACAUUCCUAUUAAAAUAAGGAAAGAAAAUUAAUUUACCUUAAUUAAAAAAUAGUAUACGUAAUUUAUAAUUUUUUCAAAAAUAUAAAUUAUUAGUAUUUACUUCUACGAUUGUAUUUAUUUGUCAAAUAUAAGGUACUAUAAUUAAAACUCUUUAAAAAUGGUGGUUUUUUUAUUUUUUUUAAAAAUAUAUUAUUAGUAUUUAUGUAUAAUUAUAAUUUUAAAAAAAUAGUAAAAAAAUGAUUUUGUCUAAAGGAGAGUGUUUUAAUGAAGGGUAAAAAGUUCAAACCACUUUUCUAAGGGUCUUCACACUUUUAAUAUAUUAUAGAUAUGUGUGUGUAUGUAUAUAUGCAUAACUUCGGAUAAUUUACCCCCCUUAGCACUUCACACAUUUAAUAUAUUAUAGAUAUGUGUGUGUAUGUAUAUAUGCAUAACUUCGGAUAAUUUACCCCCCUUAGCACUUCACACAUUUAAUAUAUUAUAGAUAUGUGUGUGUAUGUAUAUAUGCAUAACUUCGGAUAAUUUACCCCCCUUAGCACUUCACACAUUUAAUAUAUUAUAGAUAUGUGUGUGUAUGUAUAUAUGCAUAACUUCGGAUAAUUUACCCCCCUUAGCACUUCACACAUUUAAUAUAUUAUAGAUAUGUGUGUGUAUGUAUAUAUGCAUAACUUCGGAUAAUUUACCCCCCUUAGAAAAAGUUCAAACCACUUUUCUAAGGGUCUUCACACUUUUAAUAUAUUAUAGAUAUGUGUGUGUAUGUAUAUAUGCAUAACUUCGGAUAAUUUACCCCCCUUAGCACUUCACACAUUUAAUAUAUUAUAGAUAUGUGUGUGUAUGUAUAUAUGCAUAACUUCGGAUAAUUUACCCCCCUUAGCACUUAAACCUAACUUCCGUUUAUUUACCCCCCUUAAUAUCUUUAAAGUGAAUUAUUUUUACCCCUCAAAACUGAAUACCACUCUCACGACGGAGAGUGCGCUACACACGCGCCACGUCAUUGCCAAAUUAGUGCCACAUCAGUGCCAUGUCAUUUGCCACGUAAGAUUUUUUUUUUUUAAUAAUCCCACACACUAACUUUUUAUAUAUUUUAUAUAUACUAUUUUUAUAUAUAUAAAAAUAUAUAUUAUUUUAUAUAUAUAUAUAUAUAUAUAUAUAUAUUUAAAAGAGUAUAUUUUUUAUAAAAAAAUAUAUUUUAUAUAAAUAAAAUAGACCCCACCCCUCUUUCCUUCUUCUUCUUCACAACCCCUACCCCCUUCGUUCUUUCACAGCCCUCACCUCACCCCACUCCAAUUCCUUCUACUUCUUCAUUAGACAGCAACCCUCGUCCCCUCCCCUUCCUCCUCCUCCUUUUUCUUCUUCACAUAAAAACAUCACUUUUUCUAUUUCUUUCACCAUUACCACAAGCUUUUUCAAUGAAUUUUUUUCUUCAUCAAAUACAAAAUUAACUUGAAUUAGCUUGAACAAAUCCAUCAAUGAACUAAAUACAAGUACAUGAUCACAAAAACACAUCAAUACGCAAAAAUUCAAAUUCUUUCACAUUAACCAAAACCCAAAAUUCCAAAACUCCUAAAUUUUUAAUUUCUUACUCAAAAAUAUUUACAAAAAUGGCAUAAACAGUCCGAAAUUCGAAAAUAACAUUGAUGAUAUUCUCAUGACAUGAAAUUCUUGGUCAAAAAUCAAACUUGUUCAUCAAUCUUGAACCCUUUCUGAUUGUCAAAAAAUAAAUUUUGAAUUAAUUAGCACUUGAUAGGAAGGGAAUUACGAAGAAACGGGGUGGAGGUAUGAAGAAGAUGAAUAAAUGGAGUGUUGGGGAUGGGGUGGGGUGGGGUUGGGCGUAGGGGUGGGGAAGGGGAGUGAUGAAGAAGAUGAAAAUGUGAAGACAUUUUUCUUUUAAUGUUACAUAUAUAUAUAUAUAUAUAUAUGUAUGUAUAUAUAUAUAUAUGUAUGUAUAUAUAUAUAUAUGUAUGUAUAUAUAUAUAUAUGUAUGUAUAUAUAUAUAUAUGUAUGUAUAUAUAUAUAUAUGUAUGUAUAUAUAUAUAUAUGUAUGUAUGUAUAAUAAUAAUAAUAAUAAUAAUAAUAAUAGCAAUAAAGUGAUCUUUUAAAAAAAAAUUCACUCGCUCUUUUUUUUUUUGCCACGUCAGCUAUAGGGGGAAUUUAAUUAAAUUGAAAGUUGUUAAGGGGGGUAAAUAAACGGAAGUUAAGUUUAAGUGCUAAAGUGAGUUGUGACAACAAGUUCAGGGGGGAAAAAUGUCUUUUCUCUUAACUUUUUAUACAUAAAAUAUUAAUUAUAAUCUACUUUUUAAAUAUUUUUUCAAUUAGAUUUAUUAAUUUUCAAUAUUUAGAAAGUAAAUGUGUGUUUGUGUGUAUAUAUAUACAUAUUUGGGCCUUUAAGUUGUAAUAUUUUUCCAUUAAUUGCUAAUAAAAUGAUCAAAACCCCAAUAUAAACUUAAAAUCUAAACUUUUCACUCUUCAUCUUACUUUUUAGUUUCGAGAGAGUUUUUCGCUCCUCAAUUUUUCAUAAUUGUAGUUUUUGAUUAGCACAUGAGUGAAAACAUACUUGAUCUAAUCUUCAAUCACAAUAUAAUUGUAAAAAUUAAAAUUAUAGAAAAAAAUAAAAAAACUCAGAAAAACCGAAAGAACCGAUUAAAACCUAAACCGAAAAAAACAAUUUUAUGUUGGUUUGAUUUGGUUUAUAGUUUUAAUAAACCGACAUAAUUGCUUUUUUUUUUCAACAAAAAAAACCAACCUGACCGAUGUACACCCCUAGCGAGCCAAAUAUGUAAAAGAAUUAUAUUUGUCUGUCAUGAAAAGUAAAAGUAAUUAUGAUAUUACUUUUAUUAUUUGUCAAGAAAAAUAAAACUUAAAUUUAAUAAGAAAAUCAAAGCAAAAACCCUAACAAAUCUCCCCUUUUGAUUAUAUUUUUUGUCAAAAUAAUCUAGACCUUCUUCACAUGAUUUUCAUAUAUCACUGCUGCUUUCUAUGGUUACAUAAUAAUUCUGACUUAAAUUUUAAUUUUUAUUAGAAAUUUUAUUUAGUAUAUAUAAAUAAUCUAAUAUUUAUAUAUAUUAUAAAGCAGAGGAUGAAACACCAUAAUUAGUCAAGUGACAAGUUGUUGAGAAGCAACAUUAAGCUUUAUUAUAACUAUUUUCUUCAUUAGUUUAAAAAUAUGGUUGGAGAGUUCUACAUAGAUUUCUGCUCUUUCAUAAACUUAUCUCUUUUAAAAUUUAAAUGUUAUAUAAUAUAUCUUAAUAUAAUUUAUUUAAAUAUUAUAUUAAAGAUGAGACAACAACGACGACCACCACCACAGCAACAACAAAAACAACAACGAUAACAAUAACAACACAACAAUGACAACAACAAUAACGCAACAACAUCAACUACAACACGACAACAACAACAACAACAACACAACGACAACAACAACAUCGACAAUAACAACACGACGACAACAACAACGACUACUAGCAAACUAAAUCGAUUUCAUAACUAGAAUCUAAGCUAAAUAGCGGUACCAAAGUAUCACGAGCACCAAUAUCUCUUGGAUAUGAUGACUUGGUAUACGCUUCCAAUCGAACUCUUAUCAUGUGAUCCUAAAUUUGUAUUUCAUAGGCGCCGGAUUAGUUCUGUUCAGCCUUAAGUAUUUAGAUUUUAGGGUGUGUUUCCAAAUCUCCAGUCUAUCUUUAACUUCGCCUUCAAAUUCAGAGGCAAGUCCACCUGUAUGAGUGGUGAUGCAUGUGCACUCAUUAACUUUUUAAAAAUAAUAUUUUUACCUUGAGGAGCUGAUAUAUUUUUAUUAGUGCAUAGGCUGAAGUUGUUGCUUCCGCACCUUCGACCUUAGAUUGAACUCGUGAUAAUACAUUUUCAUUAUUAUUUUUGGUUAUUCGAACACAAUAUCCUUGAACACCGAGCUAUCAAACUCAACUAUUACAAUAAAGUUAAAGUCUAAAUAUUAGCUUAGAACUCAUAAUUGACCUAUAUAUUUGUACCUUUUGUAUUGCUCAGAUUAACAGUGACCAAACGUACAUGACAUUAUAUAUUGAAAGUUUCUUUAGCGCUUAUUCUAAAAUAAUGAUAUCUACAUGAUCUUCAAAUCCCGGGAUUCGCCUUUGUCCAAAUCUUUAUCUUCUUGUUAAUCACCAGCCUAAAGUCUUUAUAACAGAAAUUGAAGUACAAACUUAAAGAGUGCAAAUAUCUGUAAUUUAGUAGAGAUCUCAACCAUAUGCAAAUAGAUACAGAUUUUUAAAUUUAUGAGUUCUGAAUUUCAAAACAGGAUAAUAUUUGAUAAAUAUAAUUAAAUAUCUUAACACAAAUACAUGAUCUGCAUCAAAAUUACUAGAUUCUGCCAAACCAGUAACUUCAAUCUUUGAUUAAUCUAGGUCUGUUCAAGUAGAAGUCCAUGCAAGUUGUGAAUGAAAUUAUCAAUAUAGUUACUCAUAAAUCCAGGACUUGAAAGAAGUUCCUUCCAUUUCCUAUGAUUCUCUUUCAUUGAACAAGCAAUUUGGCUAUCUUUAUCCAUCAUACAUUUCACAGCCUUGCACAAAUUCUCUUUUGUAAAUAAAUCAUUCUCCUCCUCCACUUCUACACCAACUUUCAGUUCAUGUUCCAUCAGCCUAGCAUUUAAAAGGUGAUCAAAAAACCUAGGCAAAAAUACCAAUUGACAAUCACACAAUGCCAAAGACUCCCACAUAGAUCCAUACCCACAGUGACUCACAAAACAACCAACUGAUUUGUGACUUAAAAUCUUCAAUUGUGGCACCCAACAAUCAAGAAUCAAUCCCUUUUCUUUAGCCCUUUGUUUGAAUCCCUCUGGCAAGGCUUCUUCUAUUGAAUUUGUCUCCUCGGGUGGCUUAACCGCUAACAAAAUGGUGACUCAGUCAGUUCAAGGCCUAAAACAAGUUCUUGAAACUGCUUAUUUUGAAGAAUAGUUUGGCUCCCAAGUGCACAGAAUACUACUGAUCCUGGCUCGAAUUUCUCGAGCCGAUUAGAUAAUCCAUGUUCUUCUAAAGGCUCAUUUUUCAGCUCAGGAAGAACAGCUCCUGUGUAAAGGAUUGGCUUUUCAAGUUGUUUUGCUGCAAAGUCACCAAAUGUUCCUUCAACCUCUCUACAUGUUUUUAGAGGGAUUGUGUCGCAUCCUGCUCGGGACUUCUGCAUUCGUUCGAGAAAUGUCACCCCCUUGCCAUAUUCAUCAAAUUGGUAACCUGGAGAUCCACCAAUUGACCACUUCUUUAGAGAGUAGAAUGGAAUUGCAGAAUUACUAGCAAAGCAGGCACUGUAUAAAUGCAUGCUAGCAGUACUUUAUUUGUAGAAGAAACAUGGAUAUAUGUUGUUGCAGUGAGCUGUACAGUGGGAGAUAAGUAGGAAACAAAAUGAGUGAUUUGUGAGAUUGGAGCCUAAAUUGUUACUAUUCUGUUUUCAUUAAUGUUGAUUAUCUUUUCAUUUAGGUGUCUGUAUUGAUUACUGUAUAUUAUCUUUCCAUUAGGUCUCUUUUCUUUUUGUAUAAAGUUGCAGCCUUGUAAUCAUUCAAUAGACUGAAAUCAAUAGAAAAAAAACUUUUCUCACUAUGUUCGGUUUUUUUAUCAUAUGUGACUUAUCAACACGACGUCUUUGGAUGUUUCACUAUUUUAUUUACGAGCUAUAUUUUGCUCAUUUUGUCAGACUGUAUAAGAAUAAGCGAAAGCUUGAUAGUUUUCACAAUUUAUGGGCUUUUCACGUUUAUGAGAAAAAAAUUACAACUUAAGUAAUUUAAAUUGCAUAUCCAAACAGAAUUCUAACUUCAAAUCAAUUUGAUUUCAAAUCAUGUCCAAAUGGGACCUAAAUUAGUCGAUGCGCGGAAGCUGACUGGGAUAUAAAAGAAAAAGGAGGAACAAGUGUGACCUGGUGGUGGCUUUACAAGCUCAGCUGCAGUUGAUGUCAUAAAAGUAGUCUUAUCCGGGCAAACAACUCUGUAAGACACAGUCUUGAUACCUCCAAUUUGUAGUGCUAACUCAGGGAUCCAAUAAGCAAAAUCAAAGAUAACGAAAUGGGGUUUUAGAUUUUCAAGAAAAGAUUUUCAUCGUAUAAUUCAUCCAUAGCUGUUGCUAGUAAAGUCUCCAAAGAUUCAGGCACAUUAGCUGUAGUCUCUGCACCAUAUGGAGGGCCAUCAACAUGAGGGAUUGUGAGUUUGUGGAAUGUGAUGAGAUGAGGAUAAAGAUUGAGAUUUUGAAGUCGAAUUCCUGCACGUUUAGGCAACAAGAAUUAGAUUUU
rnacentral:lncRNA from 1 species